UUAUUAAAACUAAGUAAAAACAUAAUAAAAACAUAUAAGUUGCUUAGAAACAAGCUCGUUAUGUGUAAUGAUAGGCCCAAUUUGACUCGUCAAAUUAUGAAAAGUCAUCUGGCAUGAAGGGUUGCAAAAAUUUGACUACAUACCACUCUAAAUUUGAUUUCCUAUGUAAUAGAUUGACUCUAGAUUUGAUAGAACUCUGGAAAGCAUGGUCGUCUCCACAAUAUACACAAGAGAUAGUCUCAACUUGGUUCAACUACUGACCUGUAAAGUUACCAUUGAACCCAUUUACAGUUUUGUUCUUAAGCAUAGUAGACAUAAAAGAUACCUGGGCUUCUAAAGAAGUAAAUGCAUCAAUUUUAUGAACACCUGCCACUCUUCUUCCUAUGGUUACUCGAGUAGUCAACCACUAAUAAUUUUUGCUAAAAAUCCUUUCAAGAAUUUCAUAUGCUUCAUUGUAGGACUUAGAAAGAAGGGUUCCAUAGCUGAAGCAUCUACCACCAUUCUCGUAUGAGCAUUGGGACCAUUAUAGAAACUCUACAACUGAAUGCAAUAUGAAAUACCAUGGUGAUGAAACUUCUGCAAUAACUCAUUGAACCGCUCUCAGGCCUCAUAUAGAGAUUAGUCAUCAAGUUGUUGGAAUAUGGUGAUUUCAUUUUAAAAUGGGCAUAUUGUUAGGAGGAAACUAUUUCAUCAAGAAUCGUUUAGCCAAUUCUUGCCAUGUAAUUACUGAAUCAGGCAGUAAGGAGUUUAACCAUGGCCGUGCUCUAUCUCUCAAAGAGUUUGGAAAUAAUCUCAGUCUUAAGGCAUCUUCGAUCAGUUCGACCAAUUUGAAAGAGUCGCUCACCUCCAAGAAUAAGCAUAGAUGAAGGUGCAGAUCUUCAAUAGGAAUCCCACUAAAUUGACCCACCAUUUGAAGCAUUUGGAACAUGACUGGAUUCAAAUUGAAUUAAGGUGCCUCAGUAUCGAGUCUCACAAUACCUCGAUUAAGCUCAUUGGAGAGAGGCAUAACAUAUGUAACACCCUUUACCGGGUCGAGGUAUCGAAUGUCACAACAACCCAAAAUAACUCAAAAAUUUAUUUAAAAUUAAUUUUUCUUAAGUGGCUUGACACUACCAAUCUACAAUUCAGGACUUCGGCUAAAUCCUUAUCAUUGGAAAAGUAGGUCCCUACAAAUUUACUAACUUAUCUAAUCUAGCAGUGUUUACAACUCAAAAUGAGACUUAAUAUGAACUCUUCCAAAUCAAUCCACGAGGUGAAGCCUCUAAGGGAUCCCCUCUAUGCACAUUAGAAACUUCCACGCUAACCCUUGAAUCUGGCGAUAUCUGGCUUGGUCCCUCUACUCGUUUCCCAAGAUAAAUUUUAUCCUGCAAUCAAUCAGUGAAUUCGUAAGUUCAAAUGAACUUAGUGAGGAUUUGUGAAACCAUGCAAUAGAUAUAAUUCAUCUUUUUAAAGAGAAUAGAUUAGAGGCAAAAACUUCGAACUCCUUGGUCAUCCUUGACCAUUAUCAACCUGUAUCAACGUGGUAUUGGUCCUUCCCUUUUCCUUACAACCCAUUGCUAACAAAAUUAACUUCCAACUGUAGUACACAGUUUUCCUCAAUAUAUAAAUCCUCUAGGAAUUUUGGGCCUGAAUACCUUAACCAAAAUUUUCUUUCCCUUCACAAGCUUAUAUGUGAGACCUAAUGUUGGCCAUCAACUAUUUGGUUUUUUUUACUUUAUUGGUUCUCAAAUGUUAUCCCUCUUAUCUCUUGGAGGAUUGCCAAUCUUAGGUUAGUCCUUAACGAACUCCUUCUUAUGUCUAUUCAUGUAACAGCCUGCUCGGUGAAGUCUUAGUAUUUGAUUAUUAUUUAAAGUGUUUUGGUGAAUUAAGAGUAGAGAUGAGUAAGUAAAUUUUUUUUUUUGAUUACAUAUAGAAUUCUUUGUCUACGCCAUUUGGCGAACUCUUAGCUUGGUGAAGAUCUGUGGUGUGGCAGACUCUUCUGUUAAGUGUACGCCACCUAGAUGCUUUGGCGAACUCACUUGUUUUACUGUUGAAUAGAUUUUUUUACUAUUUUGGUAAGGUAAUUUAAUUAUUUAAAUGGAGACUUAGUUAGAAUGGAAAUAAGUAACUGUAGAUUAAAAGACUUAAUUUUUAUAAACGCAUUUAUUAUCUAAUUUUUCCACUAAAUCUUGUCUCCAUGAUUAAAUAGUUCCUUCACCGAAAAAUCAUUGUGUUUUCUAAGUAUUUUAUUUUCCUCAUUGAUUUUAUUUGUAUUUUCUGAACACCAAAGUCCAAAAAACCUGUCUAACGUUAGGUUCGCUAUAGUCAGCCAACUUAUACAUUUGUCAUAGCUCUCUGGUAAUUUCUAACGAACCUUAGGAUAUUAUUGAAUUAUUUACGUAUUUCUGGUUCUACAUGCAUAAGUGUCAGAUUGGUGUAUAAGGAAACUUAUUGGUUCUGGGUUAAGUGUUAAAUGUUUCAUGCAUGUAUGUUUAGAUUUGAUGAAGUAGUAAUCUAAUAUGUUUAAAUAACAUUAUUUUUAGCUCAAGACACUACUAAAGGUUUGAUUGGCAAAGGUGAAGGAUCCACUAUUUAGACUUUGCUAUUUCUCUAGUGAGUUCCUUCUUACUUUAUAAUAUUGUAAGAUAAGUAUUCUUACCCUGUAAAGGAUAAUUAGUUUAUGUGUGUGUGAAUAACAGUUUUUUGUCCAGAGUCAUUAGUCAAAUUUUUGUUUGUCUAGGAUAAAUAGUGUGGGUCAUUUUCAUGUUAAGCCACCACCACUUGCUUCUGAUAUGAAUGAUAUGAUAUGAUAUGAUAUGAACUAAUCUAAGGAAAUAGAGUUAAAGGAAAUAUGUUAUGUAGCCUCCAAUAUGGCAGAUAUAUUUUGCAAACCAAAUUGGCAAAUACAAUUAAACAUGCUACUAAGUGAUUUUGAAAUGGGGAGCUACAAGAAGAGAAUGUAUAUGAAUGAAACGAAAACAUCUGAUAUGAAUCUACCUCUGAAUUCUAGGUAUGUGGCUAGCAUAAAAAUGGAAAUGUAUGUGUUAUAUUGUGUUGGCAUAUAGAAUUCACCCAUGUAACACGCCAUUGGUGUACUUAGCCUGUCCGAGUUCUAUACAUGCAAGUGUACACAGUCGUAUAAGUAAUAAGUAGUAAGUAAAAGAGUAUCGUCUCCACAAGGACUAUUGUGUGAAUUAUUUUCAAAUUCAAUUUUAAUCAAUUUGGAAGAAAAACAAAUAAAAGAUAAUAGUGUUGAUGAAAGUCACAAUUUAAGUUAAGGAAUAUAAUCAGUAUUCAAAUACCCACAAAAUAAAACAACAGACGUUGCAGAAAACAAUCACAAUAGGAAUUAACACAAGGAAUAAUAUAACACAACAUGAAUAAAAUAAAAUGCAUAUUUCACUUAACAAUAAUUUAUUGGUAGUCAUAGAAAGAAUAUCACGAAGGGUCAUGGCAAAUAUGAAAAUUCAUUAAAUCCAUUUUGAUUAAGGUAUAGGCUUCUCCCGAAGUCCCAUUAUGCUCCUAAGCUAAUUAGCAUAUUCCUAUGUCAAAAACUAACCUACAAAUCACCCUUCCGGGUAUCUAAACAGUUUGUGCAUACAACAAUUAUCUUCCGAAAUCGUCAUGAUAUGCACCAUUUAGGUCUUUUUUCUGUUAACUUUUACCUCUUCCCAAAUUAAAUAGUUAAUACAUUAACUUACAAAUAUUGGCCAUACAUUUACAAGUAUAAUCAUGAGUUAAACCUAAAUGAAUGAAAUAAUCAUUUGCACAAAAUAUUCAGAAAAAAAAUAUCAAUUAAUUCAAAUCAACAUUCAUAUUCAUUUUGAAUAAAAAAAAAUAAGUCAUAUUAUACUAAAAACAUAAAGAUGAGAUGCAAUAUUGUCUCUCCACAAACAAACAAUAAUUAACAGUAAAGAGAAAGGUGGGAGAGAGUAGCCGAGAAGGGCUAUCCAUGGCCAUUUCACAACAAGAAAAGUAAAUCAUUAACUGUAUGGGAUUAUCUGCCACUGCUUCUUGCAGCUUCCCAUGGUGACUAUUCUCCUCUUUUUUUGAUAAAUCAUCUAGACAUCUUCAAGUCAUCCUUUUAGCUGCUCUUAUUUCGGCAAGUGAUCUCCUUCUUUUGUUGAAUUCAAGUGUUUAGCAAGCCAUGAGAAAGGCAAGAACACUUAAGAAAACUUGAUAUUUGAUGGUGUGUUUUGUUGUGUUUUUGUAUUCCAAUUUGAUGAAUAAUGAAGUCUCUAUUUAUAGUUGAUGCUGGUUUAACCUCCCAUACCAAAAAUAGAAAAUGAAACCCCCCCAAUUUCUCCAUGUAUAUGAUGUCCCUUGUUUAGUAGAAGAGUUAUUGUAACACCUCAAACCCGGCCUAGACGUUAUGGUCGAAUCUAGCAAUGUCACAUUGAAGUGUUUUUCGUAAAGUAUGAUAUCAUUUGCAAAGCCCAAUCUUUAUUAAGCCUCAUUGUGUGAUCUAAAAGAUGGUUUUAAAACUUGCAUCACUAUCAAAAGUAUUUACUUUAAAACGUUAUUAAUUUCAAAAUCUUGUUUGUAGCGGAAGCUUUUUAACACAGUUGCAUACCAGCGUUUACUUGUAAAACGUUAUUUCCUUGCGGUAGCUCUUAAAACCGUUUAAGUAUUCGUGGUAUUUUUGAAAACCCACUUGUUUUUCCUACCUCUAGCAGUAUUAAAGAAAAACAAAUAUAAAUCCCAAAAUAAAAAUAAAAUCCCGAGAGGCCUUAUUACAUAAAAUACCCAAAUUAAACUACUUAUAAAUUAAAAGAUAAAUAGGGAUGCGUAAGCUGUUGUGUGGCCACCUUUAAGUCCCUCGCAGCACCGAUCCAUCGAAGGAUUACCUGCGUAGAUACACAAAAGGGUGAGGUUACGAAAACUUAGUGUAUAAUUCUUUAAUAAAUAGAUAGUCAAACAUACAGUGAACAAAUACAGUCUAGGCCUAAGCCCAUAUCGGUAACAGUGGCAAUAUCAGUUUGGGAUUUAGCCCAUCUCAAUAAAGAAACAGUCACGUGUUCGGGCCUUGGCCCAUUACUAUUGCAGUAAACAGUGCAGUAACAGUAAUCAGUGCAAUAUGUAGGUCCUACCCAUCCAACCUCUACAUUCCAUCUCCGUCCAACCCUACACUCCAUGUGGGGAUAUAAUCAACCCACCUAUCCCUAAACUCUAAAAUUAGCACCGGUUGCGGCACUACACAGUAUUUGCAGCAGAGCUUCCAGUAUAAUAGGCUUAAAGUCAUCAGUGAUUUGCAGGAAAGCUGCCAAUACAAUACACUUCCUCCAAUCAUAUAAAAACCAACCCCUAUGCAAUGAAUCAUGCCACAUGUCAUGUCAUACCAUAAUAUUAUUCAUGUACUCAACACAAUUACAAUAGCAUGCUCAAAUAUAAACAUAUAUCUCAAAGGGGCAAAAUAGUCAAAUUACCAUGUAGGGGCAUUUUAGUCAUUUUAUCCACUAGGGGGUCUAGGUACAGUUACCGAUCCAACAGUAGGUCACAGUCCUCUCGGGUGACCCAUGUAACCUUAACAGACAAAUAGUAAAAAUGGGCCCAAGGCCCAUAAUGCGACCCAUGUGGGCCCACACGCCCGUGGGGCCUACAUGGCCCAUUUCUACCAACAAGGCCCAAAGAUAGCCUAAGCCCAUAAAAUCAUUCAUGGUGGCCUCUACGGUCAAACGCCCACAUUUUACAUGUUCGGAUUACCACAGGAGCUAGCGCAAGCUUGUGUAGCGCCAAUAGUCAUACUUUUCCGACUUUUGUCGAUCUACGUUUAUAGUAGUGUGGUUAGACACCUGGUUGCGAAAACGUGCGAACUAGCCCACAUGUACUCCAACCUAUUACAACAGAAGCUUUGGUUAACUACCUAACAAAAGAGUUGAAAUGAACCCUAGCCAAUACUUGUUCAAGAGAUUACCUACUACUCGCCUUGAUCGAUCACACUAACACCAUUGCAAGAGUUCGCUUACAACCCUUAAAGACUACCUGCCUUCCAAUCACAUCUUGUUACUAUUACUAUACUUGCCAGUCAUUGAACCAAGUGUAUAGUAACUUACUAAGAGUGUAAACUUAGAAUAGAGGACAGAAGUGAUCUGCCUACCCCUAAAAUGACACACUUGAACCGAGGCUCAAGAUGUAAUAAUCGUACCCCGUGAGCCUAAACAGAGAUAGCGACAAAGGUAGGGUGUUCGGCUAUAAGCCAAGGAUUCGACGGCUAGAAGGAAACACCACAACAAGGGAGAAAUAUCCUAAAAACUGAAAGAGUAGAGGAAAAGAAGAUAAGAAGUAUAUGGCACAAGUAUUAAAGUGUAAGGAGAAGGACCCGAAAGAGUAGAGAAGAGAAGAGGAGUCAAAGAGCACUUGCCAAAACCAAAAACAAAAGAAAAUAGAGAGGGGUGAUGAGGUAAUUGGCCAAGGUAACAAGGUGGAAGGGAAAAAGAAUUGAGAGGGAGAAGGGGAGAGAAUCUGCCAAAGUAAAAGAUGUAAAAGAGGGAAAAAGUGUGAAAAUGCAAACCAGAAUAAACACUGCCCAAAAUUCUCCCAAGCACAAUUCAGCUUCCAAGGAAGAGAAAAUGACCCCAAAAUGCUCACUUCAGCUGAAAAGGAGAAUCAACCCACCAAAGCCGAAUUCUGAGUGACUUAGCUUACCAUUUCGGCACCAACUCUCUCACAUUUCAAAUUUCACAUUUCCCUCCCUUAAUUCCCUCCUAAAAUCUCUCCACCAUAAUCUCCUCAACCACCAAUUCAAAUUCCACAACUCUGCAAUAUUUCGGUCAAACUCUACUACCCUCACGGCAUAGGCAGCAAAAUAAAACCCCCAUUGCUCAAACCAGGACUCGAACUUCAGACCUCAUACACUAGCAACACGCCACUUAUCCCCUAGGCCAGCAGGCUCUUUUCUGUCAUGUUUCUCCCUUAUUUACUUAAAAGCCUACUGCCUAGAGACAUUGCUUACUCCUAAAAAACAAAACUUUUUUGCACUUGCUCAGGUUUGAACCCAAGACUUCUCAAACUCUUCCCAGGGCACUUAACCAUUGAAGCAGACAAAUUUUUGUGUCACAUUCUUACACAACUAAAUAUUUAUAAGCAGCUGUCUAACUAUUCCCAUACUCAAGACCUAAUACUUCUAGGCCCAAAAUUCGGGGCGUUACAGUGAUUGCUUCAUUGUUAAUUUUAGCAAGGAAGUUAGCUUUAUUUCCUCCUCCUUGUGAUGUCAUCUCUUAGGGUGAGAUAGUGGUUGUAUAGUUGAUAUGCAAGUCAUGCAAGUAUACAUGUCGAACUAUUAAUAAAGUGAUGAGUAAGAUCGUCUCUAUAGGGAUUAGAUAGGUAUAAUUUGGUCGAGUUAUUAUAGUUAAGUUUGAUUAAUGCUAAAGCAAAAUAAUAAUAAGAAUGCAGUGGAAAAAUGAGAGAAUGAUGAUGUAUAAAAUAUGCAAAACAAAACAAGUAAACGGAACAAGAAUGCCAUGGUAAAAUCACUACGAAAAAGGAUUGAGGAACUACGAUGUUGGUUAGGAUGGUUGGGAUUACUAAUGAAUCUACCUUCACUAACUAUUAAUGCCAUAUCAAAGUCGUGAAUAUUCUACUGCUCGAUAGGUUUCUACAGUAGUCUGCUUCUCUUGAGAGCAAGACUUUGGGUUACCUUCCCUAGGGCACUAUAUCUCUAUAGACUUUGAGUUCAGCUACCACUAAUAUUCUCUACCUUCUUUCAUAUGAGGCAAGGCUCUAUGUCUAGAGGUUGCUAUGAAUAAGUGAUUAAUCAUUCACUCAUAUUAUCCAGCUUCUAUCUAGUUAACCUAAACCUAGCAGGAUUAAGUCAUCUUUAUAAACCUGUUGCAUAGUUAUCAAUGUACAGCUUACAUAUAACAUGAAAUACCAUCGAAUAAAAUAGUAAAACAAACCAAACUUAAACUUUAAACAUUUACAAAAAUAAAGGUUUCAUCAAAGUAGUCCCAAGCCUAAGAGAUUUAGCUCAUGGUUGGGCAAAUCAACUUUGAAUUUAAUACGAUAACCAACAUCAUCAAUAACAAAUAAGCUUUAAAAGAAUCACAAUAAGAAACAAAUAAGGAAAUCUGAUAUGAUAGCUUUCGCCUAUCCAACUCUCAACACAGGUAGCGUAAUGUCUUGUGAUUUCCAAAGAUGAUUGCAGUCAUUUUUCUCCUUCUUCUACUGCCCUCGUACUUGGCCCCUACCCAAUACUCUCUGCUUCAUCCAACGUUGUUCACCCUAAUUAGGAUUCCCUGCUUGGCUUUUAUAAGUUUCACCUUCUAGGGUAGGUCCAUCAGCCCACGAUCCUUCCUUUAUUUUCCAGUUAGAUAUAUCUGGCAUACAUACAUAUGGGGCCAAUAACAGUACGUAUUAAGUGCUGACUAGGCAUCUUCUCGGCAUUGCUAAGGCAUUGUGUUGGCAAAUUGUCCAUACUUUGCCACAACAAACCUUCAACUUUUGCUCUUUUUUUUCUACACUCUGCACCCCCCAAACUAUCACCAAACAAAUCCCUCCCACAAGUGGUUAAAAGCAACAUGUAAUAACAAUUAAGCACAAUCCAAGCCCUUCAAUGCAAUGCUUUAAAAAUGCCAGUAUAGUAUCCUAAAAUGCAAUUAAAAACACUUAAGUAUAGGCAAUUAACUAAGUCUAAGGGCAUGAAAUAUAACUCUUUUCAAAAGUUAUCAUGAGGAAGAAUGGGUCUUCCCUUACUAUAUUUAGCAAGAGAGUUAACUUAUUCCCUUCAUAUGUGGUCGGCCAAAGUGUUCAAAAAGUGAUAGUUUUUUUACUGUUAUUUUUAGCAGUAAGGUGGACGGUUAAGGCUUAUUUCAAGAAAAAAACUGUGUUGAUUUCUAUUUAGUAAAUAUUGGGGUCAAAUCUAUAGAUUUGGGAAUUGAAUGGGUGGUUAGGGACUACUAAGUUUAGCAGUAGAUAUUUUCCAAUUUAUUUCCUGGUAAAAAAAAUGGGUAAAUAGAAUUGUUUUCGGGCCUCUAAUUUAGGCAAUAUUAGGCCUUCUUGGAAUUAAUCAUGGAUCAACAUCAUUUUGAAGUCCAUGUGAUUGCACUAUCAAUCUUUUAACCUGUACCUGUUUAGGACCCAAAUACAGCGAAAAUUCUAUCAUCCUUUCCUUAGCUCAAUUAGUCCCAAAAAAUAGUAAAAUAACAUGUAUUUAACAUAAAAUUCACUCAAUUAACACAUUCUCAUGGAAUAGUAAAAUAUAACAAAAUAAAAUGAAAAAACACAAAAAGUGUUAUUUAUAUACUCGAAAUUUGCAUAAAUUGUUCAUAAAAGAGUGUUGAACUAUCUACAUAUUUUAGAGUUUACACACCCCUAAAAUUAAACCAUUGCUCGUCCCGAGAAUGCUAAAAACAUGUCAUAAUGUAGAAUAUUUAUUCAUCCAUGUAGUCAUAGAAAAGUAAAAAAUGUAUUCUCAAAUCAGUUCUAUAAAUAUGUAGUUCAUAUACAACAUAUCAUCCAUAUUUAUUCAAGUAGCUAAAAUGCUAAUAAACCAUGAUUUUAAAGUUGAUUUUAAAAGUAAAGUAGGUCCAAUCCCAUAAAAUAUUAAUUCCCUAAAUUAACUAAGCAUCAUUCCCCAAAUUUAACACAUGGCUUCAUAUGUUGAAUUCAAUACUUCCUUCUCCACUAAUGUUGUAACAGCCCGUUUUCAGUAAAAUCAGAACAGUGGUCUUGGGACCACAAAUCCGAUUCCAGAAAUGAAAUUUAUUUUAAUAUUAUUUUAUAAUAUAUAGUAUGAUAAUAAUGUCAUAAAAAUUUCAUAAAGAAAUUUUACCGAUUAUAUGUUUCAUUUGAUAAAGGACCAAAUUGCAUAAAGUGAAAAAGUUGAGUUCUAAUAGCUAAAGGGAUUAAAUAGCUAUGGAAUUCAAAAUUUGAGGUCCUUAUAUGGAAAAUAGACCAUUAAAAAUAGUUGUUAAAGAUGAUUAAUUAUCCAUGGAUAAUAAAAUAAAAAAAGAACAAAAUUGGAAAGAUGAAAAAAAUGAUAAAUAAUAAAAUAAAGAAAAUAUCUUCAUUUUUAUCGUUAUCUUUCCCAAAUAAAUAUGGAAACCCUAGCCAUGGAGAAUGGAAGAAAUAGAAAACUUAUUUGGCCAAAUUAGGUAAGUAUUCAAGUCUCGUUUUUAGUAAUUUUUAUACUUUUUGAGAUUGGGGUAACCUAAUCUAGCUAUUUUGGGGAUUAAUUUGACAAGUUAUCAAGUAUAAAAUUUUUACAUGGAUGAAUAUGCUGAAAAUUUGAAAUUUAUGGUAGAAAAUGAAAGGUUGUUGAUAGAUAAACAACUUUUGUAAAGUGAAAUUUGAUGAAAAUGUAAUUAGGGACUAAAUUGUAAAGUUGUAAAAUUUAUGGAAAAAUUCUAAAUUUUAUGAAAUACAUAGGCUAUAAGUGUUACUUUUAAAAUUUGGCUAGGCUUGGAAUAAGGAUUAAAUUGCAUGAAUUUCAUUUUCCAAGCCUAGGGACAAAAUUGUCAUUAAUUAAAAGUUUAGGGGCAAAACGGUAAUUUUUCCUAAAAUGUGAUUUGGACUGAAUUGAGUAUGAAUUAUAUUAAAGUGAUGUUAAAUUUACUCGUAUAGAUCCGGAUAGACCAAAUUCAGAGCUAGAACGAGGAAAAGAGAAAAAUGUCGAAUUAAUAGAUUUUACGUACACGAACAAUUGUCGAGGUAAGUUCGUGUAACUAAAUUGUGUAUAUUUAUAUGCUUGAAUUGAAUGUUGUGUAUUUGAAUUGUAUAAAUGUCAUAAACAUGAAAUUUAUUACAUAUCCGACAAAGCCAGAUAAAUGAUAAUGCCCCAAAAAUGUCAAGUCUCGUUUGAAUAAAUGAAAUUCGAUGGAUUACUGGAUUUCCUGUAAUGGUUAUAGUCUUGCAUAUGUUGCAAACAUAAUAUAGCUCAGACGAGCAUUCUGUUAUUAGCACUCUCGAGUUUCAUGUUAUAUAGUUCUACGAGCAUUCUGAUCGGUAGUAAUUUUGCAUGUGUUGCGACUACCGUAGCUCUUUUUGAGCGUACUGUUUAUUGAUCAAUUGUGAUCCUGCAUAUGUUGUGGACACAAACGUAGCUCUUUGUGAGUGUCCUGUUAUGCGAUCGGUUGUGAUCCUGCAUAUGUUGCAGACACAAACACAACUCUUUAUGAGCGUCCUAAUAUGGCUCGCCUGAACUCCCUGAUAUAUGGCUAUCCAGAGCUCCUAUUACAUGCCUCUUUGUGAGCAUUCCUGAUACGCUCUUCGUGAGCUUCCUGAUUAAAAGUUCUUUGUGAACUUCCUAUUUUAAACUCUUAUGAGUUUCCUAAUUUAGCCUGGAUAAAAUUCCUGUUACAUGAUUCAUAUGAGCAUUGUUGAUAUAUGACUCGAGAGAGUGCUUCCCGAUUAUGUACUCUAAUGAGUACCCCUAAUUAUGAAUUGACGGAUUUCUGAUUUAUACACUUCGAGUGUACUACCUGCUAUCCAUCAAUAUUUCAAAUAAAUUCAACGAGCAAAAUUCUAACAUGAGAAAAUAUGAACAAGAAAUGAAUUAUUACAAGUGUCUACCUAAAAUACAUGAAAUGAUGAUACAUGAUUUAUGGAAAUACAAAUUGAUGAUAUAUGAACAUGGAAUCUAUUUAAUAAAUAUGUUCAUCCAUGAAUAUAGAUUAGUUGUAACAGCCCGUUUUUAAGGUUAAUCGGAAUAGUGGUUUCGAGACCACAAUCUGAAGUCAAAAUAUUUAUUUUAUUAUUUUAUUAAGGUUUACAAUAUUAUAAAAUGUUCGUGUGAAAAUUUCGUAAAGAAAUUUUACCGUUUUAGUGCUUAAUUUAAUAAAAGGACUUAAUCGCGCAAAAUGCAAAAGUUGCAUACUAUUUGUUUAAAGUGCUUAAUAGCUAUGAAGCAUUAAAGUAAGGGUCCUUGCAUGGUAAUUAUACUAUUGAUAAUGAUAGUGGACAAUGAUGGACAUAUAGUGGUUAAAAUUAAUUGAUAUAUGCUACGGGUAAAAUGGUAAUUUAUGAAUAAAGGUUAAUAAAAUAAAACAGCGGAUAAAUUAAUGGUUUUCAUCAUCUUCCAAACCGAAUAGCAAAAGAAAGAGAAGCCAUGGAAGCAUUUUUAGACUCAGCACUUGCAUGAUCAAGAUGUAAGUCCAUUUUGACUCGGUUUUUAAUAAUUUCUACAUUUUUUAGAUCGUUGCAGCUUAAUCUAGCUAGUCCAUAUCUCUGAUUUCUGAACUAUUAAAGUAUGUGAAUUUUACCAUUGUUGAUUAAGUGUAUAUUUCGAUAAUUGAUGAUAGAAAAUAAAUUAUUGUUGUUAGAUAUACAAGUUUUGUAAAGUGAAUUUUAGUAAAAAUGUCAAUUUUGGACUAAAUUGUGAAUUAUUGAAAUUAUGUGGUUAAAAGUGUGAUUAUUUUGAAAAUAUGGGCUUUUAUGAAGCUAUACAAAAUUCGGCUAGCAUGGGCUAUCCUUAAAUUUCAUGAAUUUGAAAUUUUACAAGAUAAGGACUAAAUUGUAAAAAUGUGAAACAUAAGGGGUAAAAGCGUAAUUUUUCCAAAAUGUGUAUAAAGUGUCAAAUUGAACAGAAAGGAAGUUAAUUUGCUGAAUUUUUAAUAUAUUAUAGGUCAAGAUAAGCAAAUACCGGAGCUAGAUCGAGGAAAAAGAAAUGUUGGCGAAUAGACAAUAAAUUCCAUCUGAGCAACUUGAGAUAAGCUCGUAUAGCUAGAAUUGAACUAUUAAUAUUUGUAAUUGUUUAAAAUGAAUGUGUAUAAGUUGAAUGAAUAACCCAAUUGAAAUUUGAAUUACUGAUUAUAUGAUUAAAUUAUUGUUUACAUGAAUGAAAGUGAAAUGCUACAAUUGUUAUAUAUGUUACAUGGAUUUAGUAUGAUAAUAUGCACUAGGUAUGCGAAUUGAGUAUUUAAAUGUAUGUACUUAAUUGAAUUGAAUAUAUAUAUAUGACUUGAGGAAUUGAAUUAUUGAUCAUUAAAUGCUUAAAUGAUGAAGUUGGAUAAUUACCGAGCCCCGCUUGAAUCGUAGGAAUUUGUUAGAUACGAGUAACAUGUCACUAGGGUUACCGAUUUGGUCGAGCUCCUGCAUUUGUUGCAGACUCACCACAGCUCGUAUGAGCUUACCGAUAUAUCAGCUCGUAAGAGCUUACUAUUUUCAGCUCAUUGGAGCUUACCGUUUCAGCUCGUAUGAGCUUAGUAUUCAGCUUGAUAAAGCUUACCAUUUUAUCUCAAUAGUGCUUACUGUUUAUCAGCUCAGGAGAAGCUUACUGAUUAUGGCUCGAAAGAGCGAAAAUGAUAAUAAAUUGAUAGAUUUUUGAUAAAUACACUUAGUGUGUAUCACCUGAGUAUCUAUCCAUAUUCUACGUAGUUCAACGGGCAUAAUUACUAUUACUGGUCAUAUGAAUAAGAUAUGUGUUUAUAUGGAUGAAUUACUGUUAAUACGGAUGAAUUAUUUUUAUUACCGAUGAACAACUAUUUAUACGGAUGAACUACUAGUUAUAUGAAUGAAUUACAGUUAUACAAAUAGAAAUGAAUUGCCAUAAUGUUAUGUGAAUUACAUGGUAUUGAUGACUUUAUAUGCUUAUGCAUUUGGCAAAUUUGGUUCGAUUGUAUUGAAAUGGUAAUAUAGGUUAUAAUGACGUACGAACAAAUGUUAUAUAUGUGAAUCAAGAUAUAGGUGGUUUAACCACAUAUGUGCCCAUUAGUGUACAAGAUACAGAAUAUUCGAUGUUAUUUCCAUGGUUCAACGGAGAAGAUAACGGUACGAGAAUUGAAAUGAUGAUAUGAAUCAGUUCAGGUAUACGUGACAUGCUCGACAAGUAAGUGAUAUUUUAAUAAUUUCAUAAAAUAAUAGAUAAGAAUAUCGCAAAUAAAGCCAUUGCAACACCCAUCAAAGGAGUCGUUCCCCAUCCAGGGGCUACCUUACCAUAUUCCGAAUUCAAUGGUUUCAAAAAAUCCCCUACAACAGUUCGUCUUGGACCAGAUCCAAUAUAUAGAAAAUUCCAAUCUCUAUCUUUUAUUUUUACCCUAAAAUAAAAACUUUACAAAAGUUUGGUAAGAGAUUUUUUACUUAUUUUUUAUAUUUUAUAUAUAUUUUAUAUAAAAUAUAAAAAAAAGGUAAAGAAAAGAAAGACCACUAAAUCGAAAUAAAGGAGCAAUAACCACUUUCUUGUUAUGAUAUGUAAGUGAAAACCGAUGAAUACAUACAGGGAUUACCAGGUUGUUAUUGUAUUACGUGUUGAUUUUGAUAGAGCUGAUUUAUAUGUCCUCAUGUUUCUCUAAUUCUGAAUUAAUUGUUAAAUUGUAUAUAGUACAUAUUAGUCAUAUGAGCUUACUAAGCUUAUUAGCUUACUCUAUUUAUUUUCCUUAUUUACAAUGAUUUGAAAGCUUGCUCAGGUUGGAAGUCAUCGAAGAUUUCAUCACACUAUCCAGAAUUUGAUUUGGUAUUUUUGAACUCUUUGAAAUUAGUAAUAUGGCAUGUGUAGGCUAGUUGAUGAUAUGAGAUAUAUGAGUUAUUUUAGCUAUUAAAGCUUAUAUGCAUUGAUGUGUUAGGCCAUGUGAUUUGGCUUAUUUUGGUACUAUGUUUUGAUUGAAUUUUAGCGUUCAAUUAUGGUAUGUUUUGGUAAGAAAUGAUGGACUGAAAAUAUGUAAGUGAGGUAUUGAUAUAUAUAUUUUGUUAGAUGAAUGGAUUAUGCAUGGUAUUAAAUAGGUGAUUGAAUAUCAAGUUGAAUUGGUAUAUAUAGUAUAUGGAAUGGUUAUGAAAUGUUUGCUAAUUGGGUUAUGAAAUGUGGUCAUUUACGCUUGUGUAUAUAAGGUGGCAAAAUGGCUUUGUAAAUAGCCUAUUUUUGUCCAUGCAGGCAGGGACACGGGCGUGUGUCUCAGCCGUGUGUGACACAUGGUCCUGUUGCAGCCAUAUGUCCCCUGGUAAAACCGAAAAAAUUUGGUUAACCGAUUGAAUUCAGUUAAUCAGUCGGUUAACCAAAUUAAUUCGGUCGGGAGUCAGUUAAUAAUUUUUUGAGUUUUCGGUUAACGGUUAAUUUGGCUCCAAACCGGUCGAUUAACUGAAUUUUUUCAGCUUAACCGAAAAAAUUAAUAAAUAAAAUUAUAAUAUAUAAUAGCCCACUAUUCACUCAAACCCAACCUAACAUAAACCCAAAUACCCAAUCUAACAUAUAUUAAGCCAAGUACCCAACCCAACCCAAUUACCCAACCCAAUCAUAAAAAUUACAAAUAAUUUAAUAAAUAAAAAUAAAAAUAUAAAACUAAAACUAAAAAUAAAUAAAAAAAACAUAUAAUUUUAUACAAAUAAUUCGAUUAAUUCGAUUAAUUCGGUCAAUUUGAUUAAUUCGGUUAAUUCAGUUAAUUCGGUUAAUUUUAUACUUAUUUUAACCAAAAAUUAAAAAACAUAUAAUUUCGGUUAACUUGGUUAACCGACCGAAUUAACCAAAAAAAAUUCGGGUCGGUUAAUUUUUUUGAAAAAAAAUUUAUUCGGUUAACAGUUAAAAAUUUUGAAGGUUCAGUUAAUUCGAUUAAUGUUAAUUCAGUUAAGAUAAAGCUUCAGAUUAGUCAACUUUGUUUCUACGCCUUUAUUGUCGAGGUAAGUUUGUGUUAUUUUAUAAUGUUUUAAUGCUAUCUUUUGAGCUCUAGGUAAAUUGUGGAUUGUUAUGUAAAUAAUUAAUGCAAAUCCAACGACGUUACGAAAACUAUCGAGCCCCGUUAGAACUUUAGGAAUUCGUAGGAUACAAAUGACAUGUCAUUAAGGUUUUCAUGUUUCAGGUGCUGGUCUUGAAUGUCCUACCGAUGGCUGAGGUCCAGCAUGUGUUGUGGAUACUUCACAGCUCGUGUGAGCAGCAUCGUGUAGCUUACAUUCCGACCCAUAACUCAUGUGAGCAGGCCCAAUUCACAGCUCAUGUAACAUCCCGAAUUAGGGCUUAGUCGGAAUAGUGGUUUUGAGACCAUAAAUCUGAUAUAUAAAUAAUUAUUUUAUGAUUCUCAUGAGGUUUAUGUUAUGAAUACAUGCUUGUUUCUAUGCAUAAAAUGUCUAAUUGCAUUUUAAGGACCAAAUUGAAUAAAGUGAAAAACUUUCAUUCUAGAAGCGUUAAGCAUGAAAUUGCAUUAGAUAUUGAAUUAGAGGGUCCUAAUUAGAAAUUUGACCAAUUUCUAUAAUUUUGGAAAAAAAUGGACAUGCAUAGGAAAAAUGUAAAAGAGAAACCCUAGGGGUAUUUUGGUCAUUUGGUAAUUAAAAGAAUAAAAAGGGAAAAAUAAGUCAAAAUUGGCGUCCAUCUUCUUCCUUCAUUGCCGAAAAUUGCAAGACACCAUAGCUAGGGUUUGUUCAAUAUUUUAAAGCUUGAUUGUAAGUGCAUCCUAGCCCCGUUUUUAAUGUUCUUUGCAUUUUUUAAGUCCUUGAAGCAUGAUCUAACCAUUUCUAACUAUAUUUUGAUCUAGGGUUCAUGUAUAAAAUUUGACCCAUGUGUAACAUGCAUGUAUUUUGAUGAUUAAUGAAGGAAUAUGAAUGUUUGAUGCAUGAUAAACAUCUUUUACUAGGUGAUUUUUAGUGAAAACACCUAAACAAGGGACUUGUUUGUAAAAUGUAAAAGAGAAUAGUAAUAAUGUGAAAUAAAAGAAAAUAUGGGCUAAUAUGAGCAUAGUAAAGGUUCGGCUAUGCUUGGGUAACCAAGAAAAUGCAUGCAUUUCAUUUUACGAGUCUAGAGACCAAAGUGCAAAUAUGUGAAAGUUUAGGGGUCAAAAUGUAAAUUUGCAAAAGUACGAAUUAUGGACCCAUUUGAACAAUGUGAAUAAUAAAUAAGUUAAAUUUGGCAUUAUAGAUUAAGAAAAACGUGAACCGGGAUUUGAUCGAGGAAAGAAUAAAGUACACAACGAUUAAGCUCGAUUAUCAUCAUUUUGUACUGAGGUAAGUACACAUGCAAAAAAUGUGGUGUUGUAGUAUGUUUUUGUAACACCCCGUACCCGAGUCCGUCGCCGGAGUCGGACACGAGGGGUUUGCAGACUUAAAUCACUUCUUUGCACAAUCCAUUUUAAAUUUUCCAGGCAAGCUGGCUAACUGCGUCACUAUCACCUUAAAAAUCAUAUCUUGAGUUUCACAUCUCGAAAAUCAGUUUUGUGAUUUUUCCCUGAAACUAGACUCAUAUAUGCAUCUACAAAUUUUUUUCUAGAAUUUUUGGUUGGGCCAAUUAGUACAGUUUAUUAGUCAAAGUCUCCCAUGUUACAGGGAUCGACUACACUGACCUUUGCGCAUUACGACUUGGAUAUCUCCAUGUACAGGGCUUCAAUACUGAUUCCGAUUGUUUCUAUAGAAACUAGACUCAAAAAAGAAUCUAUGAAUAUAUGGAAUGACUUCUAAUUAUCUCUGGUUAAUUUAUAAUGAAUUUCCAAAUUCGGAACAGGGAAUCCAGAAACCGUUCUGGCCCUGUCUCACGAAAACCUGAAUAUCUCUUAACAUACUGUCCAUAUGAUCGUUUCAUUACUUUCCUAUGAAAAUAGAUUCAUCAAGGUUCAUUUACAUAAUUUAUUCACUAUUUAAUUCCAUUCCUACUAUUUUUAGUUAUUUUCCAAAUCAACAUCACUGCUGCUGUCAGCAUCUGCCUUUAAGGUAGACUUUACCUAUUUCAUAGUUUCCAUGAUUCAACUAGCCCUUUUAGCAUAAAUAGCACAAAUUAUGAUAGUGACUAACCAUUCCCAUGGCCAAUCCUUUUUAAGCAUAUCCACACCUCUCAAUAACCAUAUCCAUACCAAAUGAUUAUAACAUUAUGCUCAAACAUAUAUAUAAGCCAUUUUCGCAUGGCUAUCCAAAAUUAUACAAAUCCAAAGGGUCCAUGACCCACAACAAAAAGGGUAGUCCUAUACAUGCCAUUUCAAAGUUCAACCAAAAGUAUACCAAAAGGAGCUUUGAUAGUGUGGGCGACUUCGACUUCAAAAUCCCGAGUCCGAUAGCUGAAGAACCAAAAUCUAUAAAACAGAGAAUCAAAGAAACGGAGUAAGCAUUAAAUGCUUAGUAAGUUUUGAGCAAAGAAUUUAGACACAACCAAAGUAUAGCAUUCAUGUAGCUAAACAGAUAAUUUCAUAUGCACAAAUUUUCAAUAUCAUACUUACUUCACAUUACCAACCCUUAUAUUCAUACACAAAGAUCAACUUAGCCAAAGGCCGGUAGCUCAUUUAUCAACUGAGCGAAUACUUAUUUGUAAGGGCUCAACUAAUUCAAAGCACAUACGAAACAUACCUCAAUGUUGGGAUGUUACAAGCGUAUUAACUGAAAUUUUUACAGCAAGAUCGUUCAUUCCCGAAUCACGUACCUUCGGAAUUUAACCGGAUAUAGCUACUCGUUCAAAUGCCUUCGGGACAUAGCCCGGGUAUAGUAACUCGCACAAAUGCCUUCGGGACUUAACCCGGAUUUAGUAACUCGCACUAAUGCCUUCGGGCUUAGCCCGGAAUUAGUAACUCGCACCAAUGCCUUUGGGCUUAGCCCGGAAUUAGUAACUCGCACAAAUGCCUUCGGAUCUUAGUCCAGAUAUGGUCACUUAGCACAAAGCCUUCGGGACUUAGCCCGGACAUCAUUCGAAUAACCAUGCACAUUUAACAAUAAAUCAUGACACAUUCGUAUUUCAUUUUCAUUAGCAAAACUCAAACACAAGACACUUAUCACUCUUGCAAUUUCGGCUCAAUAGCCACAUACAAAGAGCAUGAAUUCGCUUAAAAUAUGAUCUAAUCAAAUCAUAAUCUAAGUUCCAUUACUCGAAAACUUACCUCGGAUGUUGUCGAAUGAUUUCGAUGGCUAUUCGACCACUUUUUCCUUCCCUUUAUCGGAUUUAGUUCCCCUUUUCUCUUGAGCUUAAUUUAACAAAUAAAUUGAUUUAAUCAUUUGAGCAUCGAAAAGAGGAACUCAAGGUACUUAGCCCAUAUAUAAUUCAUUAGACAUCAAAGUCACAUAUGUACGGAAUCAUGAAUCAAACUCAACACAUUAGUUAGUAUUCUCCUUAGCCGAAUUUUCUAAGUCAAGAUAAAUCCUUCAAUAUGCUUACCUAUGGCCGAACAAACACAUCAACCUAUGUACUCAUUCAUGUGGCCGAAUAUGCAUGUUUAUGUUGAGGCCAAUUAUAUACUUAAUACCACACACAAAUGGCAUACACUUUACUAACUAAUGCAUUACAUAUUAUAACUCAAUACGCAUCCAUCAUUUACUCCAUAACCGAAACACCAUCAUAUGAAAAUAUAUACCUUGAGAUAUUAUAUAUGUCAUGCCAAUACAUCAUGUGCAAACAUAUAUAUAUAUGUGUGUAAGAGCCGAAUCACAAGGUUGAUUAUAACCAAACAUAAACAUAAAUCCAAAACCAAAUCUUACCUACCAUGCAAUAAGCAUAAAUCAUCCUUAUGGAUAUACCAUGGCCGAAUACAUCACAACACCUUACCAUUUCAAUUUUGAUCAUGGUUAAACAAAGAACUUAAUGUCUCACUCAAAAAUGCUAAAAAGAAAAUCCAAGAGUUAAUCAAUCCACCAUCACAUGUAUCAUUAACAAGCUUCACAUUUAGCAUGCAAUGACAUUAACACAAAAUCCACCUUGGCCGAAUAUCAUCCCCAUGACAUAGCAAAGAUUUGAACCAUGGCUAAUUAGAACUCAAGCUAGCAACUAAAAACAUGCAUGAAUCUCAUGGCACAACAUCAACAUACCUUAAUCUAGAUACAAGUAUGGCCGAACCUCCUCCUAAUCCUCUUCCAAACCAAACAUGAAGCAAGAACUCCUUCCUUCUUCCUUAGAAUUUUCGGCCAAGGAUGAACCAAAGGAUGAACACUUUUUUUUUUGUUUUCUUUUCUUCCACUCACGGCAAUAGGGGGAGACAAUCACACACAUUCUUUCCUUUUUUUUCCAUUUCUUUAUUACCCAUACUCCUUAUUUUAUUUUUCCUAACAUACAUCACUAACAUAACAUGUUUGUGACAUGUUUCCACUCAUAGCAUGGCCGGCCACUAAGCUUAAAUUUGGGUAAAUUGACAUGCAAACCCAUCAUUUUCACAACAUGCAUUAAUAGGCCAUUUCACAUUUGCCUAGCACAUUUCUAAAUUUUCUCACAUAAGUCCUAUUUGAUAAAAUUCACUUACAAUUGACAAAAUUCAAACAUGAAAUUUUCACACAUGCAUAUAUACAUAUAAUAAGCAUCAAAUAUGACAGCUAAUUAUUUUUAUGACUCGAUUUUGUGGCCCCGAAACCACUUCCCGACUAGGGUCACUUUAGGGCUGUCACAACUCUCCCACACUUAAGAAAUUUUCGUCCCCGAAAAUUUUACCGGUAAAUAGGUUUAGGUAUCGUUCUUUCAUAGAAUUCUCAGUUUCCCAAGUAGCUUCUUCGAUACCGUGUUUGAGCCAUAAUACUUUUACUAACGGAACCCUUUUGUUUCGCAACUCUUUCACUUUACGAGCUAGGAUACGAAUCGGUUCUUCUUCAUAACUCAAGUCAGAUUGAAUUUCAACUUCUGAUGGAUUAAUCACGUGUGACGGAUCGGAUCUAUAACGUCGAAGCAUCGAAACAUGAAAGACGUCGUGAAUCUUUUCAAGUUCAGGGGGCAAAAUCAAUCUAUACGCAACUGGACCAACUCGUUCGGAGAUUUCGUGCGGCCCAAUGAAUCUCGGGCUCAACUUGCCCUUACGGCCAAAUCUGAGUAUCUUUUUCCAAGGCAAAACUUUAAGAAACACUUUAUCUCCCACCUGAUACUCAAUGUCUUUUCGUUUCAAGUCCGCGUACGACUUCUGGCGAUCUGUGGCUGCCUUCAGACUCUCACGAAUUAUUUUUACUUUCUGUUCAGCAUCUUUAAUCAAAUCAACUCCGAAAAUUUUACUUUCACCGAGCUCGGUCCAAAACAAUGGUGUACGGCAUUUACGACCGUACAAAGCCUCGUAAGGUGCCAUCUUAAUACUUGAUUGAAAACUGUUGUUGUAAGCGAAUUCAAUCAAAGGUAAAUACCGUUCCCAUGAACCACUGAACUCGAGGAUGCAACAUCUCAACAUAUCCUCAAGUAUCUGAAUUAUCCGCUCGAAUUGACCAUCGGUUUGGGGGUGAAAAGCAGUGCUAAAGUGCAGCUUGGUACCCAAAGCUUCUUGCAAUUUCUUCCAAAAUCGCGAGGUGAAUCUCGGAUCUCUAUCCGACACAAUAGAAAUCGGUACCCCGUGUAAUCUCACAAUCUGAGAAACAUACAAUUCAGCUAGUUUAUCCAAUGAAAAAUCCGUACGUACGGGGAUAAAAUGAGCCGACUUAGUCAGUCUAUCAACAACAACCCAAAUCGCAUCUUUCUUACUUGUCGACGGUGGCAACCCAGACACAAAAUCCAUCGUGACUCGAUCUCAUUUCCAUUCAGGUAUCAUGAUCGGUUGAAGUAAACCCGUAGGCACUUGAUGUUCCGCCUUUACUUGCUGACAUAUUAAACACUUCGAAACAAAAUCGGAAAUGUCUCGUUUCAUACCAUGCCACCAAAACUGACGUCUCAGAUCAUUGUACAUUUUCGUACUCCCCGGGUGAAUCGACAUUCGGCUAUAAUGAGCUUCAUUUAGAAUCAUCGAAAUAAGUUCUGAAUUUCUUGGAACACACAAACGAUUUCUGAACCUCAAGCAAUCGUCAUCAUCAACUUGAAACUCUGAUUCCACAGUCAGAACACAUUCAGCCUGUUUUGCAACAAUUCACCAUCGACUUUCUGAGCCUCACGAAUUUGAGGAAUCAAUAAUGGUUUGGCUUUUAAUUCAGCUACUAACACAUUGUCGGGUAGAACAGACAAGUGUACAUUCGUCGCUCGUAAAGCAAACAGUGAUUUACGACUUAAGGCAUCCGCAACCACAUUAGCUUUUCCCGGGUGAUAGUCAAUGACAAGCUCAUAAUCCUUUAACAACCGGAGCCAACGUCUUUGUCGUAGAUUUAAGUCUCUUUGAGUCAUCAAAUAUUUGAGACUUUUGUGAUCCGAAAAUACAUGGCACUUUUCACCAAAUAAGUAAUGUCGCCAUAUUUUUAAAGCGAAUACGAUGGCAGCUAGUUCGAGAUCAUGGGUCGGAUAAUUUUUCUCAUGUGGCUUUAAUUGUCUCGACGCAUAGGCCACAACUCGACCUUCUUGCAUCAAUACGCAACCUAGCCCAAGUAGGGACGCAUCACUAUAAAUGACAAACUCUUUGCCUGAUUCGGGCUGCACUAGAAUUGGAGCUUCGGUCAAAUAAGUUUUCAGUUGAUCAAAACUUUUCUGACAUUUUUCCGUCCAUUCGAACUUAACAUCUUUUUGAAGUAGCUUCGUCAUCGGUGUGGCUAUCAUCGAGAAACCUUUUACAAACCGUCGGUAGUAACCGGCAAGUCCCAAAAAGCUCCGAACCUCAGUAAUAUUUCUCGGAGGCUUCCAGUUAAGUAUGGCUGAAAUUUUGCUCGGGUCAACUCGAAUACCCGAUGCAGAUACCACAUGGCCGAAGAAGCUAACCUCUCUUAACCAGAACUCACACUUACUGAACUUAGCAUAUAACUGCUUAUCCCGUAAAAUUUGCAACACUAAUCUCAGGUGCUCAGCAUGUUCGGUCUCAUCUCUUGAAUAGACCAAGAUGUCGUCAACGAACACAACUACGAACUGGUCCAAAUACUGUCUGAAGAUCCGAUUCAUCAAAUCCAUAAAUACCGCAGGGGCAUUAGUGAGCCCAAACGGCAUCACUAAGAACUCGUAGUGGCUAUAUCUCAUUCUGAAAGUAGUUUUCGGUAUAUCCGAAUCUCGAAUUCGCAACUGGUAAUAACCCAAUCUCAAAUCUAUCUUUGAAAACACUGAGGCUCCCUUUAGUUGAUCAAACAAAUCAUCAAUACGCGGUAACGGAUAUUUAUUCUUUAUCGUCAUUUUAUUCAGCUGACGAUAGUCAAUGCACAACCUCAUGGUUCCGUCCUUCUUUUUCACAAACAAUACUGGUGCACCCCAAGGUGAGAAACUUGGUCGAGCGAAACCUCUAUCCGUCAACUCUUGCAACUAAGCUUUCAAUUCUUUUAACUCGGUUGGUGCCAUACGAUACGGAGCUAUCGAAAUUGGCGUAGUUCCAGGUACAAGCUCAAUACCAAACUCUACCUCCCGAACAGGUGGUAAACCCGGUAAUUCUUUAGGAAAAACAUCCAGGUAUUCACAAACCACCGGCACAGAUUCGGGUUUCUUUUCUAAUUAUUUGUCAUCAAGUACAUACGCAAGGUAUGCUUCGCACCCUUUUCUUACAUAUUUCUGGGCCAACAUUGCUGAUAUUACAGCUGGCAACCACUUUAAGCCCGUAGACUCAACUCGGAUUAUCUCGUUAUUUGCGUACCUCAAAUCAAUAGUCUUGCUUUUGUAAUUCACAACCGCAUCAUGCACGGUCAACCAAUCCAAACCAAGAAUAACAUCAAAUUCAUCAAACGGCAAAAGCAUCAAGUCCGCUGGAAAAUAGGAAUCUCGAAUUACUAGGGGGCAUUUCUUACACACUUUGUCGACAAGCACGUAACGACCCAAGGGAUUUGACACCCGAAUUACGAACUCAGUAGACUCAAUAGGUAAAAUCUUACUGGAUGCUAAGGUUUCGCAUAUAUAAGAAUGAGUAGAACCAGGGUCAAUCAAAGCAAUCACUUUAGUAUCAAAGAGAGUAAAAGUACCCGUAAUAACAUCUAGCGAGGAAGCAUCUUCGCGUGCGCAUAUAGCAUAAGUCCUAGCAGCAGCACGAGCCUCAGAUUUGGUCGUAGCAUCUCUAGAUCCUCUCUGACCACCACUAGCAUUGCCCGUAUUUCUGGAUGGUCUACCUCGAGCAGUGGUAGCAACCGGUUACCCGCUCUGAUUUAUAUUCUGUUCAGACAACCUCGGGCAAUCUUUAAUGAAGUGGUCAACUGAUCCGCACUUGUAACAGGAGCGAUCAUGGAAUCUACAACUCCCCGAAUGCCAUUUACCACAAUACUGGCACUCCGCUCUGUCCCGACAAUCAUUUCCAACACUAGCGACCGAAGUGACUCGUGCACUCACAGGGGGUCGAUCGCGAUCUCGUCUAGGAAAGCCUGAAGUGUCUCUAGACCGGCCUAAGCCAUCUCUAAAUUUCUUCGAUGACUGUGGGAAGGGCAUCCCCGAAGACCUCUUACGAAACUCCCUUGCUCCCACCUCAGCUUUUCUUUUCUCCAUACUUAGCUCCUCGGCUUUACAAGCUCGCUCGACAAGUACCACAAAUUCUCGGAUUUCUAACAUGCCAACAUACAGCUUUAUGUCAUUAUUCAGUCCAUCUUCGAAACGUUUACACAUCACAGCUUCAGAAGAAAUGCAUUCUCGCGCAUACCGGCUAAGCCUCACAAAUUUUCGUUCAUAGUCGGUAACUGACAUGGAACCUUGUUUGAGUUCAAGAAAUUCCUUCCGUUUUUGGUCAAUGAAUCUCUGACUGAUAUACUUCUUUCGAAACUCGGUUUGGAAGAAUUCCCAAGUUACUUGCUCUCUAGGCACAACAGAAGUCAAUGUAUUCCACCAAUAGUAGGCAGAAUCACGUAGCAAGGAGAUAGUACACUUUAGGCACUCAUCGGGUGUGCAAGAUAGCUUGUCGAGUACCCGGAUAGUGUUGUCCAACCAAAAUUCAGCUUGCUCGGCAUCAUCGCUGUCCGUAGCUUUAAAUUCAGUAGCCCCGUGUUUUCGGAUUCUGUCAACUGAGGGCUUAUUUGACCUUAUUUGGUCCGUUACCGGAGGUAUUGUAGGUACGGGGUGGUAUUUGUCGGGAAUGGAGGUUGUGGAACAGCCGUAUUAGUUCGAAUGUAUUGGUUAAACCAAUCAUUCAUCACGCUAUAGAAAGCUUGUCUAGCCUCAUCAUUCGGAUUACUAGCAAUAGGAUGAGAGUCCGCCAGAGCUGUCCCUUGUGCGGGAGCAGGCGCUACACUCUCAAGAUCAUCAGCUACCGCUCGGUCGGGAUCGGGAUCCAUUACUAUAAAUAAACACAUUUGCAAAUGUCAGAAAUCACCACACUAUCAAAUAAUCACAUAAAAUGGCAUGUAUAGCUAGACCCAACGCAUUACGGUAGUCCUAGAAUCGACUAAACCGUAGCUCUGAUACCAAUAAAAUUGUAACACCCCAUACCCGAGUCCGUCGCCGGAGUCGGACACGAGGGGUUUGCAGACUUAAAUCACUUCUUUGCACAAUCCAUUUUAAAUUUUCCAGGCAAGCUGGCUAACUACGUCACUGUCACCUUAAAAAUCAUAUCUUGAGUUUCACAACUCGAAAAUCAGUUUCGUGAUUUUUCCCUGAAACUAGACUCAUAUAUGCAUCUACAAAUUGUUUUAUAGAAUUUUUAGUUGGGCCAAUUAGUACAGUUUAUUAGUCAAAAUCUCCCAUGUUACAGGGAUCGACUACACUGACCUUUGUGCAUUACGACUUGGAUAUCUCCCUGUACAGGGCUUCAAUACUGAUGCCGAUUGUUUCUAUAGAAACUAGACUCAAAAAGGAAUCUAUUCAUAUAUGGAAUGACUUCUAAUUAUCUCUGGUUAAUUUAUAAUGAAUUUCCAAAGUUGGAACAGGGAAUCCAGAAACCGUUCUGGCCCUGUCUCACGAAAACCUGAAUAUCUCUUAACAUACUGUUCAUAUGAUCGUUUCAUUACUUUCCUAUGAAAAUAUAUUCAUCAAGAUUCGUUUACAUAAUUUAUUCACUAUUUAAUUCCAUUCCUACUAUUUUUAGUUAUUUUACAAAUCUACAUCACUGCUGCUGUCAGCAUCUGCCUUUAAGGUAGACUUUACCUAUUUCAUAGUUUCCAUGAUUCAACUAGCCCUUUUAGCAUAAAUAGCACAAAUUAUGAUAGUGAUUAACCAUUCCCAUGGCCAAUCCUUGUUAAGCAUAUCCACACCUCUCAAUAACCAUAUCCAUACCAAAUGAUUAUAACAUUAUGCUCAAACAUAUAUAUAAGCCAUUUUCGCAUGGCUAUCCAAAAUUAUACAAAUCCAAAGGGUCCAUGACCCACAACAAAAAGGGUAGUCCUAUACAUGCCAUUUCAAAGUUCAACCAAAGGCAUACCAAACGGAGCUUUGAUAGUGUGGGCGACUUCGACUUCAAAAUCCCGGGUCCGAUAGCUGAAGAACCAAAAUCUAUAAAACAGAGAAUCAAAGAAACGGAGUAAGCAUUAAAUGCUUAGUAAGUUUUGAGCAUAGAAUUUAGACACAACCAAAGUAUAGCAUUCAUGUAGCUAAACAGAUAAUUUCAUAUGCACAAAUUUUCAAUAUCAUACUUACUUCACAUUACCAACCCUUAUAUUCAUACACAAAGAUCAACUUAGCCAAAGGCCGGUAGCUCAUUUAUCAACUGAGCGAAUACUUAUUUGUAAGGGCUCAACUAAUUCAAAGCACAUACGAAACAUACCUCAAUGUUGGGAUGUUACAAGCGUAUUAACUGAAAUUUUUACAGCAAGAUCGUUCAUUCCCGAAUCAGGUACCUUCGGAAUUUAACCGGAUAUAGCUACUCGUUCAAAUGCCUUCGGGACAUAGCCCGGGUAUAGUAACUCGCACAAAUGCCUUCGGGACUUAACCCGGAUUUAGUAACUCGCACCAAUGCCUUCGGGCUUAGCCCGGAAUUAGUAACUCACACCAAUGCCUUCGGGCUUAGCCCGAAAUUAGUAACUCGCACAAAUGCCUUCGGAUCUUAGUCCGGAUAUGGUCACUUAGCACAAAGCCUUCGGGACUUAGCCCGGACAUCAUUCGAAUAACCAUGCACAUUUAACAAUAAAUCAUGACACAUUCGUAUUUCAUUUUCAUUAGCAAAACUCAAACACAAGACACUUAUCACUCUUGCAAUUUCGGCUCAAUAGCCACAUACAAAGAGCAUGAUUUUGAUUCGCUUAAAAUAUGAUCUAAUCAAAUCAUAAUCUAAGUUCCAUUACUCGAAAACUUACCUCGGAUGUUGUCGAACGAUUUUGAUGGCUAUUCGACCACUUUUUCCUUCCCUUUAUCGGAUUUAGUUCCCCUUUGCUCUUGAGCUUAAUUUAACAAAUAAAUUGAUUUAAUCGUUUGAGCAUCGAAAAGAGGAACUCAAGGUACUUAGCCCAUAUAUAAUUCAUUAGACAUCAAAGUCACAUAUGUACGGAAUCAUGAAUCAAACUCAACACAUUAGUUAGUAUUCUCCUUAGCCGAAUUUUCUAAGUCAAGAUAAAUCCUUCAAUAUGCUUACCUAUGGCCGAACAAACACAUCAACCUAUGUACUCAUUCAUGUGGCCGAAUAUGCAUGUUUAUGUUGAGGCCAAUUAUAUACUUAAUACCACACACAAAUGGCAUACACUUUACUAACUAAUGUAUUACAUAUUAUAACUCAAUACGCAUCCAUCAUUUACUCCAUAACCAAAACACCAUCAUAUGAAAAUAUAUACCUUGAGAUAUUAUAUAUGUCAUGCCAAUACAUCUUGUGCAAACAUAUAUAUAUGUGUGUGUAAGAGCCGAAUCACAAGGUUGAUUAUAACCAAACAUAAACAUAAAUCCAAAACACAAAUCUUACCUACCAUGCAAUAAGCAUAAAUCAUACUUAUGGAUAUACCAUGGCCGAAUACAUCACAACACCUUACCAUUUCAAUUUUGAUCAUGGUUAAACAAAGAACUUAAUGUCUCACUCAAAAAUGCUAAAAAGAAAAUCCAAGAGUUAAUCAAUCCACCAUCACAUGUAUCAUUAACAAGCUUCACAUUUAGCAUGCAAUGACAUUAACACAAAAUCCACCUUAGCCGAAUAUCAUCCCCAUGACAUAGCAAAGAUUUGAACCAUGGCUAAUUAGAACUCAAGCUAGCAACUAAAAACAUGCAUGAAUCUCAUGGCACAACAUCAACAUACCUUAAUCUAGAUACAAGUAUGGCCGAACCUCCUCCUAAUCCUCUUCCAAACCAAACAUGAAGCAAGAACUCCUUCCUUCUUCCUUAGAAUUUUCGGCCAUGGAUGAACCAAAGGAUGAACACUUUUUUUUUAUUUUCUUUUCUUCCACUCACGGCAAUAGGGGGAGACAAUCACACACAUUCUUUCCUUUUUUUUCCCAUUUCUUUAUUUCCCAUACUCCUUAUUUUAUUUUUCCUAACANNNNNNNNNNNNNNNNNNNNNNNNNNNNNNNNNNNNNNNNNNNNNNNNNNNNNNNNNNNNNNNNNNNNNNNNNNNNNNNNNNNNNNNNNNNNNNNNNNNNNNNNNNNNNNNNNNNNNNNNNNNNNNNNNNNNNNNNNNNNNNNNNNNNNNNNNNNNNNNNNNNNNNNNNNNNNNNNNNNNNNNNNNNNNNNNNNNNNNNNNNNNNNNNNNNNNNNNNNNNNNNNNNNNNNNNNNNNNNNNNNNNNNNNNNNNNNNNNNNNNNNNNNNNNNNNNNNNNNNNNNNNNNNNNNNNNNNNNNNNNNNNNNNNNNNNNNNNNNNNNNNNNNNNNNNNNNNNNNNNNNNNNNNNNNNNNNNNNNNNNNNNNNNNNNNNNNNNNNNNNNNNNNNNNNNNNNNNNNNNNNNNNNNNNNNNNNNNNNNNNNNNNNNNNNNNNNNNNNNNNNNNNNNNNNNNNNNNNNNNNNNNNNNNNNNNNNNNNNNNNNNNNNNNNNNNNNNNNNNNUGAUAAUUGUAAUAAUAUACUUUUACCUAGUUUAUUAAUAAAGGAAUUGUCAUUAUUGUUUUUAGUCUUUAUUUUUGUGUUAAAUAAGUUGUAUAAUGAUAAGGUCCUAAGAAUGAUAUAAUCAUUUUUAAAUGUCCUUAGUUUAGUAUUAUUGUGGACUUUGAAAACAAUAAUGCAUUGAGACUAAUAUGUGCUUGAUUGAUGGCAAGUGUUGUUAUGGAUAUGUGAUAUCAAAUUAACACAUAAGUAUUUGUUAGGGAACAAUAUGUUGGAUUGGCCCACCAUGAGAAUGCUUCCUGAUUAUUAUAUAAUAGUUACAACAUUUCUCAUAAUGAUAAUUAUGUGUAUGAUCCUUAGACUUGAGAUCACCAUUAUUCCAACAUUAUGAGUCAUAUGCUUUGACACAGUCAAAUGUCUUCCACAAAUGGUUGUAUGAUAAAGAUUGAUGUUGGGUAUGUUGGAUUUGAUGCCUUCAGUGUAGUAUAUUCGGAUGUAAACUUGUAAUUUUUUUCGAACAGAUUGAUUAAUAAAACAAAUUCAUUGAUAGACUUUGCAUAAUUGUCCUUAUAUAGGUUUUGCAUGCAAAGCAAAAUGGAAGAAAAUGUUGCUCAUUGGUUGUCUAAUAUUGAACUAAUACUAAGCGGUAUUACGUGGUCAGAUCAUAAUAUAAGAAAACAACUGAUAUUAGUAGAUGAACCUAAACAUGUCCUUAGUCUAAUCAGAAAUGAGUAAAUCGAUUGAAAGACUAAAAUGUUGUCUAUUAAAGUCUAAUUUGGGAGAUGCUUUGUCUUGGGCAUUGGAGCGCAUGACUCCUAGAAGAUAGAGACAUAGAUGUGACUGAUUGGACUAAUAAUCAAUCAGACUGAACCUAAGAAGAAUAGAUCCUGAAUUCGUUUAUGGGUUUAUUCACUUGUGAUGUUCAUAGUGUUGCAUACCUAAAUCAUGAGGGGAUGCCGAACGAUAUAUGCAUGACUCGUACACUUUGAUGUAAGUGAAAGCCUGAGUUCAAAUAGAUAAGAAAUCGAAAGCUGGUGCGUUGGGUGUACGACUUCUGCAGUAUGUAGUGUCAUUCACAAAAAUGGAAUUCAUAACGUGAGACAUGGGUAAAUGAUAUCCUCUCAUUGGCAUUACAUGGUUGAUAAAAAGUAAACGUGGUCAUGGUCGUUCAUCUUUGUGAUGAAUGACUUGAUUACUAUUUGAUAGUAAUUGAUUUUUUAUGAAGGAAGAUGUAAUGGUUACCAUGAAAGAAAAAUAGGAUCGUAUUGGGAGAACGAAUAUUAUCCCAAAGAUAUUAAGGAUAUCCUAUGAGGGUAACACAAUUAUGACAAUGUCAUUGGACGAGUAUUAAUCAAGUUGCUUUCAUAAUGAUAUACUGUUGGGAGAGCUCAGUCACAAUAGCAUAGUGGAAUAACUUCGUGACUAAAUGAGUUUAUAAUUAAUAGGAGAAAAGUUGAAACUCAAUUAUAAAUUAUUUGAGUCUUGAUUUCAAUUGUCCAAUUAGUCUUUCUGCUAGCUCGUUGAAACAAAAUAUGAAUUACAGAAUGAAUCAAAUGAAUAGAAAUUGAUAGAAAUGAUAAAGUUUGAGAAUUGUGUUACAUUCGAAGAUGAUCUGAGAAUUAAUUUAAGGUUUUUUGAAUAAUUAAUUAAUUAAUUAAUUGAAUUUCAAAAAUGUAUUUAAAUUAAUUGGUCAUAGUGAAUCCAAUUGAAUAUAGAAAAAUUAAAUAUAUAUUUUUCAUAUAUUCUUUUAUGGUAAAGUUGUCAUGAUUUUAACGAAAUUAGAAUUAUGUUGAGAAAAUUAUUUAUUUAAAUUAAUUUAAAAAAUAAUAUUUAAUUUGGGAAAUAAACAAAAUAUAUAUUGGGUUGGAAUAAAUUAUAAAGUGUUGGGUUAAAAUCCAAGAAGCACAUAUAAUUGGACCCAGUACAGAAGAGGCCCGACUCCCCUUAUAUGGAAUACAUGAGACGACAUGUAACACCCCUUAGUUCGUCAGGGUAAAUAUGGCGUAUAACAUUUGGCCAGACAGGUAGCCCAAUGGGCUGGGGCGUUACCAAAGGAUUCAAACCUUUUUGACUUAACUUAUUUGUUUUCGAAACAAUUAUGAAGAUCUACCUUUUUGUUAAAAGUCAUUAUUUUUCUUUCAUUUUGUAACACAUCCUUGACAAAAAAAGGGAAUUGUAAAUUAAAGAUCUAUUAUCCAACACUACCCAGUUUUGGCGUAUAAUAAGUUCAUGAACAACAAAUCAAGGAAAUUUGGCAUACACUUUUAGAGAAAAGAGAAAUUCUUUCAAAACAGAGACAAUAUAAACGAUGGGGAUAAUUAAAUAAGUUGAGUACAAAACGAAUCUAUAUGCUACUCAACAAAAUAGCCAUGCAUGAUACAAAAACAAAAAAAGUGACUUGCAAGCACAGCUCUAGUGUAGUCCUCUUCAAUUGAUUCUUCUUCUACUAUCUAAUGCAUGAGAAAGAAAAGUAACAGAGUAAGUUCGUUUGAACUUAGUGAGUUCCAAAAAUGGACGCAUAUAAUUUACAGAAAUACCGCUAAUCAAUAAGCAUCGAUACCCAUAAGAAAAACAAACUUAGUUGUGAGACUCUGUCAUACAAACACAAUACAUCAAUAAUGCAUACAAACACAAUACAUCAAUAAUGCCAUCUAUAGUUCACUGGCAAAAACACUUUGCCAAUUUAAAUAUAGCUUGCUAAUUUAAAUAUAGCACAAACGCACAGUACGUGGGCAUUUAUUGUCCUCCAAAUCAUGCCUAUCUUUCAUAAUAAUGCAUGUUUACAAAUGAAACUGCCUUGUGCCAGCCUUGGACCCAUAAUUCAGAAUCACGAAUCUUGGACCCAUAAUUCAGAAUCCGAAUCAGUCAUAUUCAUAUUCAUAUCAUCCUUGUUAAGUUGAAUAUGUGUUCUCCCGCAAGGCUAGGCCAUGAUCUGCCAAUCUAGUUUGCAAUAUAGCUGCCCUACUGGAGGCAUCACAAAUAGAUUUUCUUUCCAUAUUUUCACAUAUCACAAUUUAUCUGGUAUUGGGCACGUGCAACAAUGAGGGUGCUUUUACAUCGACAAUGGCCAUACUCACACAUACAAUACUGGUUUAUUACACACGUGUCCAAACACAACACAUUGACUCAUUUACAAUAGAUACAACUUACCGUAAAUAACCCACAUAUCAUGGAAGUAUUAUAACUCAAAGGAAGUAAGAAGGAACUCACCAGCAAGCUUUAAAAUAGAAUCUACUCUAUUGGUCCUUUGCCUUGAUUGCUUGGGCCUUUACUAGCUUAUUGAGAUAAAUAAGGAAUAGUUAUAACCAUUAGACCAUUUAUCUAAUUUAAUCAUGCAUGCACUUAAGUCAAACGUAAAUCCCUUCGACAACAACCUGAAGGCUUUCCAGAAGUUACCAGUAAGUUGGUACUUAACAAGGGCAUUUUGACUAGCUACUAAAACCUCCUUCGUCUUUUCUAAUGAAGAUACCUUAAAAAUUUCUAGAGAUUCAAAAAAGAAUGUAGAGAAAAAGAGGUGAAGCAUGCCAGCUAUCGACAUCCUUAUAUAGCACAGACAAUGUGGAAAAAGCUUAAUGGGAGGGUUAGAAAAUCCCACUAUAGCCCUUGAAACCUAAGAAUAGACUUGCCUAAAAUUUUGAAACCUAAUCAUCUACCAAACAUAACUACUACCACUAAUCAACUUAGUGAGUAGUAAAACAUUGAUUGCACAAUAAAACAAAUCAUUCACCUACCUAAACAAAUCAAGCUAUCAUCUAUAGUACUCUAGUUCAAUUCCAAAUAUGUGAUACCUAUAACCUGUAUUCGUCACCGAAAUAGGGUUACAGAGCAUUACCGAAAGAAAUUAACUUAAAAUCAUCAAUUUCCAAACAUUUCAUAAAUCAUUGAAUAAUUCAUUCAAACACAUGCUUAUUCUCCCCUAUUCGAGCCCUCAAGGCCCUAGAAACACUUUAGAAAUAAUUCGAGACUAACUUGGAAACAUUUAGAAUUUUAUGAAAAAGAAUAGAAAAUUUCACAUACAGGGGUCACAUGGCCAUGUGGCCAGGCCGUGUGACUCACACGGCUGAGACACAUGCCCAUGUGGACAUUUGAAAUAGGAACACACGGCUGUGUCCCAGCCCGUGUCCUUGCAACCUCUGAUUUGGGUCACACGACCAUGCCACACGCUCUUGUGCCAGGUCGUGUAACUCUCGAAAUAGCCUCACAUGCCCGUGUGCAAGGCUGUGUGCUAGGCCGUGUAACUGCCUGACUUGCAACCCAUUGAAACCUACAAGCCAUUUGCACAUAUAAUCAAGCUUCAAAACAUACCUAAAACUUGCAUGAUAAGGCUAAUUCAAUAUGGUAUUUAUCCAUACAACCAAUAUGUCAAAAGGCACCUCAAUCACAAGUUAUUAAAUCUGUAACAUCCCGAAUGAGGGCCUAGUCAGAACAGUGGUUUUGAGACCAUAAAUUCGAAGUAGAAAUAUUUAUUUUAUGAUUCUUAUGAGGUCUAUGAUAUGACUGCAUGCUUGUGUGAAAGUUUCAUGGAGAAAUUCUAUUGAUAAAGUGUCCAAUUUGAUAUUUAGGACUAAAUUGCAAAAAGUUGUAAAAUGUGAGUUCUAGAAGCUUUAAGCAUGAAAUUUCCAUGGAUUAUUAAUUAGAGGUCCUUAAAUAGUAAUUUUCCCAGUUUCUAUUUUUAUGGACAAAAAUGAGCAUGAAUAGGAAAAAUUUAAAAGAAAGGCCUUAAGGGCAUUUUUGUCAUUUGGUUAAUAAAAGAAUAAAAAGGGAAAAUAAGUAAAAAAAAUUGUGUCCAUCUUCUCCCACCUUGGCCGAAAAUCUCAAGGAGGCAUAGCUAGGGUUUUGCUCAACUUUCAAGCUUAAUAAUCAAGAAAAAAGGAGUUUGGACCUAAAUCGAGGAAAGAAUAAGGUUGUGGACUAAAUCGAAUAGUAAGCAUAUUUUGAGUACCGAGGUAAGUUUGUGUGUAAAUAAUGCAACAUUAUAUUAUUAUGUUUUUAAUGCUUUAAUAUUGCAUGAAUUGUGUAAUUUUCUUCAUGGAUUUAAUUAAUGAUGACUCGAUGACGAUUCGAUGAAGUUUGAUAUCUUGAAACCCUAGUUGAACCUUAGGAAUAGUUAGGAUACAAAUGUCAUGACAUUAGGGUUAUGUGCGAUCCCAUGUAAGACCAUGUCUGGGACAUGGCUUUGGCAUCGAUAUGUAAUUUCGUGUAAGACCAUAGCUGGGCUAUCGACAUCGAUAUGUGAUCCCAUGUAAGACCAUGUCUAGGACAUGACUUGGCAUCGACCUAUGAUCCCAUGUAAGACCAUUUUUGGGACAUGGCAUUGGCAUCGAUAUGUGAUCCCAUGUAAGACCAUAUCUGGAAUAUGGCAUUGGCAUCCUACCAUGUGUACAAGAGUUCCCGAGUACCCUUUAGUAUUCCAAGUGGUUCAAUGGGUAAUCCAACGAUCAUGUCAAAGAGAUGACAAGGUAUGGUUAUGUUGAAAGGGUACAGGUACCCACACAAAGCUCAUAAACAUUGAGAUUAUGAAUCGAUGAAACCUUGAAAGAAGUGAAAGAAUGAUUUUGAUCAUGAGUUUUAUUGUACAUUUCAUAAAUAGCAUGACUUAAAAUGUACCUAUGAUACUUGAUGACAUUGUGAUAAAGAUUAUUGUGUUAUGUGUAUAGUAAUGCAUUGUUAAUGUUGUUAAUUAUUUACAUGCAAACUUACUAAUCUUUAUGCUUACCCCCUUUUCUUUUCCAUUUUUCUUAUAGUAUCGCCAAGCUAGCUUGGGGAUCGAAGGACGUCGGAGCUCGAUUCACACUAUCAAACUAAUCUUUUGGGUAUAGUGAAUUUAAGUAUCUUGAGUAUGGCAUGUAUAGGGACUUGGACCUUUUGUUAUAUGUCAUAUUGGUUUAGCCAAGUGUGUUGGCUUAUAAUGAUUUGAUGAUUCAUUUUGUAUAUGGCCAUAAGAUAUGACUCAUAUUAAUUAUGGGGAUGUAAUCCUAUUGAUAGAUGCAUGCAUGUGCUAUGUUCACUCAUGUUAUGGUUAAAUUCAUUUGGCAUGGAUGAAUUGUGGAUAUGAUCAUGAAUGUUUGAUGAUGGAAAUGUGAGUAAAUGGCAUAAUAACAAUUAGGGCAUUGUAACACCCCUAACCUGUAUCCGUCUCGGACUAGGGUUAAAGGCAUUACCAGAUGAAUCAGAACAUUUAACUUUCAUUUCAUAAUCAUCAAAGCAUCAGAGAUAAACAUCAAAAUAGAGUCCCUUAUAUAGGUUAUCAAGACCUUAAACAUGCAUCAGAAAUGAGUCGGGACUAAACCGAAUACAUACAAAAAUUUUCCAAAACUUAAAUAUUUUUUCAAACAAGUACAAGUCACACGCUCGUGUAAAUAGGCCGUGUGCCUUACACGGCAUUAGACACACCUAUGUGUCUAGGCCGUGUCAAAACAGGGCAUACAUAUUGACUUGCUCACACGGCCACAAGACACGCCCUUGUGCCUUGACCAUGGUCAAAACUGACUUGGGCCACACGGCUAGCCACAAGCCCGUGUGCCUUGGUCGUGCUCGAGUCUAACUUACAAUUGUAGGGUACCCCAGGGGACACACAGCCGUGCAACAUAGCCAUGUGUCGCACACGGCUGAGACACACGCCCGUGUGGACAAAAAUAGACCAUUUGAAUAGCCAACUUGCCACCCCAAUUGGGUCAAACCUACAAGCACCAAACCAAGCAUAUUUGCACAGCAUUUUAUGACCAAUUCACAACCAAAACAUAAGCCAUCAAUGACUUAUCAUUGUCAACCAAAUUUUCAUCUCAAUUUAUCAAACAAAUCAUAACAAAUCUAAAAUAAAAUCAUACAAAACAUAUGUUUCAAUUUCAUGAUCAAAACUCAUCAUAGCUAACACAUGUCAAAAGAUUACCAAUCUUACCCAUUCUUAUAGUCAUACAUAAACACACAAAAUAUAUCAUAUUGCCUCAUGAUUCAUAUACCAAAACCAUAUAACAAACACAUUCAUACCAAGCCAUAUCACAUGGCUAAAUAUAUAUAUACAUCACAAAACUUAAUUUAAACACUUCUAGCCUAUACAUGCCAUACUUCAAUAUAUACAUUUUCAAAAAUACCAAAAUAAAGUUCGAUAGUGUGGUGAUGAUCCUCGACGAUCCCCGAGCUCACAGUAGCUUCAAUAUCUAAAAAAACAAUGCAAACACACACAAAAUAAGCUUUUAAAAGCUUAGUAAGCCAUAUACAAUUAAACUUAUGAUUUAAAGGAUAUAAACAUCAUCAAAUUACUUAUACUUUGGAGCCAAAUGCCAACACAAACCUCAUAUUCAUAUACUUGGAUCAUAGAUAAUCAUUUGCACAUAUACUUACCUUUCAUUUUCAAAUAUAGUACACAAUUCAAACGUACCUGAAUCGAAUAUAUAUUCACUUAUUCAUUCAUUUUCUCGGAAUGCCCAUUGAACUAUUCGAAAACGUAAGGAUACGCGGAUAGCUUAGAGAACAUAUACAAUGCCAACGUCCUAGACGUGGUCUUAUAUGUAAUCAAAUAUCGAUGCCACUGUCCCAGACAGGGUCUUACACGAAAUCAGAUACGAUGUCGAUGUCCCAGACAUGGUCUUACACGUAAAACAGAAGUCGAUGCCAACGUCCCAGACAUGGUCUUACAUGAUAACACAUAUCGAAAAUCCUAUGUCAUGAUAUAUGUAUCCUAUUUAUUCCUAAGGUUCGUAUAGGGCUUUUCGGACGUCGAAACUUUGUCAAUACUUUCUCGAACAGCACAUAUUGAGCUUGAAUAUUCAUUCAUCACAAUUCAAUAUCAUAUGAAUAAUAAUUCAAUUCAAGCACAUUUAUUUGUAUAUCGACUUACCUCGUAGGGAUUUGGAUAGAUGGAAUCGGUUAUUCGACGACUUUUGACUUUCCCCGAUCUAAUUCCGUAUUCUUUAGUUAUCGAUCUAAAUCAAUUCAAAUUUAACUUAUUCAAUCACACAUUUGUUCAAAACAAUCCAUAUACACACAAUUAGGGCAUUUUGCAAACUAGCCCUCACUUUUUACAUUUUGACACUUUAGUCCUUAAUUCACAAAAUCACAAAAUACAUAUAAUUUGCUUGUACACAAGCUUAGCUAAAUUUUCAUAGCUCUCAUACAAGUCCAUACAUUUCGUUUAUUUCACAGUUUAGUCUCUCAAAAUAACAUUUUUACAAUUUAUCCCAAAUUACUCAAUUUCAUCAAAAAUCCAAAGACAAAAUAUGUAAACCCAAAAUCAAACUUUCAUUUAUCAACAACUAACUUCACAAAACUCAUAAUUUCAUCAAUGACACAUUUCAAAAUCAUGAUCAAAAUCAGAAAUUGAGGCAUGGGUUUGAUAGUAUACGAAGCAACGAUUACAAAAACGUAGAAAUUAUCAAAAACUGGAACAAAAACAUACCUAAAUCAAAGUUUAAUAUUUCUGAACCCUAGCAAGCCUUUUGUUUUUCUUUCCUUUGUGUUUUUCGGUCAUCAUUUAAUAAUUUUUUACCAUUUUUACCCUUUCAUUAAAACAUAAAUAAACUAUGAUAAUAAGGCCAUAUAUGUCCACUCAUGCUUUUAAUGGUCAAAUAACAUAAUAAGGACCUCUCAUGUAUAAAGCCAAAUCAAAUAAGCACUUUUAACAAGUAGCAAGCAACUUUUAUAUUUUACGCGAUUAGGUCCUUUUAUCAAAUUAAGCACACAAACAAUCGAAUUUUCAGACGAAACUUUCACAUAUGCUAAUUCAAGCACGAAAAAUAAUAUUUAACUAUUUUUCUGACUAGGAUAUGUGGUCCCUAAACCACUGUUCCAACUAGGGUCAAAACCGGACUGGUACAGGCAUGAAUGUAUGAAAUGGAAGUGAAUUGAUAUUCAUAUUGCAUGUGAAUUUGGUAAGCUUGGUCUAAAUAAAAUAUGAAGUCUUAAGCAAGUAUAAAUUGAUAAGAAGUUGACUUGUAUGAGCCAUGAUUAUGAAUGUGUAAGUGUGCAUGUGUCAUUAAGGGUGACAAAAAGCUUGGAAUAUAGCCUCAAAGUUGUCCACACGGGUAGGCACACGGGCGUGUGUCUAGGCCGUGUGUGACACACAGUCUGCCCUAUGGGUGUGUGCUCUAGCUGUGUGUCUCCUGCACCCUAUUAAAUGAAAAAUAGAAUGCUCAGUAGUAAACACAUAGGCAGAGACACGGCCGUGUGUCUCAGUCGUGUGAAGGACACAGCUUCAGGGCAUGGGCGAGUGUCCAGGCCAUGUGAAGUCCGCACUUGAUUUUUGAAAUUUAAUUCGCCAUAGGGCCUAAGCACACGGGCGUGUGACUUGGCCGUAUGACCCUAAUUGUGUUGAUGAUGUCAUAAACAGAGAGUUACAUGGGCUGAAGACACGGGCAUGUCCUAAGCCACAUAGGCGUGUGUGACCACACGGCUUACCCACACGGGCAUAUGACCUUGUUUCAUGAAUUUUUUUUAAGUUUCCCUAAAGUUUUCGAAAGUUCUUGGAUUAGUCCUGAACUACUCCCGAGGGGCCUCAUAGGCCCAUAUAAGGGAAAAUUUGCAUGUGUAUGAAUGAAUUUAAUUUGAACGAAAUUUUAUGGCCCAGUUUUGUAUGUUUGCUUGCGUUUAAGUCCAGUAAUGCCUUGUAUCCUGUCCCGGUGUCGGACACUGGUAAGGGGUGUUACAAAAUCAACCUAAACAUAAAUAUACUUAUCCAUGAAUCAACCAUACAUAACUAACCUAUUUUCUAUACCAAGUCAUACCACAUUAACCACAUGCCAAACCACACUCAAACAUACCAAUUGUUCAUUCAACAUAUACCCUCACUUGACUAUUUCAUCACCAACCAUUUAAACAACAAAAUGUCAAAAUUUCAUCAACCAUAAUACCACAUUUAUACAUGUCAAACAUAAAAAAUAUAUCAUUAAUACAAGUUCACCUAUACAGGCCAUUAUAACCAUAACCAAAACACCAAAAGCUAGUGAUAUAUCCAUGGGAUAGUGUGAUAGGUAUCUGACUAGCUUCCAAACCGAACGAGCUUCUGAAUAUCUAUAAAACCUGGGAAAAGAGACUAUGUAAGCAUAUAAUGCUUAGUAAGUUCGUAUAACAUAAAACAUAACUUACCAUUUCAUUACAUAACAUUCAAAUUUAACAUGAUAUAAUCCAACCUUUAGCUUGUCAAAAGCCUAAGCACCAACACAAACAUGUUAGAAUACUUGAACAUAAUUCAUAUGAAUUUAACAUGGAUAACCAUUAUACUUGAGCAUGAUUCAAUUGGAUUUAUUAUCCAUCAUAACGUAGCAUGUUUUCUAUGUAGCUCACCAUUUCAAUGUAUUUCAUACAUACAUGUCUUGGUUCAUAUUGAACACUUACCAUUUCCUUUCAAAUUCAUGCCCAUUGAACUAUUUAGAAUAUCAUCAGAUACAUGGGAUAGCUCACACGAAGUGUGCCAAACAUAUAAUCAUAACCUUUCCUUUCUUUUACAUUAUUUCUCACACGAGCUGUAACACCCCUUACCCGUAACUGACACAGGGACAGGGUUCGAGGCAUUACCGGACUUAAACAUUCAUAAACAUGCAAAAUCGGGUCAUAAAAUUUCAUUCCAAUUUAAAAUCGAUCAAAUAAGAUCAUAUUAUCCUUAUUAUGGACCUAUGAGGUCCGAAACAUACAUUAAAAGAAAUCUAGAGCUAAACCGAGAACUUAAGAAAAUUCUAAGAAAGUUUUUAGGUUUAAGCUUCACACGCUCAUGUAGAGGCAAUGCACACGCCCGUAUCCGAUACCCCUGUGGAAUUACUAAAAUUUAUUUUUCAUUUCGAACCUACAAGGGUUUUCACACGGCUGAGCACAAGCCAGUGUCCCUGGCUCGUGUCUCUCACACGGCCUAGACACGCCCGUGUCCAAAAACCUGGACAUUUUGUUUAUGACGUCAUCACUUAUUUAGGAACACAUGGCCAAGGCACAUGCCCGUGCGCUAGGCUGUGUACUCCACACGGUUGAGACACACGACCAUGUCUCUGCCCAUGUAUUUACUACCAUGCAUACUGAAUUGGAAAUUUUAGGAGCAGGGGUAUAAUAACCCGAUUUAGGGCCUAGUUGAAACAGUGGUCUCGGGACCACAAAUCCGAAGAUAUAAAUUUUUUUAUUAUAAUUAUGAUAUUAUAGCAUGAUUAUAUUAGUGCAUGAAAAAUUUAGUGAGUUAAUUUUAAUGUUUUCAAGCCCGAUUCGAUAAGGGACUAAAUCGCAUAAAAGGCAAAAGUUACCUUUUAGUACUCAAAUGUGUUAAAUAGCUAGAGAAUCAAAAAUUAGAGUAUUUAAAGGGAAAUUAGGCCCUUUUUAGAGUGCUUUUCCGGCCAUGGGAGACAAAUUGGUCAAAAAGUCCAAGUUUGGUUGGGUUUGGUGGCUAAUUUGACUAAUAUAGUAAUAAAAUAAGAAAAGAUGAUAUCAUCUUCUCAUGUUCUUCUCUACCACCGAAAAUAUCAGCUAAAAUGGGGGUUUGAAAGCUCAAAAAUCUGUGGCAACUUGAAGCACUCAUAAGUAAGUGAUUUUAAUGAGUAAUCUUCAAGAUUUUUAUAUUUUUGAGACCUUUGAAGCAUGAGCUUUCAAAUGAGGGUGAUAUCUUACAAAAUAGUCAAGAGUUUAGGAUUUUUCCAUGGAUGUAUUUGUGUUAUAUGCUGAUUUGUUAUGAAAAAUAUGAGUCUUAGUUGUGCUAUAAACAACUUUUGUGAAAGGUGUUAGCAUGAAAACACCUAAAAAGGCUAGUUUGCAUAAGUUGCAAAUUAAGUAAUAAGUGUGUGAUAUAGUGAGAAUUUUGGAUUGAUCUAGUAGUAAAAAGAGUUUAGCUAGGCUAAAAAUACGAAGAAAUUUGAUAAAAAUUAAUUUUCGGGCAUAGGGGUAAAAUGGUCAUUUUACCAAAGUUGUGAAUUUAUGAAUGUUUAAUUGUGUUUAGUGACUAAAAGGAUGUAUAUUGUUAAUAUAGAUCAAGAUUUUCCAAGACUGAGCCUAGAUCAAGGCAAAGCCAAGCAAUCGGAUUAAGUCGUUUAGUCAAGCACUUUUUGUAGUCUAAGGUAAGUUGUAUGUAAAUAGUACAACUACAUUGUUAAUACUUGUAUUCAUAUUGUCAUUGAAUUGAUAUUGUAUGAAUUGUUAAGUUAUAAACCGAGAAUGCCUUGUAAUAUUUGAUAUAGUAGAAAUAUCCUGUUGAACCUUAGGAUAUGAAUUGGAUAUUCGUGCUAAGACAUUGGGUGAUUUGUGCACCAGUAUAAGACCAUGUCUGGGACAUGGCAUCGGCAUCCAGACGAGGGCUAGUGUAAGACAUGUCUAGGACAUGCUUCAGCCAUAUUAUGAGUGCCAGAGUAAGACAUGUCUGGGACAUGCAUCGACUAAGAGUAGUACUAGUGUAAGACAUGUCUAGGACAUGCAUCAACACGCAUAUAUGAGAGCCAGUAUAAGACCAUGUCUGGGGCAUGGCAUCGGCAAUUUAUCCCAUGUCGAAGGUUCAUAGAAUAUCCAAUAGUAUCCCAAAACGGUUCAAUGGUGAAAGUUGUAGUUCAAUUUUGAUGAAAAAAGGAUAAUCAUGUUACGAGUGUUACAGGUACCUAUAUGAUAAGCAUGAGAAACGAGUUUAAUUUAGAAAUUGAGACUUGAGUAAGUUAAGUUAUGUUUACCUUUGAGCUAUAAGCAUGAUGGAAAAUGGUGAGAAUGUUGUUGUAUACUUAUUAUAUGCAACUUACUAAGCUUUAUGCUUACUCUCUUUCUUUUCCCUUUUCUUUCAGUACUGCCAAUUUACUCAAGGAUCGCUUGAAGUCAGAGAUAUCGAUCACGCUAUCGUCCGUUAUACCCGGUAUAGUUGGAUUCAUAUUUUUGAUUGUGGCAUGUAUAAGGCUAGGCUAGUAAGUUGUAUUAUUGAGAAAUUGUUCAUGUAUUUUGGUUUAAGAUAAAAGCCCUUCAUUUUGUAUUAGACUUGGAAUAAUGGCUAUUAUUCAUUUUGAUGAAUGCAUAUAAUGUUCUUUCUUUGAAUUAAUUGGUGACUUUUGGGGUGAAAAUUGUAUAUUGACAUGAUCUUGUGUAGGUUGUACAAAAUGGGUGACAAAAUGGCUUGGGAAAUAGCCUAGUUUAUCCACACGGGUAAGACACACGGGCGUGUGUCUAGGCCAUGUGUGACACACGGCUCACACCCAUGGGUGUGUGUUAUGGUCGUGCGUCCCUUGCACUUAGAACUUUCAAGUCAUUUUAGUACACGGGCAGGCCACAUGGGCGUGUGCCCAGGCCGUGUCAUAAAGUCAGUAUGCAUGCUUGUAGCACACGGACAAGAGACAUGGCUGUGUGUCUCGGCUGUGUGAAGGACAUGGUUAUAGGGCACGAGUGUGUGCUUGGGACGUGCAGAUUUGGCAGAAUGCCCAGGUUUUUAGACACGGGUUAGGGACAUGGGCGUGUCCCUAGCACACGGUCGUGCGUUCUAUACCCACACGGGCAUGUGGAGCAUGCAUGAGAUUUUCUAAGCUUUUCAUAAGGUCAUGGUUGGGUUCUGAAUCACCUCGGAUCUAUGUUUUGGGCCUCAUAAGCCCGUAUACAAGAUAGAUUGCUUGUGAAAAGAAAAGUUUUAAAUUGAUUGAAAUUUUACGGCCCUAUUUUUCUGUGAUUGAUUGAGUUUAAGUAAAGUAACACCUCGAACCCUGUCCCAACGUCGGACAUGGGCGAGGGGUGUUACAAAGGGACACACGGCCAUUCAACAUACCCAUGGGGUAGACUGUGUGUUACACACGGUCUAGACUGUAACAGCCCGAUUUAGACCCUAAUUGGAACGGUGGUUUUGGGACCACGAAUCCGAGUCAGAGAAAUAUUUAAAAUUCUUUUUCUAUGUUUAUCUUAUGUAAAUUUAUAUCUGUGAAAUUUUUUUGAUUUAAUUUUUUUGUUUGAGUGUCCGAUUAAAUAAAAGGACUUAAUCGCGUAAAAUGAAAAUUAGGUGGUUGUUUCUAAAAGGGGUUGAAUUGUACUUGGAUUUUAAAAUGGAAGCCUUUAUGUUACAAUUUUCCCAUUACUAAGUAAAGUGGACGGUAGUGGCCAUAGUGUAAUGGUUUUAUAAUUUGAUAAAUAAGGUUAAAAAUGUAAAACAUGAAAUAAUAAUAAGUUAGUAUAUAUGUUAUAUUAUAUGAUAACUAAAAAUAAUCUUUUAUUUCUUCAUCAUCUUACCGAAUAUAAACAAAAGAAAAAUAAAGAAUAAGAGCUAGGCUUCGACAUAUAUUCAAGCUCAAUCAAGGUUCGUUUUUGCUCGGUUUUUGAUAAUUUUUACAUUUUUGAGAUCGUUGCUUAGUAAUCUUUAAGACCCAAGCUUUAAUUUUUGAUUUUGGUGAAUAUUUUGAGUUAUGCCAUUGUUGAUAGCUUGUGAGUUUUUUUGCUUGAUGAUGAAAUAUGAAAGAUAUGUUUUAGAUUAACAUAUUUUGUAUUGGAGUUUUUAAUGAUUUUGAGUAAUUAGGACUAAAUUGAAAAAAUAAUAAUUUGAGGGACUAAAAUGUGAAAUAAAUGAAAAUAUGGGCUUGUAUGAACACUAUGAAUAUUAGGCCAAACAUGGGUACCUUGAAAUUUUGAAUAUUUUGUGUUUUGUGCAAUAGGGACAAAAUUGUAAAAAUUGUAAAUGUCAGGGGUAAAAUGGUAAUUCACCCAUUUAUGUGUUUUUGGCCUAAAUUUAAUGAAAAUAGGUUUUAAUGAGCUUAAUUUGAAUAUGUUUAGAUCAAGAACCAAAGAAAUUAGAUUUGGAUCGGGGAAAAAUGAAAGUUGUCGACUAGCAGCCCUGUCUCCUUUUAUAACGUCCGAGGUAAGUCCAUAAGCAAAUAGAUGUGUUUAAUUGUAGUUAAAUGCUAAAAAUAUAUGCUGGUAGUUAAAAUAUGAAUUUAUACAUGCUUUUUUUGAAUGUGAAUAAGCUUGGUAAUCAUGUCCAAGCAUUCGUUCGACUGAGUUACAAUGUCCGAAAGCCUCGUAUGAACCUUAGGAAUAGUUAGGAUACAUAUGUCAUGACAUAGGAUUCCGAUAUAUGUGUGCGAGUAAGACCAUGGCAUCGAUAUGUGAUUCCGAUAUGUGUUUACGAGUAAGACCUUGUCUGGGACAAUGGCAUCGAUAUGUGACUACGUGUAAGACCACGUCUGGGACGUUGGCUUUGUACAACUUGCGUGUUUAUCCAAGUGUCCUAUCCAAUUCUGAAUGGUUCAUCGGGAAAACGUAAAUCAUGAUCGAAUGUGUAAAUAAGCUAAAAGGCCAGGUAUGGUUUAGCUUAUUAGCUAUUGGUAAUAAGGUAUGUGUGAGACUUGAAAGUUAAUAAGUUUUAUGUGAUGCAAAGGAUAAAUAUAUAUAUGAAUUAAGCAAGUAUAUUCGGUUUGAACAAAUGGUAUGAAUAUUAUGGAAUUAAUUUUGUAUAUGUAUAUAUAUAUAUGUGAUCAUAUAUGUGUUCGGCCAUACAAGUAGUAUAUGUACAUGAUAUUAUAGUUGGAUUCUUGAGUUUAUGUGAAUAAGUAAAUAUUUGUUUGAUUGUAUAAUGAUAUUUUAUCUUAGAAAGUUGAUUGACAUUCGGUUAAUAUGAUUGUGGAAGCAUUUGGCCAUGGUAGAAUUAUGCAUGAAAAUGUAAUUAUUUAUUUCACUUCUAAGUUCGAAGUUAAAUUCGGCAAUGUUAAUAUAAUUCGGUUAAACUCAAAAUGAAUUGAAUAUAUCUUGAAAUUGUUUAUUUGCUUUUGACUUACUAAGCUAUGUAGCUUACUUUGUGUAUUCAUGUUACUUUGUUUUAUAGAUUUUGAUUUCAAGUUACAAGCUCGGGGAUCGUCAGCAAAGUUUAUCACACUAUCUACAGCUUCGGUACUUAAAUAUUUGAAUUUGACUUAUGGCAUGUAUAGGCUGGAUCAUAUUUUGAAAAUGCCGAAAGUUGGUUAUGUACAUAAGCCAUGCAAAAAUGGCUAAAUUAUUAUAUUAGUGUUCGGUUAUGAUAGGUAAGGUUUAUAUUAAACUUGAUUACUAGGUUGCGUGCCUUGAAUGCAAGGUAUAUGUGAUGAGCACUAGAUGUUUUGAAAAUGGCUUGCAUAUUAUGUUAAACUUCGUCUUGUAAAUUCCUAGUCAAAUGUUCAAUGAACUUGUCUAUUGGUAAUUAAUGAUGGAAGUUUGGAUACGUACGUGAUUUUUAAGCAGCACGAUUCGGCUAUGAAAGAGUAUUGGUAUAAUGUGUGUAAUGGGCCAAUUUAGUCCGGGCCCGGAUAAACACAAAACCAAAAAAUAAUAAACAAAAAUAUAUUAACAGUCCAAUAAAAGUCCAUCAGUCCAAGUUACAUAACCUAAUUUCAAACCCAAAUACAGGCCCGAUAGGCCCAAAAUUUUUUACAACUUUGGAACCCUAGGUCUCUCUCUUCGCGCCGCCGCCCUCAGUCGCCGUACAGCCCCAACGCCGCUCAUGCCUCCACGUCAACAGCCCUUGCACGCCAGUACAGCUUCGUACACAUGCCACGCAUCUGUACCUGCGAAAAGAAACAAAAGACAGCAACGAGAAUGGCAGCUAAUAGGAAAUUAUUUUGUAUUUUUCUCUUUUGGGUUUUCUUUCUGGCUAUAAAUCCAAUGAUUCAAUCUUUGUAAUGGUUACUGACGAAGGCAACAAAAAACGAAUACGAAAAAGAGAAUACAAAAACAAUACAAAGCAAAGAAGGUGAUUUUUUUCGAACGCCUUGUGCUCUUUUUUUUUUCGCAUCUAUUUCAUUUUUCUUUCGUGUUUCAUAUGUUUUCUGCAUAAUAUAAUAAAAAAGGAAGCAUACCUUCAAACGAGCCAUCGGGGACCAUCUCUUCUUUGUCGAAAUCGAAGCUUGAGAUGGGUUUUCGGGCUAAAAAUCUUACCUUUCGAGGUGAGGCUUAGAGUAGGAGAAUGAAACGACUCUAUGGGGAGCCACCGUCCAUCAAUUUCAAUGGUGGAAUGGGGCAGUCGAAUGGUCAAAUGGGGGGAUGGGAAAACCCUAAAAUUUGCUGUGUUGAAACCCUAAGAAUUGGGUCUGCUACUUAUGGUGAAAAAAAAGGGGAAUAGUAAGCUGCCAUUCAAUGGCUUUUAGUUUCAAAUAUUAAGCAAAACGGUACCGUGUAAGAAGGGUGGGGCGAGCCUUUUGCGCCUAAAAUGGUCUAUUUAUGCAACAAGUCCUUCCCCUUUCGCAUAGCCCUCAAUUUGUGUCCAAUUUGCCUACCUUGUGUUUUAAAAUUAGCCCUGUAAUUUGCGCGUGUUUGCGUUUUGGUCCGUGUCUCUACUCUGCAUUUUAGAACUUGGGUUAUUUCCAAUUCUAGUCCUUUUACAUUGAUGCGCAUCACACGUUGGCCCUCUUUUGAUUAUUUUAUUUAUAAAUUAGCCCAUUCAUUUUAAUUGUAUUUUAAUUGCGUCCAUUUGAUUUACAUGGUCUAUCAUUUUUUUUCCUAUCAACUUAAUACUUUCUAUACAAGUAUAUACAUACCUUUUUUGAAUUAACAUGAUAAUAUUACCCCCUGUUUUUAUAAAGUCUUUAUUUUAAAGUUUUCUUUUAUCAUAUUGUUUUAAAAAAAAUUAUAUAUUACUUCGUUUUAUUCAUAUAAUAUUGUGCAUAUAUAGUUCUUGGCAAGACUAGUUUUUUUUAUUCUAUAUAUUAUUAAUUCUACGUUACUUUUACAUACAUAAUUCCUUUUAAACCUACUUGUAUAUUUGUGUUCGUAUUUUUUUAGCCCAUCAUGUAUAUAAUUUAUUUCUCAAGAACACAUCUUAUUAUAUAUAUAUUUAGAACCUUUCACGUUUUACAUAAGAUUUAAAUUGUCUUUCACCAUAUGUACAUGUUUAAGUUCUAGCCAUUUUUCCAUAUUAAUUUAAAAUUUGUCGUAUUCUUCACUUUUAAAUUAUUUUAUUAUUAAUCUAAGGUUUUCAUAUAUUAUUUAUUUUAGAUAUAUACUAUUUGUUUUGUGUUGUUACAUAUAUUCUAAUUUAAAACUUGAUGUAUCCUUAAAAUCGUUUUAUCAUUCUUUUUUAAAAAAAAGUUUUCAUUUAUUUUUAUAUACAUAUUUAUAUUUUAUCCUCAUAUUCGAUCCUUUUAUAUAUAUAUGGUGUAUAUGUCAUUUAAAUUAUUUUUCUUUUUUUAUAUGUAUAUGGUCAUUUUUAACUAGAUACUCCUAAAAAAAAACAUACUUUGUACAUAUGAGCAUAUUUUUUUUUAUAUAUAUUAAAUUUAACUUAUUUCGUAUAUAUAUUAUUAACCCUAUAUAAUUUUAUACAUAUGAUUUCUCAAAUUUUUUCUUGUAUUUCAUUAUAUAGUCCUACGUAACAUAUCUUCUAAGUAAUCAUUAUUUAUAUAUGUAUAUUUAUUGAUACUUACAUUUGAUCUAUAUAUUAUUAAAUCCAUGUGUUUCAUACAUAUAGUCUUCUUUACAUAUAUAUAUAAGCAUGUUCUUAAGUCCAUUAUACGAUUUGUUAUAAAAGUAAUUUAAGCUUGUAGGUAUUUCUAUGCUUUUACAAAUAAUUAUUUUUAAAAGUCAUUUAUGUAUAUAUGUUUUAUAAAUCUAUUUAGUGUAUUAUAACUUGUCACAUAUCUUUAUUACUCUUUCAUAUUAUAUUCAUUAUUAUCAUGUACAUUGUCAUUUUUUUAAAUGCAUUUGUGUUUAAAACAUUUUACAUGCAAUUUGAUUCAAAUUUCCACUCUAUAAUAUCUAUUUCAAUAAUUAUAUAUCCUUACUUUUUAUGCAAAUUGGUCAACCUAUAUAUUAUGUGUUCAUUUAUUCGUCACUAUUUUAAAAUCAUUUUAUACCACAUUGGCUUCUAAUUACUAUGUUGUUCCUCUUUUUACAUCUUGCGUUAAUUAUUUUAUAUCAUGCUAUGUACGUCAUUUUGGCACAUUUUUAUGUAUUAUUUUGUGGUGUUGUAUUGUUGUACUAUUAUUUUCUUUAUUGUAUUGUAUAUAAAUUAUUUCCCAUGCAUGUUAUCGUUGCAUUAUUUAUUUGUUCAUUAUUUUAUAUUGCCAUGUUAAUUAUUCUCCAUGCAUGAUUGAGAUUGAGCUAUAUUUCCAAGCUAAUUGUGCUUAGUUGUAAGUGUUUGUUAGUUGGUCAAAUAAAUCGCAUUGCUUCCACUCUUCUAUUGUUGUAUUUUAUGCGUACACCUAUUACCUCAUAUCAUUGUUUUCCACUUGGUUUUUGAGAUGCGGUUCUAUAAAAUCCAAAUUUUUACGAUUAAUUUCGUCUUAUUUCGAGUCAAAUUAAUACGUUUUAAGCUAGCUUUAUAAUCAUUCAUUAAAAAAUUCUUUAAAACAAAGACGAGAUUUGAUAUUUGACAAUUCGCGGAAUCGUGCCCUAACGUGUUGGGUUGUAAUUUCGCGUUUGCUCAAAAUAAUCGAAUAUCACUUCAAAAUUUCACUCAUGUAUUUUAAAAUCCCUUAAACGAAGGCGAUACGCGAUAUUUGGCAAUUCGUGGAAUCGUGCCCUAACGUGUUGGGUUGCAAUUUCGAUUGUUUAAAAUAAUCAAAUAUCCUUUCAAAAUUUCACUCAGGUCUUCUAAAAAUCCUUUAAAACGAAGGUAAUACUCGGUGUUUGACAAUUCGAGAAUCAUGCCUUAUCGUGCUGGGUUGUGAUUUCUCGUUUGUCUAAAACAAUUGAAUAUUCCUUUAGGUUUACAUUCAUGUUUAUCAAAAACCUUAAAAACAAAGAUGAUGUUCAAUGUUUGGUGAUUUGAGAAUCGUGCCCUAUCGUGCUGGGUUGCACUUUUUUAUUGGUCCAAAACAAUUGAAGAUCCCUUCGGAACUUCACUCACAUUUUCUAAAAUCUUUCAAAAUGAAGGAGAUGUUCGAUGUUUGGCGAUUUGAGAAUCGAGCCCUAUCGUGCUGGGUUGCACUUUUUCAUUUGCCCAAAAUAAUCGAAUAUCUCCUUGGAAUUUCACACGUAUUUUAUAAGGAAAGGCAAAGAUCAAUGUUUGGAAAUUUGAGGAAUCGUACCCUACUGUGCUGGUUUCGGUUUUUCGUUGGACUAAAUAGUUGAGCAUCCUUUUGUAAUUCUCGAAUUAUAAAUGUUCGGACAUCGAAACAAGAAGAUUUUGGCAACCAACUCGGGUUACUCAAACUUUAUAAAAAAGAACCACAUUUCAAAAACUUUUUAAUUUUAGACAUAAGGACAGUAUUUAAUCGAUUCGGUACCAAUUUUGGGCGUAGUGAGGGUGCUAAUCCUUCCUCAUGCGUAACUGACUCCCGAACCCAUUUUCUCAAAAGUUCUAGACCAAAAUCGUUGUUUUAAUAAACCAAAAAUGUUUUAUUAAACUAACCUCAUUUUUAGGUGAUCCGAUCACACCAAAACAAAAGAUCGGUGGCGACUCCAUAUUUAUAUUUUUAAAAAGUCGAUUCCCCCGCUUUUUUCAUUUAAAUAAUAAAAUUUUAAAUAUAAAGGGGUGGUUUCGACAAUGUGUGUUUGGUAUGUUUAUUAUCACGUGAUGGAAAGUGUAAAAUGCGGUAUUGUUUCAAUGAUGGGUGAUUGUGUUCUAGCUUGGUUAGUUUGAUUAUUAAGUGAUAAAUAAUGUAUGUGGUUUAUGAUUAAUCUAGUCGACUAUUUGAUAUGUGUUUGAUGCUUUAAUGUUAAGUAUGGCCUUGGCUUUUGGGUAAAUGCGCACCUUGCAUGCAUAUAUGAUGAUUAAGUUAUAUAUAUGUUUAGUUUUAUAUUGAGUCUAUAUCAAGGGCGUAAUCAUAAUAUAUAAGAUUUUUCUUGAUGUUAUAUAUACUCAGACAUCUAGUUUAUUAUGAAUGACAUUGGAUUAAUAUAAAUUUUGAAAUUAGUAGGCAAAGAGAAAGGUAAAUGCAUGAUACAAAUUUUGAUGCUCAUUUAUGCAUUAAGUUAAGACAUGCGUACAUGACAUUUGGAUUUGUUAUAUUAAUAAAGUUUUUAUGUGCCUUGUAAAUGUGUAAAGUGUUCAUAUUUAUGGGUGCUUAUUACCUGUGUACAUAUGGUUAUAGGAACUUGUUAAAUAAGUGUAAGUAAUGAAUGUGUAUAAUGAGAUAAAAAUAUAUAUACAUGUUAGCCGAUUAGACCAAGCAAUGAAGUGAGUUAACUUAUAACCAAAUGCUUACUUUUAGUAAUAUUAAUAUAUAAAACAUAUAAGGUCCGUAUAGAUUACCAUGCUAAUGCCAUAUAUAUAUGGAAUUGUUGAUGUAUUAUAUUUUAUAUUGUUACUUUUGAACUAUAUGACUAUAUAUACCUAUGAUGUGAAAUGUUCAAAUUUAAGAGAUGUAUUAAUUUAUGAAAUAAAUUUUGAUUAACGUUCGAGACUUGUGUAUGUGAAUAAUUAUAUAUAUUAUAAGUAAUUGUUUGAGAUCAUGUUUUAUUCUGUAAUGCCUCAUGACCCUAUUUAGGCGACGGAUACGGGUUAGGGGUGUUACAUUUGAUUGUAUUAGAGCUACAGUUUAGUCGGUUCUAGGACUAUCGUGGCGCGUGUGAGUCUAGCUAUACAUUCCAUAUCAUAUACUAUGAUAGUGUGAUGACUUCUAACAUUUGAAAAUGUGUUUUCAUGUAGUAAAUGGAUCAUAACAGAGUUGUAGCUGAUGAUGUCGAGAGUGUAGCGCCUGCUUCCGCGUAAGGGAUAGCCCGGUUGAUUCUCGACCUAUUUCAAGUAACCAGGAAGGAGAGGCUAGAAAAGCCUUUUACCAAAUGAUGAAUGACUGGUUUACUCAAUAUAUCCGGACUACCCCGGCUGCACAACAACCUCCACCCCGACUAAUCCAUCUUUGAUGCCUGGUGUACCUCAGGUAAGUGAUCCGUUGAGAUUGUAUAAGCCAUUUGUUGAUAAAAUCAGAAAACACGGGGCUGAAUAGCUUAAAGCUACGGAUGAUGAUGAUGCUGAGCGGGCUGAGUUCUGGCUUGAUAAUACUAUCCGUGUGUUUGAUGAGCUGUCUUGUACCUCAGAUGAAUGUUUGAAGUGUGCCAUAUCUUUGCUGCGAGGCACAGCAUAUCACUAGUGGAAUACCCUUGUAUCAGUGGUUCCGAGAGAGCGAGUGACCUGGGAAUUCUUCUAGACUGAGUUCCAUAAGAAGUAUAUCAUCCAAAGAUUUAUUGAUCAGAAGCAAAAAGAAUUUCUAGAGCUGAAACAAGGUGGAUGACCGUGACAGAAUAUGAGCAAAAAUUUGUGAGACUAAGUCGGUAUGCCCGAUAGUGUAUUUCUACCGAAACCAUAAUGUGUAAAAGAUUCGAAGAUGGACUGAACGAAGUCAUUAAACUGUUAGUUGGCAUACUUGAGAUAAAAUAGUUUGUGGUACUUGUUGAGCGAGCCUGCAAAGCUGAAGAGCUUGGGAAAGAGAAGAAAAGAGCUAAUUUUGAAGCUAGAGACUCGCAUAAGAGAUCAUUCAGUAAGUCAGCUCAGUCAACACCAAAAAAGUUUCGAGAUGAUUUUAGUCGUUCUAGAGCCACUUCGGGUUAUACCAGACAGGAUCAGAAUAGACCACCUGCGAGUUCGAGAGCUACCUUAGUAGCUAGUGUGGGGAAUGUCAGAUCAAAUCAACCCGAGUGUAAACACUAUGGUAAAAAACAUCCCGGCAGUUGUAGAUUACAUGAUUGGGCUGGUUUUAAAUAUGGAUCAACAGAUCAUUAUAUUCGAGAUUGCCUAGGGUUAGCCGAAGAAAAUUCAGUGCAGAACUCGAGAUUCGGUAAUACUGUAGCUCGGGGUAGACCACCGAGAAAUGUGGGUAAUGCGAGUGGCAGUUAGAGAGGAAAUAAAGAUACAACAGUCAGAUCUAAGGCUCGUGCACCUGCCAGAGCCUAUGCCAUUCGCGUGCGAGAGGAGGCUUCAUCCCCAGAUGUUAUUACUGGUAAUUCACUCUUUAUGAUACUAAUGUAAUUGCAUUGAUUGAUCCUGGUUCUACUCAUUCUUAUGUGUGUGAGACAUUAGUAUUUAGCAAGACUCUACUUGUUAAGUCUACUGAGUUUGUGAUUAGAGUGCCAAACCCCUUGGACCGGUGUGUUAUGGUUGACAAAGUGUGUAAGAAUUGUCCCUUGAUGGUUCGAGAUCUGUGCUUUCUAGCUAAUUUGAUGUUGCUUCCAUUUGAUGAGUUUGACAUAAUUCUGGGUAUGGACCGGUUGACAUUACAUGAUGCUGUUGUGAAUUACAAGGGAAAGACAAUUGAUUUACGGAGUCAGAAUGAUGAGGUUAUUCGGAUUGAAUCUAGUGAUUUGUAUGAUUUACUAGCAGUAAUUUCUUCAAUGCUAGCUCAGAAAUAUGUGAGAAAAGGGUGUGAAGCUUAUUUUGCCUACGUGCUUGAUAGUAAAGUGGCUGAAAGAAACAUUGAAUCAGUACCUAUUGUGUGCGAGUAUCCGGAUGUGUUUCCUGAAGAAUUACCGGGUUUGCCACCUAUUCGAAAGGUAGAUUUUGGUAUUGAGUUAAUGCCAAGGACGACUCCGACAUCCAUAGCUCUGUACAGAAUGACACCUACAUAAUUAAAAGAAUUGAAAGCUCAGUUGCAAGAGUUGACAGAUAGAGGUUUUGCGCGACCGAGUUUCUCUCCUUGGGGUGCACCAGUACUGUUUGUGAUAAAGAAGGAUGGAACUAUGAGAAUGUGCAUUGAUUAUAGACAGCUCAAUAAGGUGACUAUAAAGAAUAAGAAUCCGUUGCCAUGGAUUGAUGAUAUAUUUGAUCAACUGAAAGGGGCUACAGUGUUUUCGAAGAUAGAUUUGAGAUUAGGUUACUAUUAGUUGCGAGUUAAAGAUUCAGAUGUACCAAAGACUAUUUUCUGAAUGAGGUACGGACACUAUGAAUUUUUGGUUAUGCCAUUUGGACUCACUAAUUCACCAACUGUUUUCAUGGAUUUGAUGAAUUAGAUCUCCAGACCAUAUUUGGACCAGUUUGUGGUUGUGUUUAUAGAUGACAUUUUGAUCUACUCUCGUGAUGAAACUAAACAUGCCGAACACUUGAGACUUGUAUUACAGACAUUGCGAGAUAAGUAGUUGUAUGUGAAGUUCAGUAAAUGUGAGUUCUGGUUAAGUGAAGUCAGUUUUCUGGGUCAUGUGGUGUCAGCAUCGGGUAUUCGGGUUGAUCCGAGUAAAAUUUCAGCUAUACUUGAUUGGAAACCUCCGAAAAAUGUUUCUGAAGUCUGAAGUUUUCUGGGACUAACAGGUUAUUAUAGACGGUUCAUGAAAGGUUUCUUUAUGAUUGCAUCCUCGAUGAGGAAGCUACUAUAGAAAGAUGUUAAGUUUGAGUGGUCAGAGAAAUGCCAGAAAAGCUUUGAUCAGUUGAAAGCCCUUUUGACCGAAGCACCAGUAUUAGUUCAGCCAGAAUCGGGUAAAGAAUUUGUUAUUUAAAGUGGCGCAUCUUUAAAUGGUUUGGGUUGUGUUUUAAUGCAGGAAGGCAAAGUUAUAGCCUAUGCCUUGAGACAGUUGAAGCCACAUGAAGAGAACUAUCCGACACAUGACCUAGAAUUGGCAGCCAUUGUGUUCGCAUUGAAAAUUUGGCAUCACUAUCUGUUCGGUGAGAAAUGUCAUGUUUAUUUUGAUCAUAAAAGCCUGAAAUAUUUGAUGACUCAGAAAGAUCUAAAUUUGAGACGACGUUGAUGGUUAGAAUUGCUAAAAGUCUACGAUCUUGUGAUUGACUAUCACUCGGGUUGUUGUUGCUGAUGCUUUAAGCCGAUAAUCACUGGUUGCUUUGCGUGUAAUGAAUGCGCAUAUGGCUAUGUCUGAUGAUGGUUCGAUAGUAGCUGAAUUGAAAGCAAGACCAUUAUUUAUUCAACAAAUUUGUGAUGCCCCGAAGGUUGAUAAUGAGUUGAAUGUAAAACGAGCUCAGCAUGAGACGGAUGCAAAAUCAGAAUUCAGAGUUGAUGCUGAUGACUGUUUGAGAUUCAGAGACUGAAUAUGCAUUUCGAGGAAUUCAGAGUUGAUCCAAAUGAUUCUGAAUGAAGCUCAUAGAAGUCGGUUAUCUAUUCAUCCAGGUAGUACAAAAAUGUAUAAUGAUCUGAAACAGCUUUACUGGUGGCAUGGUAUGAAACGAGACAUUUCUGACUUUGCUGCAAGAUGUUUAAUCUGUCAACAAGUAAAAGCUGAACAUCAGGUGCCUUCAGGAUUACUUCAGCCUAUCAUUAUACCUGAGUGGAAGUGGGAUAGAGUCACGAUGGAUUUUGUAUCUGGUUUACCAUUGACACCGAGCAAGAAAGAUACAAUCUGGGUUGUUGUUGAUAGAUUGACUAAAUCGGCUCAUUUUUUUCUGUACGUAUAGACUACUUACUUGAUAAGCUGGCUGAAUUGUAUGUUUCUCUGAUUGUGAGAUUACAUGGUGUGCCUAUAUCUAUUGUUUCAGAUAGAGAUCCGAGGUUUACAUCGCCAUUUUGGAAGAAACUACAAGAUGCACUAGGUAAGAAAUUACAUUUCAGUACUACUUUCCAUCCGCAAACAGAUGGUUAGUUUGAGCGAAUCAUUCAGAUACUUGAGGAUAUGUUGAGAUGUUUCAUUCUCGAGUUCAAAGGUACGUGGGAACGAUAACUACCUCUAAUUGAAUUUGCGUAUAAUAAUAGCUUUCUAUCGAGUAUCAAAAUGGAACCUUAUGAGGCUUUGUACGGUCAUAAGUGUCGUACACCAUUAUACUGGAAUGAGCUCAAUGAAAAUAAGAUACACGGGGUCGACUUGAUCAGAGAAACUAAACAGAAAGUGAAAGUAAUUCGUGAAAGUCUGAAAGCAGCAUUGGAUCAUCAGAAAUCUUAUGUGGACUUGAAACGCAAGGAUAUAGAGUUUCAGAUCGGAGAUAAAGUUUUCUUGAAAGUCUCACCGUGGAAGAAAAUACUCAGAUUUGGUCGGAAAGAUAAAUUGAGUCUGAGGUUUAUUAGGCCGUAUGAGGUAAUAGAGCGUAUCGGGCCAGUUGCUUACAGACUAUUGUUGCCGCCUGAGUUAGAAAAGAUCCACAAUGUGUUCCAUGUUUCAAUGCUUCGUAGAUAUCGGUCUGACCUUUCACAUGUGAUUAGUCCAUCUGAGAUCGAGACGAAGCCCGAUAUGACAUACGGAGAAGAACCGAUUCGCAUUCUGACUCGUGAGAUUAAAGAGUUACGAAAUAAGAAAAUUCCAUUAGUUAAGGUAUUGUGGUGUAAACAUGGGGUUGAGGAAGCAAUUGGGAACCAGAAGAUGCAAUGAGAGAACGCUAUCCGAACCUAUUCAUCGGUAAUAUUUUCGGGGACGAAAAUCCCUAAGGGGGAGAGUUGUAACAGCCCGAUUUAUACCCUAAUCAGAACAGUGGUUUUAGAAACACGAAUCCGAGUCAAAAAAAUAUUUAAAAUUUUUUUCUGUGUUUAUUUUGUGUAAAUUUAUAUCUGUGAAAUUUUCGUGAUUUAAUUUUUUCUUUUGAGUGUCCGAUUAAAUAAAAUGACUUAAUUUCAUAAAAUGAAAAUUAGGUGGUUGUUUCUAAAAAGGGCUGAAUUGUACUUGGCUUUUAAAAUGGAAGCCUUUAUGUUGCAAUUUGCCCAUUACUAAGUAAAGUGGAUGGUAGUGGCCAUGGUAUAAUGGUUUUAUAAUUCGAUAAAUAAGGUUAAAAAUGUAAAACAUGAAAUAAUAAUAAGUUAGUAUAUAUGUUAUAUUAUAUGAUAACUAAAAAUAAUCUUUUAUUUCUUCAUCAUCUUGCCGAAUAUAAACAAAAGAAAAAGAAAGAACAAGAGCUAGGGUUCGACAUAUAUUCAAGCUCAAUCAAGGUUCAUUUUUGUUCAGUUUUUGAUAAUUUCUACGUUUUUGAGAUCGUUGCUUAGUAAUCUUCAAGACCUAAGCUUUAAUUUUUGAUUUUGAUGAAUAUUUUGAGUUAUGCCAUUGUUGAUAGCUUGUGAGUUUUGUUGUUUGAUGAUGAAAUAUGAAAUAUAUGUUUUAGAUUAACAUAUUUUGUAUUGGAGUUUUUGAUGCUUUUGAGUAAUUAGGACUAAAUUGCAAAAAUAAUAAUUUAAGGGACUAAAAUGUGAAAUAAAUGAAAUAUAUGGGCUUGUAUGAACACUAGGUAUAUUCGGCCAAACAUGGGUACCUUGAAAUUUUUAAUAUUUUGUGUUUUGUGUAAUAGGGACUAAAUUGUAAAAAUUGUAACUGUCAAGGGUAAAAUGGUAAUUCACCCAUUUAUGUGUAUUGGGACUAAAUUGAAUGAAAAUAUGUUUUAAUGAGUUUAAUUUGAAUAUUUUUAGAUCAAGAACCAAAGAAAUCAGAUUUGGAUUGAGGAAAAACGAAAGUUAUCGACUAGCAACCCUGUCUCGUUUUAUAACGUCCGAGGUAAGUCCAUAAGCAAAUAGAUGUGUUUAAUUGUAGUUAAAUGCUAAAAAUAUAUGCUGGUAGUUAAAAUAUGAAUUUAUACAUGCUUUUGUUGAAUGCAAAUAAGCUUGGUAAUCAUGUCCAAGCAUUCGUUCGACCGAGUUACGACAUCCGAAAGCCCCGUAUGAACCUUAGGAAUAGUUAAGAUACAUAUGUCAUGACAUAGGAUUCUGAUAUAUGUGUGCGAGUAAGACCAUGGCAUCGAUAUGUGAUUCCGAUAUGUGUUUAUGAGUAAGACCCUGUCUAGGACAGUGGCAUCGAUAUGUGACUACAUGUAAGACCACAUCUAGGACGUUGGCAUUGUACAACUUGCGUGUUUAUCUGAGUGUCCUAUCCAGUUCUGAAUGGUUCAUCGGGCAAAGGUAAAUCAUGAUCGAAUGUGUAAAUGAGCUAAAAGGCCAGGUAUGGUUUAGCUUGUUAGCUAUUGGUAAUAAGGAAUGUGUGAGACUUGAAAGUUGAUAAGUUUUAUGUGAUGCAAAGUAUAAAUAUAUAUAUAUGAAUUAAGAAAAUAUAUUUGGUUUGAACAAAUGGUAUGAAUAUUAUGGAAUUAAUUUUGGAUAUGUAUAUAUAUAUAUAUGUGAUCAUAUAUGUGUUCGGCCAUACAAGUAGUAUAUGUACAUGAUAUUAUAGUUGGAUUCUUGAGCUUAUGUGAAUAAGUAAAUAUGUGUUUGAUUGUAUAAUGAUAUUUUAACUUAGAAAAUUUAUUGACAUUCAGUUAAUAUGAUUGUGGAAGCAUUCGGCCAUGGUAGAACUAUGCAUGAAAAUGUUAUUAUUUAUUUCACUUCUAAGUUAGAAGUUAAAUUUAGCAAUGUUAAUAUAAUUCAGUUAAACUCAAAAUGAAUCAAAUAUAUCUUGAAAUUGUUUAUUUUCUUUUGACUUACUAAGCUAUGUAGCUUACUUUGUGUAUUCAUGUUACUUUGUUUUAUAGAUUUUAAUUUCAAGUUACAAGCUCGGGGAUCGUCAGCAAAGUUUAUCACACUAUCUAAAGCUUCGGUACUUAAAUAUUUGAAUUUGACUUAUGGCAUGUAUAGGCUGGAUCGUAUUUUGAAAAUGCCGAAAGUUGGUUACGUACAUAAGCCAUGCGAAAAUGGCUAAAUUAUUAUAUUAGUGUUCAGUUAUGAUAGGUAAGGUUUAUAUUAAUCUUGAUUACUAAGUUGCAUGCCUUGAAUGCAAGAUAUAUGUGAUAAGCACUAUAUGUUUUGAAAAUGGCUUGCAUAUUAUGUUAAACUUGGUCUUGUAAAUUCCUAGUCAACUGUUUAAUGAACUUGUCUAUUGGUAAUUAAUGAUGGAAGUUUGGAUAUGUACGUGAUUUUUAAGCAGCAAGAUUCGGCUAUGAAAGAGUAUUGGUAUAAUGUGUGUUUGGUAUGUUUAUUAUCAUGUGAUGGAAAGUGUAAAAUGUGGCAUUGUUUCAAUGAUGGGUGAUUAUGUUCUAGCUUGGUUAGUGCGAUUAUUAAGUGAUAAAUAAUGUAUGUGGUUUAUGAUUAAUCUAGUUGACUAUUUGAUAUGUGUUUGAUGCUUUAAUGUUAAGUAUGGCCUUGGCUUUUGGGUAAAUGCACACCUUGCAUGCAUAUAUGAUGAUUAAGUUAUAUAUAUAUGUUUAGUUUUAUAUUGAGUCUAUAUCAAGGGCGUAAUCAUAAUAUAUAAGAUUUGUCUUGAUGUUAUAUAUAUUCGGACAUCUAGUUCAUUAUGAAUGACAUUGGAUUAAUAUAAAUUAUGAAAUUAGUAGGUAAAGAGAAAGGUAUAUGCAUGAUACAAAUUUUGAUGCUCAUUUAUGCAUUAAGUUAAGACAUGCAUACAUGACAUUUGGAUUUGUUAUAUUAACAAAGUUUUUAUGUGCCUUGUAUAUGUGUAAAGUGUUCAUAUUUAUGGGUGCUUAUUACCUGUGUACGUAUGGUUAUAAGAACUUGCUAAAUAAGUGUAAGUAAUGAAUGUGUAUAAUGAGAUAAAAAUAUAUAUAUAUAGGUUAGCCGAUCAGACCAAGAAAUGAAGUGAGUGAACUUAUAACCAAAUGCUUGCUUUUAGUAAUAUUAAUAUAUAAAACAUAUAAGGUCCGUAUAGAUUACCAUGCUAAUGCCGUAUAUAUAUGGAAUUGUUGAUGUAUUAUAUUUUAUAUUGUUACAUGUGAACGAUAUGACUAUAUAUGCAUAUGAUGUGAAAUGUUCAAAUUUAAGAGAUAUAUUAAUUUAUGAAAUAAAUUUUGAUUAACAUUCGAGACUUGUGUAUGUGAAUAAUUAUAUAUAUUAUAAGUAAUUGUUUGAGAUCGUGUUUUAUUCUGUAAUGCCUCAUGACCUUAUUUUGGCAACGGAUACGGGUUAGGCAUGUUACAUAGACACACGUCCGUGUGUCUACCCGUGUGGACCAUUUAAAGGCUAUUUUCCAAGCGAAUAAUCACCCAUACAUUCAAACAUACUUUAUAACAUGCAACAUGACAUAUUCAAGCACUCGAAUAUUCCACACCACAUCUUCAUAAAGUCAUCCUAUUGCACAUUCAUUUGUUACAUUAUUUAGAGGCAUCCCACACCAAUUUCAUGCAUUAUUAAACUUGUUAUCAUGACUUCAAAUUGUGCAUUCAUACUUAUAGUCAUUUUAAGCCAUUAGGUCAUCCCUUAUCCUUUAGCACCUAAUUCAUACUUUACCAUACAUUCAUCGAUCAAAAGCAUAUCACAUCAUUAUCAUGCACUCAUUGUAACGCCCCCACACCCGAGACCGUCACCGGAGUCGAGCUUGAGGUGUUACCGAACAUAAUUUAUCAAAUUAAGAACUUUGAAUCAUUUGUUUCUACAUUCACAGCUUUCUAGUUACCUGCGUCACAGUAACAAGAAAAAUCAUAUCUUGAGUUACGAAACUCGAAAUGAAGAUCCGUAAAUUUUACCUAAAUCUAGACUCAUAUAUCUAUUUACUAAAUUUUUUUCUAGAAUUUUUGGCUGGGCCAAUUAGUACAGUUUAUUAGUUAAAGUUACCCCUGUUUCAGGACUUGGCUGGACUGACCUCUGUUUACUACGAACCAUAUCUCUCUCUGUGAAAAAUUUAUAUGACUGUGACGUUUGUUUAUAAUGAAACUAGACUCAAUAAGGAUUCCAAGAAUAUAAAAUGCAACACCUAAUUAUUUUUUUACAAUUUAUGGUGAAUUCCUAAAGUUGGAACAGGGGAUCCACAAAUCAUUCUGGCCCUGUUUCACAAAAUUCAAAUAUCUUCUAACAUAUAAUUCCUUUACCUGUUUCGUUUGUUUUAUGUGAAAAUAGACAUAUUGGGAUUCAAUUUCAUAUUUAAUCCAUCACCAAAUUUGAUUUCUAUGAUUUUUAGUAAAUUUUCAAACUCACGUCAGUGUUGCUGCAAUGUUCUGUUUAUGGCAAAUUUCAUCUUUUCAUGAGUUUUUAUGGACUAGAUAACCUAUUAACUUUCCAUGACAUCAAACAUGGUCUAAAUUAGUCAUUUCCAUGACCUAUCAUUAUCAAGCAUUUUCUCAACCAAAUCACCGCCAUAUCACAAAAUUAUUUACACGAAAUAGGUAUAUUGCUAUACAUGCCAUACUUAAGUUUUACAAGCCAUUUACCAAAAAAUGUCCUUCGGAUAGUGUGAUCGAACCUUCGACCUGUCCUGAUUCCCGAGCCGGCUUGUUCAAAACUACAGUGAAUAAAAAGGAGGGAGUAAGCAUAAAUGCUUAGUAAGUUCAUAUGCAAAUAACAAGUAACAUAACAAUACAAUUAUACCAAACAACCUUAGCAUAGUAUCACCAAAACAUAUAUCACAUUUCUAAACAUCAUUCAUCAUCUUACCACCUUAUCGUUGUUGUAUCUAUUUUCAACCCGAGGGUUAAGUACAUACCUGUCCAAAGUGUCCAUUUCACAACACUUACCAAAACGUCACUUGCAUCUUAAGCGUUCUUCCGUUUCACUAGAAAUUUUACCCGUUGAACACAUCUGAAUAUAGCUCGGAUACAUGGAUAAUUUGCACAUAAGUGCCACAUAUGUAAUCAAGAAAUCAUGUAACCCGCCCCUAAGUGAACUCGAACUCAACUCAACGAGCUCAGGCGUUCGCAUCCAUAAGUGAACUCGGACUCAAUCAACGAGUUCGGAUGCCUAGUUACAUCUCACGAACUCGGACUCAACUCAACGAGUUCGAACAUUCGCAUCCGUAAGUGAACUCGAACUCAACUCAAUGAGUUCGGAUGCUCAACCAUCCUAGUGACAUGUCACUUGUAUCCUAAGCUAUUCCUAAGGUUCAAACGGGAUUUUCAUCGAACACAUAUCCUUGCCAUCUUCCGUAAAAUACCGAAACCAAUACUCGGUAGCACUUUAUAUUUAACAAAUAAUACACAUAAUUUGCAUUUUAUUCGAAAAUAACCACAAAGCAUAUAUUUCAUGAUAAAAAUCAGCAUAUCAUAUAAUUAACAUCAAUAACUUAUAAAUAAAAAUUAUGCUACAUUAUUCACACAUGAACUUACCUUGGUACCAAAAUAUAAUGAUUUUGCAAUUUAGUCCACAAUCUUUUCUUUUCCUCGAUUGGGGUCGAUUCUACGUCUUUCUUGAUCUAAAAUAACACAUUUAGCUUAUUUAAUACUCAAAUUAUCAAAUUAGUCUUUAAUUCAAAUUUUAGCAAAAUUACAAUUUUACCCCUAAACUUUUGCAUAUUUACACUUUUGCCCCAAAUCUCGGGAAUUAAACUUAAUUCCUUAUUCUUAUGUUUUAUAAUAUGCUGAUCACUUUCCCCUUCUAUGGCAACAUCAAAUAAUCACUCUAACAUGUACUUAUGACUAUUAGGUAUUUUAGCCGAUUAAGCUCUUUUACUCGUUUUCACUCAAAACCGAGUAGCACAAGUUGUCUAACAUAAUUUAAAACCUCAUAUUCUAUCAUAAAACAUCAAAAUUCACAAAAUUCACCUAUGGGUAUGUUUCCAAAUAUGAACUCUAACUCAAAAUAUUACUAUCAUAAGCUAUAUCGAGUUACCGGGAUUUCAAAAACGUAAAAAUUAUUAAAAACGGGGCUUGGAAUCACUUACUAUGAAGCUUGAAAGUUGAAGAAACCCUAGCUCUGGAGAGAGGGAGCAUUCGGCAGCAACUAAGGAAGAUGAUAACCAAUUUUGUGUUAUUUUUCCCUUUUUAUUUCAUUUAAUAUCCAAAUGACCAAAAUGCCCCUCCUUACUAAACUUUCAAAAAAAGUCCUUCCAUGUCCUAAUUUUGUCCAUAAACUUAAAAUUGGUCAAAGUACCAUUUAAGCCCUCCUAAUUAAUAUUUCAAAGCAAUUUCAUACUAAAAACUUCUAGAAUGCAAGUUUUGCAACUUAUUCGAUUUAGUCUCUAACUUUAAAUUAAAAUCGUUAUGCCAAAAAUUUCUUCACGAAAUUUUUACACAUUUAUGCAAUCAUAUCAUAAACCUCAAAAUAAUUAUAAAAUAAUUAUUUCUAUCUCGGAUUUGUGGUCACAAAACCACUAUUCCGAUUAGGCCUUAAUUCGGGAUAUUACACUCACCAAGCAAUAACAUAUCCUACCAUCAAAACACUAGCACAUGUAUGCAUGGGUAAUUAGAUUACAACCUAAAUGAUCAAAUAUGAGCCAUAUCACAUGGCCAUUACAAAAUGAAUUAUCAUUAUCUUAAGCCUUCACAAUUUGGCCAAAUAGCAUGACACAUAUCACAAAAUGACCAAGUUUCCUAUACAUGCCAUACUCAAAAUAAUAAUUUCACUAUACCCAAUAGUCCUUUGAUAGUGUGAUCGAAUACUUCGACAGCUUUUGAUCCCCUAGCUAGCUUGGCAGAACUACAAGGAUGGAAAGAGAGGGGAGUAAGCAUUAAAGUUUAGUAAGUCCACAUGCAAAUAAUAUGAAAUGGUAGUAAGNNNNNNNNNNNNNNNNNNNNNNNNNNNNNNNNNNNNNNNNNNNNNNNNNNNNNNNNNNNNNNNNNNNNNNNNNNNNNNNNNNNNNNNNNNNNNNNNNNNNNNNNNNNNNNNNNNNNNNNNNNNNNNNNNNNNNNNNNNNNNNNNNNNNNNNNNNNNNNNNNNNNNNNNNNNNNNNNNNNNNNNNNNNNNNNNNNNNNNNNNNNNNNNNNNNNNNNNNNNNNNNNNNNNNNNNNNNNNNNNNNNNNNNNNNNNNNNNNNNNNNNNNNNNNNNNNNNNNNNNNNNNNNNNNNNNNNNNNNNNNNNNNNNNNNNNNNNNNNNNNNNNNNNNNNNNNNNNNNNNNNNNNNNNNNNNNNNNNNNNNNNNNNNNNNNNNNNNNNNNNNNNNNNNNNNNNNNNNNNNNNNNNNNNNNNNNNNNNNNNNNNNNNNNNNNNNNNNNNNNNNNNNNNNNNNNNNNNNNNNNNNNNNNNNNNNNNNNNNNNNNNNNNNNNNNNNNNNNNNNUAUGCACACAAUUCAUCUCAUAUCAUUAUAAUAUCUCAUUUAUAUGCCAUUUACCAACUUUACCAAUUAUAUACCCCUAUUAAUGUGACUCAAACGAAUACAUGGAUCGUCCAACCAAUACACCAAAAUAGCACUGAACUGCAUCAUUGAAUAAACUAAAGUAGGGUAAACUGGUACGUAAAGUGCAUCAUCGAAUAGACCGAAGUAGGAUAACCUGGCAUGUAAAGUGCAUACUGGAGCUUGAAAUGCAUCACUGGCGUACAAAGAGCAUAGUGGCAAUGAAGUGCAUCCUAGCAUACAAAAAGCAUCCCAGAACACAAGGUGCAACCUGACGCAUAAGCGCAUAAUCUCGUACACAAUCAAAUCCUACGGCAUGCCAACUAUAUCCGACUCGACCUGACUAGCUAAUAAGGUAUCAAUGUUCAAGUAUAUUAUACAACAUGAUACGUAUACCAUUUAUCAUCAUAUACAUAAUCAUAAGCCUAUUUCAUCAUCAAGCACAUAUAUUUCUUAUCAUAUGGCAUACCUUAUUUCAAUUCUCAUUUUACAUAUUGCAAUUCAAAUAUUUCAUGCCAUUUUCCAUUUUAUUCAUUUUAGUCCUCUAUUUUGAUAAUCUAUACCAAAACAAAUCAAAACCAAUCACAGCAUCACCAUGUACUUACCUUGACAUAUAUUCAUCUAAUUAACACAUAUAGGCAAUCAAUUAAUCUAUCCCGAAUCAUAAAAGUACAAAUUAUGGUCUCGCAUCACUCAUCGAUAACGCUCAUUUUUUCUUUCCUUCUCUAAGGUUUCGUGCCAAUGUUAGCUACGAUUAGCCAUAAACCAUAACAUACUAUCAAUUUCCAGCCAAUUCAUAACCAAAUAUCAAUUUGCACAUAUUUUUUAUUUCUUCAAUUUAAUCCCUAAAAUCGAGACAAGCAUAACUUUCAAUUUAAAACUCUAGAUUAAAAUUCGAUUUUACAUAUAUUCAUUAGGGACCCUCUAGUUCCUAUUCCUAUCAAAAUUUCAUGACAAUUUUUCAUUUUAUUUAAUUUGAUCCCUAAUGUACCAAACUAACAAUUAAGGUUUACAGUUUAGUCCGUAUCUUAAUUUAAGCUUAAUUUCUAAUACUUUUACACCUAAAUCAUUCAAUUAUCAACAAUGUAAACUUACCAAAAUUUCACCAAUUGAUCAAAUUGAUCCAUGGGCUAGCUUAAUCUAACUCCCAUGAUAAAAAAUACAUAAAAUUUAAUGAAAAAUGGCUAAGGACUUACUUGGAAUCAAAACCAAAAGCUCAAGGACUAAAAAUGGCGUCCUCCCUUAGGUUUUCUUACUUUGGCCAAUUGGAGAAGAUGAAUUAUCAUCUCUUAUUCCACUAAUUUCCUUUUUAAUUAUGAUUAAGUUUUAGUUAAUCUUAUUUAACUUUUAAUUAAUCAUGUUCUUAUGUUUUUAACUAUAAUUAAUUAGCUAAAUUACGAACCAUCAUUACAUUCCAUUAUCAUAUAUUCUAAAAUAGUUUAUUUUCUAUUUUAAUCCUUUAGAUAAUUUCUAUCUAAGUCUCCAAGUCUUUUUUUAAUUAAAAAUCUAUAGCGACUAAAAUUUUACAAUAUAGUUCCUAAGCCUGAAUUAACCACAUUUUCGACUAAAUUACUUAACCAAAUUUUAAUUCAUCAAUAUAAUAACUCUGUAAACAUCUCUAUUUAUAUUUACGGACUCGAUUUAUGAAAACAAUGUCCCAAAAUCGCAUUUUUCAACACCACUAGAAACCCAGUCAUUAUAAUUCUAAACUUCUAAAUGGUUGCAUGGCUAAUUUUAUUAUUCCUUUUUUAAACUCUCGAAAUUGUUUUUAUAGAAGAAAAACUUCCUUAUAUAUAUAAAAACUAGGUAGUUUUUCAGUAACUGCUUCUUAAUAACUUUAGUGGGCUUAAGUUCUACCCCAUUAUGGGUGGAUCCAAUCCGAUUCGAUCUAAUAUUUCCAACAAAAUAAUAAAAAAAGAACAUUUUAAGAAAAUUAGAAACAUACUAGGUAUGAAUUUGAUUAAUACAUUACUCAUACGAUGUAAAAGUAUAUAUGAACAAUUGAUGUGGCUGAAUGGUUAAAGCCUCAUACUUAUCUAAAUUUUGCUCAGUCAAGAGCCAAAAUUAAUGUUGACAUCAAAUUUUUCACCAUUCUCGAAAAGAUAGAAUAAAAUAAUUCAAUCAAAUAAAUCAUAAUUAAUCAUGAAUUAACUAAUUAAAAAAAUUAAUUCAAUAUAAAGCAUUAAAUAAAAGAAACUUCCUGAAAGAUUUUGCAUCUUGCUGUCUGUGAUCUCAAAGAAUAAAUCUGAUAUUCAAUCUUUGAUUGAAUAAAUCUAAUCAAAUAUAGAUAAAAGGUUUUUAUAAAUUUCGUGGCAUUGUAUAGCCUAAAGGUUGGAGUAGCUGAGUGGUUGAAAGCAAUGAUGAUAUUCAGAGGGCGCAAGUUUGAUAAAGAUGGAAUGUUUACAAUACUUUUUCAAAUUAUGUAUUUAUAAAAAUAAAAAGUAUAUAUAAUAUAAAACUAUACUUCUAAUAAACAUUAUAAUCCUAAAAUACAUCAAACUUAUCUUAAUCUUGAUAAGCAUCUGCUUAAUAAUAUAAUAUUUAUAAAACAAUAUGUUUUUAUUUGUUGUUAAUAGCUCUAGCUAAAUUACAAUGACAAUUUUCAAAUUAAUGUUUUUGCUUAAAGCUUAAACUAUCAUUUUUCUUUUAUCUACUACUAUAUAAAUUUAAAGUUCAAAUAAAUAGUUAUUUUUUAAAAUAAUUUUUCAAUUUUUUAUAGAUAUUAUAAGAAAAAGUAAUUCUGUUAAUUUUGAUAUAGAAAUUUGCAAAUAAUAUCUAUUAUAUGUUAUAAGGUUUAAGACUCAAAAUUAAUAUGAACAAUUUACUUAAUUUACUUAACUAGCAUGUGGAUAAUUAUUAUUUUUAACAAUUUUAAAUAAAUAAAAUUUGAAAGGAUUAGGUAAAUUUUGAAGAUUUUACAUAAAUUUUUAUGUAAAAGAAAGAAAAAUGUAAUAUUAUUAUAAAUAUAAAUAUAAAUAUAAAUAUAAAUAUUAUUUAAUUAUCAUUAAUAUAAAUAAUAUUUAUUUUAAUAUUUAAAUUUUUAUCAUUCGAUUUUAAAAAUUACCAUUAUAAUUUAAUUUAAUUUAAUUUAAUUUUGAAUUGUUUAAAAUUUAUUUUAAAUUACUGUAUUAAAUUUAAAAACUAUCAUGAAAUAUGUAUUAUUUAAUUUAAAUUUAAAUUUAAUAUAAUUAGAUAUAUAAAUUUUUAAAGUUUAAAAAUUCUAUAUAAAUAUCUGCAAUUAUUAUACAAAAUUAUUUUAAAAAUUAGUAUUUUAAUUUCUUUAUUUUUAACAUAUCUUUUUAUUUUUUAUGUUCUUACUUUUAUGUGUCAUUAAUUCUUUUAAAUUCUUUAGUAUUAAAUUUAAAAUAAAUUAUAUUUUAAUUAAUACAAUCAACAUGUCCAUCACUUGUGAAAGAAACUAGUAUAUAUAAUAUAAACAGGUACUAAAGCAUAAUAUUAUGGCAAGUGACACACUUCUAUUUUUCUUUUUUAAAGAUACUUAAAUAAACAAUUUAUUUUUAUAAAUUAAAUUAAAUAAAUAAAUUAAAAUUUUCAAAUAUUCAUUUAAUUAACUAUUUAUCUUCAAAAUAAAGCUUUAAAAUGUUUUUAAUUAACUAAUAUGUUAAAAUAAAAAUGUAUUUAUCCAUUUAAUCUAUAACAUCUAUAACAAUAAAUAAAAGUGAGAUAGAUGGGAGCACGGUAGAUGUGCCUACCCAUGUAUCUUACACAUGUUUUCAAGUGCUUCUUUUUUUUAUUCAUCUAAGCUAAAAUUUCACCUACAUAAGAUAUUAAAUCAACUAUAUUUUUUAAGAAAUAUUUAUUACUUAAUUGUUUUUAUUUUAUUUUUUAAUUACAUUUUUAUUUUUUAACUAAAAAAUGGAUUUAGAAUUCACAAGUGAUCAAUUAAGGAAAAAGUUCAAAAAAAUAUUUGAAAAUUAAUUAUUUUAAAUUUAGAUAAUGUAUUCAAAGAUUUUUGAAUAUUUACUUAGGAUAGUAGAGAAUUUUCUGUAGUUUAUUUGCUUGCAAAAUAUUUUUUAUUAAAUAACAUAUUUAAAUGAUUUAGUUUGUUUAGCCACAUAUUAGUUUAACGUUAUGUGGAGUUUUUUUUUUUUUAAUUUCACGAGUGUAAUUGAAAAAGUGAUAUGUGUUUUAUUUGUUUUUAUAUUUAAUAUUUAAAUUUUACUAUACUUUUUAAGAGAGGAAUUAUUAAAUAAACUCAUCCUUUCAUAUCUACCAUGGUCACGAUUAAAUUUCUACUAAAUGCCGAAAAUUUUUAAAAUUUAUUAAAGAAUUACGAGAAUAUGUUGAUUUUACAAAAUACUUCCACGAAGACGCAUUUUUAGGUGAAAUGUCAAAAAAUACUUCCAACCGAAACUGCUUUCUACCAGAUCAGCACUAAAAGUGGCAACACCAAUAUUUUUUCUUAUUUCCUGGUACCACUUAUUGAUGUGGAAAUAAAAUUUACAAAACAAGUUUUUGUAUAAACCCAAAGUCUCGUUUCUCUUAUUUUUUUAAGCGAUGUGGGAUAUGAGAUAUGGAUAUAUAUAGACUCAUAAUCCAUUUCUAACUUGUUACUAGACAUGUGGGAUUACUAUAUCUUAUACCAACAUCUUUUCCCAUGUUUGGUGUUGUUAAUUAAGGGAUGUGUGUGUGAGAGAUAUUAUUAAAUAAUAAUUUAAUUUAAUUUAAUUUUUAAUAUUAUUAAAAAUGCCAUGUAUCAACUCUUAAUUAGUUGAAAAAAAAUUUCUAACAAAUAUAAUAGUAACGCUCAUAAAUAGAAUUUUUAAUAUUAUUAAAAUUUUACUUUAGUAGUCGGCAAAGCCACUGUAGUUUGAAGUGUCACUUUCCAACUAAUGACACAAUUCCCGAAAGCAAAUAAGUAACCCGUGAGAAACCUUUUUUGAUCUAAGUCUCUUACAUAAUCAAAAUCAACAUAUCCAACUAGACCCUUUUGAGUUCUUCCAAACUCUAAGCAUAUGUUAGAAGUACCCCGUAAAUAUCUGAAAAUCCAUUUAACUGUAUGUCAGUGUAACUUACUAGGAUUUGCCAUGUACCGGCUAACAACACUAACAACAUGUGAAAUAUCUAGACAAGUGUAUACCAUUGCAUACAUCAAACUUCUAACUGCACUUAAAUAAGGUACUUUUGACAUAUACCUUUCAUCUUCUUUAUUCUGUGAGGAAUCUGAAAUUGAGAGUUUAAAGUGUGCAACUAAAGGAGUACUUACCGGUUUUGCAUCUAGCAUCUCAAAUAGUUAAAGGAUUUUUUUGAUAUACCUUUGUUGCGAUAAAAAUAAUUUCCUGGAAUGUCUAUCUCUCAAAAAUUUCAUCCCAAAAUUUUCUUUGUUGCACCUAAAUUCUUGAUUUCAAACUUAGAAUUAAGCAUAAUUUUAAGACGAUCAAUUUCAGAUGGAUUCUUAGCCGCAAUUAACAUAUCAUUAACAUAAAGCAAUAAAUAUAUAAAAGAACCAUCAUUAAGACCUUGUAGAUAAACACAAUAAUUAUACUUACUUCGAGGAAAACUAAUACUCAACAUGAAGGAGUCAAACUUUUUAUACUAUCUCCGAGGAGACUGCUUCAAACCGUACAAUGACUUUUGCAAGAGACAAACAUGAUCUUCUUUACCUUCAAAUUUAAAGCGUUCCGGUUGUUGCAUGUAGAUGUCUUCCUCAAGAUCACCGUGAAGGAAAGCAUUCAUUACAUCUAACUACUCUAACUCAAGAUUAUUUGAUGCAACAAGGGCCAAAAGUGCCUGAAUGGACGUAUGUUUCACAAUGGGGAAGAAAUGAAAAUCGACUUAUUCCAUUUGACUCUAGCCCUUUUCAACCAAUCUUGCCUUGUACCUAGUGUCGUUAGGACCCCAACCUUCGUUCUUUUUAAAUGCCCAUUUGCAACCAACGAUUCUUUUACGGAUGGGUAGUUUAACUAGCCUCAAAGUCUUGUUAUUUUAAAGUGAUUCUAUCUCUUCUUCCAUUGUAAUGAGCCAUUUGCUAGAAUUGGAGGCUCAAACUGCCUUAUAAUAGCAUGAAGGAUCGGUUGAAUCAAUGCUCUCGGUAACACUUAAAAUAUAAGCCACUAAGUUUCCUUCACAAUAUUUCUGUGGUGGUCAAAUUUCUCGCAUUUCCCUGUCAGAGCCAACUUAUAAUUAGUUAACUGAGAUGGUGAAGAUACCCAAGGAUUGGAUGGAGCUCCAAAUAAAUCCGAAACGACUUCAAACAUGCAAGAAUCAAAAUUUUGUUGUGUUGUCGCGAAGUCAUGUGACUCUUCGUCGGGAUAAGAUAUAUUUUCAUCGCAUCAUUGCGAUGUUGGGAUUUGCUUGUCGGGACGUCACUCCCUAUUUCAGUUUUGACUUUACCUUGCUUGUGACACUCUGAUUUAUUGUGUCUUUAAAAGUAAAAGUCCUAUUUUCUAAUCAAAACAUGGCAGAUUCAUCAAACAUAACAUCUCUUCUAACAAUUAUUUUUCCUAAUUUCGAACAUCACAACUUAAAACCUUUUGUACCCAUAGAAUAUCCCCAAAAAAAUGCAUUUAACGACCCUUGGUUCAAGCUUUCCCUGUCUAAAUUUAACAUAAGUAGGACAACCGAAAAUUCUAACAUUAGCAUAAUUGAGAAGAUUACCUAAUUAUAUCUCCUUUGGAACUUUACCGUUCAAUGCUUAAUGGGCGUCGAAACCACCGAAUAUAAAUUCCUACGACAAGAUAACACUAAAUAGUAGUAUAGAGCGGUUGGGUCGAAUCCACAGGGACUGAUUAUCCAAUUUUUCCUUUUCUCGUGACUAGAAUUACUAUCGCGGUCACAGUCGUGCCCACGACCUGUACGUAGCAAUACUAAAAAAUGGAAAAAGGGUUUUAGUUGAUAAAAGUAAUAAAAUAAAUAUAUAUGUAAUGUAAUAAAAUGAAAACAGAUUCAAAAUUGCAAAAAUAAAUUUUAAGAAAAUAAAUAAAUGGGUAAAUAAAAUAUUUUAAAGCUUAGCCUUAGCCUCGGUACACUCCGAACUUGAACCGCUCCUUGAAAAAAGGUUUUCCUUCCAACUGAUAAGUUGGUUAUAGCGAUCGAGGACGCCUUAAACCAUCAACUUUUCCUCUUGUAGUCAGUUCCGGUACAACCUGCAAAUCGACCCUUGUUGAAUUUCUAACCACAUGACACUUGCCCAUAAUUUAAGACUUCGACAACCUUGUGAUCUAAAAAGCCCAACUCGAAUCAACAAUCUAAACCGUGUAGGUUGUUUAAAUUUGAUCACUAUCUCCCUUGAUGGAACUCAACUAGCUUUUCCCACCUGAACACGCCAACUUGUUUGCGAGAUUUUGAAUAUAGCACGACCGACUCAACUUUCCAACUGUACGCCAAACGAUUCCAACCCAACGCGCGCUUUUGAGUUGAAAUCGAAUCAACUUUAAGGGACGAAUUUGUACUAUCACAUAUAUCGGAGAGAUAACGAAUACCGAAUUGCAAAGUAUUUAGCGUGGGUUCAUAUAUCACGAUUACUUUGUUGGAGCGAUAAUUGGAUUAAGGCUAAAAAAGGGAUUAGUUAAGCAUGAAAUUAAUCAUGCUAGAUGGAGUAUAGAAUUAGCUUUUUAAUGGAAAUGGUGGAAAGUGAAAAAGGGAAAAGACUUGGGAGGCAAUUUAGCCAAAAUGCUAAAAAUGGAAAAAGAAUGGCAAAAUGUCAAAUUCACUGACGCAUGAAUGAAGAAAAUAAAGGAAUUGUUUUUAUUCAAAAAGCCAAGUCUGCCUAAUGGUUAUAGCCACUAGGUAUUUAUACAUACUUCUAAUGCUAAAACUUAGUUAGAUUUUUCUUAAACAUUAUCACUAGAUAAAUCAAAAUUUAAAAAUCAAAUUUAAACUAAUUACAGAAUUUUAACAAUAUAAAAAAUAAGUUGAUCUUUAUCCAACCAAUUUCAAAUAUUUAAUCUUUAUCCAGCCAACUUCAAAUCUUCAAUCUUUCAAUCUACCCCUCCUCUUUACUUUUUGUUCCAAUUUAGCCCCUUUUUAAAUGAUUUUGAAUUUCAGCACACCAACUUCAUUUCUGAUAAUAAAAACCAAAUUUAAUAGCAUCUUAUUCGAUAAUUAGCCAAAAAUAAAUACAUUAAAAAUAAAAAAAUUAUCUUGUUAUCAAUGCUCAAUGAGGAGAUCGAUUUACCAAAUAACUUUCCAAGUUUAUUGCUUCAGCCUAAAAUUCUUUCCCUAAGCCUGCAUUUGAAAGCAUGCAUCGAGCCUUUUUCCAAUAAUUUUCUGUUCAUUCUUUCUGCAACUCCAUUUUACUGUGAAUUUCCAACAACGGUUCGAUGUCUUUCGAUUCCUUCCUAUUUGCAAAAAUCAUUAAACUCUGAAGAACAAAACUCAAGACCAUUAUCCGUUCUCAAUCGCUUCAUGAAUUUUUUGGUUUAUUUUUCUAAUAGUGCCUUCCACUGCUUGAAGAUUCCUAAGACUUCGCUUUUUUUUUAAGAAAUAAACCCAAAUUUUUCUAGAGUGAUCACCAAUAAAAGUUAGGAAAUAUUUAUUACCUCUUUUUGAGAUGUUAGAAGAUGGACCCCAUAAAUUGGAAUAAAUGUAAUCUAGAGUCCCUUUUAUUUUGUGCGCUGCUAAAUCAAAAUGACUCCGGUUUGUUUCCCGAAAAUGUAAUGCUUGCAAAAACCUAACUUACCAAAUCCAGCGUCUUUGAGAACCCCUCUAUUGCACAAGACUGUCAUACUUUCUCACUCAUAUGACCCAGUUGCAUGUGCCAAAGUUUGGUUGAAUCAGAAUCAAUGGAGAAAGAGUCACGUUGUGUUGUCGCGGCAUCGGGUUGAUUCUUGUCAUGACAUGAUGGUAAUUUUGGCUUUCUUCGAUAAUCGUAGCUGCUUCAGUAAUCUUUGACUUUUGCAGAACGUAUAGACUACCAUUUUUCUAUCCUCUCAUCACAAGAAGAGCCCCACGAGAAACUUCUAAAUCUUUUGAUUCAAUGACUAUCCUGCAAUUAUUAAAAUCCAAAAUUCCUAAUGAGAUAAGAUUUUUCUUUAAAUCAGGAGCAUACCUGACAUCUUACAGUGUCAGAAUAAUUUUGUUGUACAUUCUAAUUUGUACUGUUCUAAUUCUAGAUAUUUCACAUGGAGAGUUAUUCCCCGUCAGCACAACUCCACCUUCAGUUGAACUAUAUGUGGAGAACCAGUCCUUGUUUGGACACAUGUGAUAGGAGCACCCUAAAUCUAAGAUCCAUUCGAAAGUAAGAUGAGAGCAUUUGCUUGUUGACAGCAACAAGAAACCAUUACAUCUUUCCUCGACUAUACUAGCAUUAACAACUUCGGCUUUCUGCUUAUCUUUCUCGUUGUUUUCAGCAUCCUUUUUUAUUUUAUUUUAUUUUGAAGUUUCCAACAUUCUUCCAUAACGUGACCCACCUUUUUAUAAUAGCCACAAUAUUUGUCACGAUUUUUGGAUUUGGAUCUUGCUUUAAACUUGUUUCGAUCUAUCUUUCUGGUUUGUUGUCUGCCUCUUGCAACUAGAAUUGAGGCUUACCUAUCUGAUUUUUUAUUUGGGCCUAACUCAUUGUAAAUUUUAUCCUUGCUCAAAAGAUUCCCCUCCGCAUCCUCAAACGAGAGAUUAUCUCUUCCAUAAAUCAGAGUUUUCCUGAAAUUUUUAUAAAAAGAGGACAAAGAGUAUAACAACAACAUAGCUUGAUCCUCGUCACUAAUCUUUGCUUCAAGAUUCUUUAAGUCAUUAAGUAGUGUAAUAAACUCACUAUAUGAGUUCUAAUUGGCUCACAUUCUGUCAUUCUGAACGUGUAAAGGCGUUGUUUUAAAACUAACCUGUUGACCAAAUAUUUCGUCAUAUAUAAGGCUUCUAGUUUUUUCCAUAACACAAACAAAAUUUUCUCCAUCAGAACCUCCUGUAACAUAUUAUUCGUGAGGCAUAAUUGAAUAGCGGAUAGAGCCUUCUCAUCGAGCUCUUCCUAUUCUGACUGAUCCAUAUCUACGGGCUUCUUCCCUGUAACGACCUUUUUCAUACUGUUUUGAACUAGUAUUGUCGUCAUCCGAACUUGCCAUAAACUGUAAUUUGUAAUUCCAUCGAACUUCUCAAUAUUGAACCUUGACGUUGCCAUAUUUGAACGAGUUGGUUGCGAAAAUUGAACUAGCUCUGAUACUAGUCUGUAAGGGAUAAACCCGAUUAAACAACGAAUAAAGCAAAGAAAAUAAGAAUUGAAAAGAUCGAACACGCAAAUUUUUCAUGGAAAAAAUCCUUAAAAAAGGAUAAAAAAACCACGGGUAAAAGGAGAAUUCACUACAAUAAAGAAGAGUACAAAAAAUGGAGAGAAUUAAAAAAAAAAUCUGAAGCCCCACAAAAAAAAUCUUUUCAAAAUAAAGAACAAAAUUCUCUUAAUCUAAAUAUUUUUUUGUGUAAAACCUAGAGUAAGUAAGGCCUAUUUGUAGGCUGAAAAUUCGUAGCAUAUAUAACUACAAUAACUCAAGGUUAAUCAGAAUUAAGUGGAAACCUGAAAACAUAGUUUAUCUGGGAGAAAAAAAAAGCCAAAAUAAAAAUUUGGUCAAAAUUAGAGGCAUUCUCCCUCAUAAUAUAUAGCAAAAAAUUAAAAAAAAUUAAAAAACUUUUUUAAAUGUUUGUAAUUGUAAAAACUUUUUACGUCAACUUUUACUUCAAUUAUAAUUAUUUUAACUAAACGUUUUUAAGUAAUAUUUUUAAAUUAAAAUAUAAUUAUUUUUAAAUGUCAAUUUAAUAAUAUAUUAAAAAAUAAAAGGUAUUCUUGUUGGUUCAAAAUUUUUUUUAAACUUAUUUUUUUAUAUAUUAAAACAUUACUUUUGAAUUUACUAUUAUUUUAAUCAUAUUAUUAAUUUAACCAAUAAUUAUCUAAUAUCUUCUUUUCAUGUUCUAGAUAUUUCGAAGAAAAUUACCAGCAACUCAUGGCACGAUAAAUGUGAUUUAUAUUUAUGAAAUAAUUUUCGUUAAAUUAUUUGUUUUGUUGUAGAAACUUUAUGUUAAAUAAACAUAUAUAAUGUCAGUAAUUAAUAAUAGUAUUGACGAAAUAUUACUACAAAUUUUGUACAAACAAACAAUAUUCUAAAAAUUAUUUUUUAUGUAUAGUAAUUCAUGUUAAAAUUGAUAUUUUAGAUAUUAAAUUCUUUUUAUAUUAAUAAAUAAUUUUUUAUUUAAAUUUGAUAUUUUUUCUAAUAUGAUACUUAAGUUUUUUUUAUUAUCUAAUUUAAUUCUUAUAUUUACAAAAUUUAUAUAUUUUGAUAUCCAUUAUCUAACUGACUAUUAUUUGCACUUUCUUUUGUCUAUUAUUAAUUGACCCAAUUUAGUCCUUAUAUUAUUAAAAAAAAUUAAAUAAGAUUAAUUUUCAACAAAAUUAGUAUUUAUUGUUUAAAUAAAUGUUCAUUUACUAUUUAAUAUAAUUAAUAUUUUGAAAAUUUAAUGAUUUUGCAAAUGAAGUAUUUCGUUUAAAAUUGAACCAUGAAAAUUUUUAAUUAAUAAAUAUUAACUCUACAAUUUAAUUUUAUUUAAAAAAUUUAAUACAUAAAUUCCACGGACAUACUUAUAUUGAUGAGGUUAUUUGUUGACGCAUUUUGUUGAAUUCUGACCAAGGAAGUGGAAGUCCAUGAUUUAGUCAUUGGAUUCCUAUAUGUACAGAAUUCAUUCAAAAAAUAAGUUCAUCCCAAUAAUAAUGGUUACACAAAAUGGACUCAACUACCACUUAGUGGUAGCUAUUUUUUUCUUUAAAAUUACAGGAUGGAUAAUUUCGCAUUAUAAAGACAUGAAGUAGGGUGAUGCAUUAUUUUCUCCUUUAAUGAAAUUAUUGAAAUUGAUACAUUCAACCUCCUCUUAACACCCACGAUCUUAACUGGAUUCGUCAAAUCAAGGCCGUUCAUCACGUGGAAAAAAAAAUUCUGAUCCGAUCUUUAUUUUAUUGGACAGCGACGGUUAGAAAGGGGCGUCGCCUUUUUAUUAUUCUCAAUUUUCUUUUCUUUUCUUUUUGGGGGUUCAUUUGAUUCGCAAUUUUGUUAGCGCCAAUAGUAAAUUGGAUUUCUUUAUAACGUCGUCAGUCGUCACCGUAUAUUUUUCGUAUUUACAAUAUACUCCUUUGGGAUUUUUUUUGUUUCAGCCCAAAAUGAAAAAGAUAUUACUAAAGUAUGCAAAAACUAUGAGCCCAUUUUAGCUAUAUUUUAAAUUAGCGGUUAUAAAUAUAUUGAGAACAAAGUUGGAGGGGCAUGGACAUAAAUACGGAGAAUGAAGGUGGAAAAUAUGGAAAGGAAAAGACAAGUUGGUGUUUAACUACGGCGGCUGGUAAGAAAAAGAUCCCACACAUUGAGACAAGGGGAGUUGGUGACAGAACAACAAGAGCGAUACAAAGACUGCAAUAUAACCUCAAGCUCUGACGCCCACUUUUCAAACCUUAACACCAAACUCAUACCAAACACUCUCGCUCUAUAUAUCUGCCUCUCUUUCUUUCUUUACAAUUCUCAGGUUUCAUUGUUCUUUGAAUCCUGCUUUCAAGGUUUGUUUCACUUCUUUAUCUCAGGUUCUUCAUUCUUUCUUCCCAAACAUGGUUUUAUUGAUAUGAUUGGUUUUCUCAUUUGAUCUGGGUUUUGAGUUUUUAAUGUAAAGUCUGUUUCUUUAUGGGAUCCAUGCAAUGAAAAGUUUGCAUAUUUUUUUGUAUGUUUCUUUUGCAUGUUCUUCACAAACCUUUGAUUUCAUAUCUUUAUUAAGCCAAUUGUCAUUUAGUUGAGUGAAAGUGAACUCUUAUGUCACGCUCUGUUUCAGUUUUGGCAGAUUAAUCAAAUCAUUUAAUAGAUAUAUGGGCAAAACGUGAUUUUAUUGAGCUUAAUUUCAUUGGUUUUCUCCUUUGAUUUGGAUUCUGAGUCGAGUUUUGAGUAUUUCAUUUAGAAUUUGUUUCUUUUGAAAAGUUUGUAAUUUUCUUUAACCUUUCUUUUGCAUGUUGUUGAUAAAAGUUGAGCAAAAAUGAAGUCUUUUUGUUUUGCGUACAGCUUACAUUUCUUUGAGUACAGGUCAUAAAAGAAACAAAGAAAGGCAAAGCUUAGAAGAUGGGAUCAGGUGAAUGGUGCCUUCAAAAACGAGAUAGUUUCAAGAGUGAAACGCUUGUAGGCAAUGAGACUGUGCCGGAAAUUGGGUGCCUUUCAAUUAUUGUUCUUGGUGCCUCUGGUGAUCUUGCCAAAAAGAAGACUUUCCCUGCUCUCUUUCAUCUUUAUUGCCAGGUUCAAGUGUUUUAGAUUCAUUGAUCAACUUUGGCUUCCCUGAUAAGGCUAACCUUAGAUGGUAAUUGUGUGUAUGCAGGGAUUUCUGCCACCAAUUGAGGUGCACAUUUUCGGCUAUGCAAGGACUAAGAUUUCAGAUGACGAAUUGAGAAAUCGCAUUCGUGGGUGAGACGUCUCCACCUAUUACUAAUCGGUUUUAGUCCAAUGCUUAACAUGGUAUCAGAUUCCAGAGUUUGUUAUGUUAUUCUUCCUACCUAACCCCAUGUGUGGUUGACUGCCCCUACGUGAGGUUGAGUGUUAAGUAGUGGUAUCCCACAUCUGUUUAGUAUUAAAGUCAACUCCUUCCAUUAUUAUUGCUUGGUUUUAGGUCGGAUGCUUAAUGAAUAGUUGCUCACACUUUAGCCAAAUUGCGUUAAUUUAUGAAUAAUUGAAAUGGCAGAUAUCUUGUGAGUGAAAGGAGUGCUUCACCAUCAAAAGAUGUAUCAAAGUUCUUACAGCUGGUCAGUACAAGCCUAGUUAUAUGUUCAACAUGCUUCACUCCUAUUGUUUUUGCUUCUUAGCUUUUAACUAGCGAUUGUUAUGAUUUGCAGAUUAAAUAUGUAAGCGGAUCAUAUGAUGCCGCAGAGGGCUUUCAAAUGUUAGACAAGGAGAUUUCAAAGCAUGAAACCUCGAAAAAUAGCCUAGAAGGGUCAUCUCGGAGGCUCUUUUAUCUCGCUCUUCCACCAUCAGUAUAUCCAUCUGUUUGCAGGAUGAUCAGGAGAUACUGCAUGAAUAAAUGUAGGUGCUUUUGUUCCUCAAAGUUCUCCUCCAUGAUUAGAAGACAAUAUCUUAUGUAUGUCUUGUUUUCCAGCUAAUCUUGGCAGAUGGACUCGGAUUGUUGUUGAGAAACCAUUUGGAAGAGAUUUAGGCUCUGCAGAGGAACUAAGUUCCCAGAUUGGCGAGUUGUUUGAUGAACCACAAAUUUACCGUAUUGAUCACUAUUUGGGAAAGGAAUUGGUCCAGAACCUGGUAAUGAAUGUGUAAACAGUCGCUUUGUAUUUCUUGAUUUCUUUAUCAGCUCGGCUCAAAUCUGGCUUUGUGGCACCUGCAGCUGGUUCUUCGUUUUGCAAAUCGCUUCUUCUUACCCCUUUGGAAUCGUGACAACAUUGAUAAUGUACAGGUGAGUAUCCUUUUGUUUAGGAUAUUGCAGAUGUUCACACCAUUGGUGGACUGUCGGAGCUUUGUUAAUAAAUUAUGAUUAUUCUUUUGAAUAUUAAUCUCUAUUUUCUUCGUUUCUUCGGGUAGAUUGUGUUCAGAGAGGACUUUGGAACUGAAGGUCGAGGUGGAUAUUUUGAUGAAUACGGGUGUGUUUGAUAUCAUUUAUUUUCCCUAGCAUCUUGUAUGUGAUUUCUAUGUUAAGUAUUUGCUUCUUAGUUCAUUUUCCUUUUGUGCUCUUUGUGCAGCAUUAUCCGCGAUAUUAUCCAAAAUCACCUGUUGCAGGUAAUUGUUAUAAACUGAAGUGCCUUAGAUCUUUACCGAAACAAAAACAAGCUGGAGGAAAAACAUGCUAUGUACCAUUAGCCUACUUAUUUAUCGAGUUCAUACCAACUGCAGGUCCUUUGUCUUGUUGCUAUGGAGAAGCCUGUAUCUCUCAAACCUGAGCGCAUUCGUGAUGAAAAAGUGAAGGUGUGCAUCUUAUAACUCCAUACUUUAGGAAGUGACUGUAGUUGUUUCAUAACUAUGCCUGCAAAACAAGCCAAUUAUGUUCCUAUCCAUUUUGAAGUAGUAUAUGCUUGAUGUAACGCACCUAAUUUCUAUUUUUCCUUAUAUUUUAGGCGCUCUAAGUUUGCGCUUUCUUUACCAUAUGCUGAUUACCAUAUGAAAUCCAGGUUCUUCAAUCGGUACUUCCAAUUAAAGACGAAGAGGUUGUACUCGGACAAUAUGAAGGUUACAGAGAUGAUCCGACAGUUCCUGAUCACUCAAACACCCCAACGUUUGCAACUAUUAUUCUCCGUAUACACAACGAAAGAUGGGAAGGUAAUAAUUCUAUACAAGCUUAAAUUUAAUUUAAAUUUCUCAUCAGAUUAGCUAAUUUGAAUUAUUGGUUUGUUUCCAGGUGUUCCCUUUAUACUAAAGGCAGGGAAAGCAUUGAAUUCGAGAAAGGCUGAGAUUCGUGUUCAAUUUAAGGAUGUUCCUGGUGAUAUAUUCAAAUGUAUAACAAUAAAUCUUUAAGAUUCUUUGUAACUUUGCUUAUAUUAUUGCUUAUUCCCACCGAACUGCUUAUGUAGUCUCUUCGAUAAAAUCAUGAAGAGAUGUGAUGAAUCUUUAUUCAGGUAAAAAGCAAGGGAGAAAUGAGUUCGUCAUCCGCCUGCAACCUUCUGAAGCCAUGUACAUGAAGCUAAUGGUGAGUUUUAUAAUCUUAUUGUGUCGAUCUGAAAGCUAUUAUAAACUUUAAAAACACUGCAUAUAUGUUCCUCUGCUAAACUUGCAUAUUGACUAGUACUUCAUCACCGAUGCAGGUGAAGCAGCCUGGACUGGAGAUGUCAACAGUUCAAAGUGAACUAGACUUGUCAUACAGGCAACGCUAUCAAGGUGUUACGAUCCCAGAGGCUUAUGAACGUCUCAUUCUCGACACGUAUGAUCCUUGCCCAUUUUUAUCCUUGACAUAUUAUUGUUUGCAAUGCUUACCCUUACAGCUGGUAGGUUUGGUAAUGUGGAUCAGAAACUAUGAUAACUAGUUUCGUUUUCUGGUUUUAUGUUUCCUGUGUAAUGAACAGCAGAACUUUUUUUGGUUAUGUAGGAUAAGAGGUGAUCAGCAGCAUUUUGUUCGUAGAGACGAGUUGAAGGUAAGAAUUUGUAUAUACUCUGGAAGAAGAUAAUUUAUAAGGGAUUCAAUCUGUAACAUUCAUAUUGCUUUGUUCAUCAGGCAGCAUGGGAGAUUUUCACGCCUCUUCUACAUAGAAUUGACAACGGUGAAAUGAAACCGAUUCCAUACCAAGCAGGCAGCCGUGGACCAGCAGAAGCGGAUGAGCUUUUGGAGAAAGCCGGUUACGUUCAAACACAUGGAUAUAUUUGGAUUCCUCCCACCUUGUAGAAACUUGCUGUCUAGCUAGUGGUUUUCCAUCACCAUCACCAUCUACAUAUAAGUUGAGGUUUGGUUAAAGGCCUCUUUGUAACACAUCGAAUAACCAGGCCUGCCGGUUGUAGCGAGUUUCGAAAAUACUGUAAGCCUAAGAGCUUGUUACCGUACAUAUUUGAUGUACCGUGUGUAGAGUAUGAUCCAAUAUUGUAUUCGGAAUGGUUCCGAUCGGGUUAACUAGACCCCGGAAUAAAAAGCUCUUCCAAACCUGUUUAUUUUUUAGUUCAGUUGGGUUCAAACUUGAUCGAGUAUUAUUAUUAAACUUAAUCAAGUACUAUUAUCCAAGAUUUCGAGUUAAGCUUGUUUACACGAGUUGGAGCUUUUGAGUUGACAUGUUUCGCAUUCACUAGGCAAAUGCCCACACUUCCCCGAGGAUAUUUUAUCAAACUAAUACUUAGUAACAAUCAUUUUUAUUUUUAAUAUUUUUUAAAUUUAUUGAUGAUAUCUCUUAAUAUGGAAUAUGAAACAUCAUCAUAAUAUAAAAAUAAUAAUUAAAGCAUGAUAGAAAAAUUAUAUAAAAAAUUAACACUAUGUAACUAUUAUUAGUAUGUUAAAAUUUACAUAAUAUAUAAUUUUUAAAUAUAAUUACGGUAUGUAACUAUGCAACACAAAAUGCGAAACUUAAUUAAAAUACGGUAUAAAAAUAAUAUAAAUAUAACACAAAUAUACAAAUAUACCAAAAUGUUAAAACGUAAUUGAAAGGACUAAUAAAUUUUCAAAUUUAUAAAAAUAUAAAAGAUAUUAUGCAAUUAUUAUAUAAAGCAUAACAUUAAUAUACAUUUUUUUUUUCUUUUUCUCAAUACCCUUCACGCCUAAUUUAUGUCUAAGAUUACUUGUCCAAAGCACAACUCACUAAUUGAAAUUGAGAAACUCAUUAGGGUUAAAUGCUUUUUUUUUAUAAAAUAAUUAAAAAAAGGUCAAAUAAAUUUUUAAUCAGAAGGUAGUGAUCAUAUAAAUAUUAUUUAAAAGAUUGAAAAAAAUUAAAAAUAUAUAAAAUUAGUCGAUGGUUGUUAUUCUUUUUAUUUUUUACCGCCAGACAUUUGUAUUCUUAUCGUAUCUAAUUCUCUUUUAAUUUUUCUUUUACACUUGGAUUAGGAAAUAAAUAAAUAGUGAUUGUGGAUUUGCAUGAAAAACUAAAAAAUGUUUGACAUCUUUUUUAUAAAUAGAUAAGGUUGAAAAUGUUAGAUUUGUAGAUUGAACUCAAUUUUGUUAUAUCAUGUAAAAUAAUAGAGAUAAAUAAAUAAAUGAUUGUGGAUUUGUAUGAAAAAAACUAAAAAAAUGUUUGAUUUUUUUUUUUUAUAAUUAUAGAUAAGGUUGAAAAUGUUAGGCUUAUUGAUUCAACUCAAAUUUUUAUUCCGAGGGACAGUUUUAAUAAAACUAAAUUCAACAGGUGAUCAAGUAUUCAAGUUUAUUAAUUAGCGUAAAUGAAAACAAAAGACACGUCAAAGUAGGUUGCUGAGAGAAUAUUGUUAACUCUUUAAUCGAGUUAUGAAUUUUAUUGUUGCUACUAAAAUUAUGUCAUACAUAACUCAUUUGCCAAACAUACCGAAUAUGGGCUCGAUCAUCUUUAGAGCAUAAGUCUCCACUUAUAUCAAAGCAUAUGAGUUACAUACACAUGGUCAGUCACUAACUCAUAUUUAGGUAAAUCAUAUCAUGAACGUCAUAAGUGAAUUAAUUCACAAACAGAUUCAAAAUUAAUUCAAUUUGAGUCCAAUCCAAUGUAUCAUUCUUCCAAUGAGUACAUCUAUGUCUCUACUUGUGGAGUCAACUGCUCCUAUAGCCAAAACUAACUAUUUCCUCAAUUAGAAACAUCUAUGUCUCUACUUGUGGAGUCAACUGCUCCUAUAGCCAAAACUAACUAUUUCCUCAAUUAGAAUUGUAGAUGACAUAAUAAUCUUUCUUAAGUAUUUGAAUCAAAUGCUCACUUUGAUUCUUUUAUGAGAUUACGGACUCGUUUAGAUUAUCUACUGAAGUAAGUUGUCUUUCUCGCAAUGUAAACAUUCUUACAGUGCCACUUAUAAUCAGUUUGAACUUAGACAAUCAAUAAGCUAACAUUUAUGUAACAGCCAAAUUUUUCAGUGGUGUCGGAAACAGUGAUUCGAGAUCACUAAAUCCGACGAGUAAGUUUAGAAAUUUUAACAAAUAAUAAUUAUAGGCCAAGCGCGAACUUAAAAGAAUUAUUUUUAAUUAGUGAAUUUUGCGAUUUUAAAAGAAUUAAUCAGGUAAAUUUGGUUGAAAACGAGGUAUCGAGACCUCGGAUUUAUAAACCGAGCUAUAAAUAUUUUUAUAAAUAUUUAUGGAGUGUUAUUAAGUUAGUAUUAAAGUUUCGUUAGAAAAUUUUAACGUUUGGUUAGUCAAUUAAUUAAAAAGGACUAAAUUGAAAAUAGUGUGAAAUUUAUUAAAUUGUGAUUAAAUAGUUUAAGUGAUUAAAAAGGAGGGAUUUAAAAGGAAAUUGGACCCAAAUUGUAUGGGCUGGACGGUUGGGCAAGAAAAUCAGCAAAAAAGACAAGGAGAAACAAGGGCAAAAUGGGAAAUUUUACAAAUUAAACAUAUAAAACAAGACAAAUUUGAAAAAUCUAGAGAUAUCAUCAUUUUUCUUCAGCAAAAACGCCAUGGGAGGUCUGAAAGCGGCUGGUUUUUCAUACUUUGACAUAUGUGAGUUCAAUUCUUACCCUUUUCUUUGAGAUUUUUAUGUUUUUGUGACUUUUACAAUUAGGUCCAAGUGUUUAAUUCAUUAGUUUUUGAUUUUAUGAACAAAAUUAAAAGAUAUCAUUGAUAAGUGUUAGCUGUUUAUGAUGAAAUAAAAUGAAUUUGAAGCUUUGAUUUUGUUGUUUGAUGAUUUUAUCAAGUAAUUUCAAUAGAAAUUGAUUUUAGGACCUAAUUGUGAAAAAGUUGUGAGUUAAGGUUUAGUGUUAAAAUUCUGAUUUUUAAAGAUUGUGUAAUAGUUUAGAAUGAUGGAAUAAAAUGUUAAUUGAGAAAAAUUAGCUUAAUAGAUGGGCUAAUUGAGCAAGGACUGAAUUGUAUGACCUUUGAAAUUUAGAGGAAAAAUGGUAAUAAACAUCUUGAACUAAAACAAUAUUGGACUGCAGAAGUAGACUAGCUUUGAAAAAUCACCAUAAAUUGUAUAAAUCGAAUUAGAAGAUGAAUAAAAUAUGAAAUUAAAGCUUAUUGAGUCUAGUUUUUCAUAGAAGAAACGGUGUAAGCAAUGGAUUUGUAAAUUAUGAGAUAUAAUGAAUUUUGUGAGACAAUAUUAGAAUGAAUUCGGGUUCCCCUGUUUUGAUUUUGGAAAAUCACCAAAAAUUGGAUAAAAUUAAUUAGAGCCUCAAAUUUAUAUGCUUAGAAUCCUUAAUGAGCCUAUUUUCAAUAUAAAUCAAUGGGAACAUUAUCCGAGUUUUUUACUGUGAUAUAAUUAAUUUUUAGUGAAGAGAGGUCGGAACUGUUGGAUAGUGAAACAGGGGAAACUUAAAUGAAUAAACUGUACUAAUUGGCUAAACCAAAAAUUCUUAAAAUUUUAUGGUGGAAUGAUAUGUGAGUCUAGUUUUAGAGAAAAUUUACGGAUCUUAAUUUUGAGCCCUGUAGCUCAAAUUAUAAAUAAUUGAGUGACUAUGACUCGUGUGAACAGAUUGAUGUGAGCAUUAAUAAGUAAAUUGUGAAAUCGUACUUACAAGAAUGUUAUAUACAUUAAGGAUGUGGAAUGGAGAGGAGGAGGAGGAAAAAUAUAUAUGAAUAUUCAGUUAGCAUGGCUAAUUUGCAUGUUUUAAGCUCAUGGACUAAAUUGAAUAAAAGUAAAACUUUAGGGGGCAAUUUUGUAAAAAUGUCAAAAAUGACUAAAUUGAAGGGAAUAAAUUGUUUUAUUAUCUAAAUUAAUAAAUUGAAUGAAAUUAUCAAUUUAAGGUUGGGUGAAAUUUGGGAAAAUGGUAAAUUACCAAUAUGCCCCUAAAUCUUGGUAUUUCUGCAAUUUAGUCAGGUAGGUUCAGAUACCCUGAAUGAGCAUGUAAAUAUGAAAAUUUAAGUAUUGUAUCGUAUUUUAUAUGAUAUUUUGAAUUGAAUAUAUGAAAAGGAUGUUACAUGAAACAUGAAAAUGAAUACUAAAUAAUAUAAAUUAAUUGAAAUUAUUCUGAAAAUUUCGGUAAUGCCUCGUAUCCUAUCUCGGUCUCAGGUACGGGUAUGGGGUAUUACAAUUUACUUGUCACAAUUUAAUUAUGCAUGCAAAACAUAAAACACAAAAACACAAAAGAGAUAAUAAUGACAUGUGAAAUCAACUUUAUUUAUUCAUUGUUCAAAUAUAUAAAAAAUAGUUACAUGUUUACUACAAUAUGGACACAUUUCGCAACAUCAUCAAUAUAAAGUAGCAAAUAUAUGAAUGAACCAUCAUCAAGACAUUGUAAAUAUACACAAUUGUCAUACUUACUUCGUGAAAAACCAAUACUUAACAUGAAAGAAUCAAACUUUUUGUACCAUUGCUGAGGAGACUAUUUCAAACCAUACAUGAUUUUUAAGAAGGCAAACAUGAUAUUUAUUUCCUUCAGUUCUGAAGCCUUUCGAUUACUACAUGUAAAUGUCUUCCUCAAGGUCAUCAUGAAGGAAAUCAAUCUUCACAUUUAACUACUCUAAUUCAAGAUUGUUUGAUGCAACAAGAGCCAAAAGUGUUCGAAUGGAUGUAUGUUCCACAACGGGAGAGAAAACAUCAUAAAAAUCAACUCUCUCCACUUGAAUUAGGCCCUUUGCAACCAAUCUUGCUUUGUACCUAUUUUUGUUUGGACUCGAACCUUCCUUCUUCUUAAACACUUAUUUGCAGCCAACUAUUUUCUUACCGAUGGGUGGUUUUACUAGCCGCCAAGUCUCAUUCUUUUGAAGUGAUUUCAUCUCUUUUUCCAUAGCAACAAGCUAUUUUCUAGAAUCGAAGGCUUCAACUGCCUGGAAAUAGCAUGAAGGAUCGGUCGAAUCAAUGCUCUCUACAACACUUAGAGUAUAUGCCACUAGGUUUCCUUCACAGUACUUCUGUGGUGGUCGAAUUUCUCACCUUUUCCUGUCAUGAGCCAACUUAUAAUUAGUUAAAUGAAAUGGUAAGGGUACUUAAGGGUCAUAUGAAGUUCCAAAUGGAUCCAAAAUAGUUUCAAUUUCGCAAGAAUCUAGAUUUCAUCGUGUUGUCGCGGCGUUGCUUGCUUUCUCGUCGAGACGACAAUCUUGUUUAUCGUAACAUUGCAACGAGGCUUUUCGUGUCGUUAUGACGUCACCCCUUAUUUUGGUAUUUGACUCCACCUUGCUUGAGACACUCUGAUUUGUUGUAUCUUUAAAAAUAAGUGGCCUCUUUUUUGAUCGAAACAUGGCAGAUUCAUCGAACGUAACAUCUCUACUAACAAUAGUUUUGUUUGUUUCUGGACACCAUAGUUUGAAACCUUUUGUACCAAUAGAGUAACCCAAAUAAAUGCACUUUAUGACCCUUGAAUUUAGCUUUCUCUAGAUAACUUUAGCAUAAGUAGGACAACUGAAAAUUUUAAGAUUAGAAUAAUUGGGAGGAUUACCUAACCAUAUCUCUUCUGGAACUUUACCAUUCAAUGCUUGAUGUGGAGGUCGAUUUACCAAAUAGUUUUCCAAAUUUACAGCUUCAGCCCAAAACUUCUUUCCUAGUCUUACAUUUGAAAGCAUGCAUCGGGCCUUUUCCAACAAGGUUUUGUUCAUUCUUUUUGCAACUCCAUUCUAUUAUGGAGUACCUACAACGAUGCGAUGUCUCUCUAUCCCUUCUCGUUUGCAGUGGUCAUUAAACUCGGAUGAACAAAACUCAAGUCCAUUGUCUGUUCUCAACCGCUUCAUAGACUUCCCGGUCUAUUUGUCUAACAGUGUUUUCCACUGUUUGAAGAUUUCGAAGACUUUUUUUUAAAGAAAAUAAACCCAAACUUUUUUGGAAUGGUCAUUAAUAAAAGUUAAAAAAUAUUUAUUACCUCCUUUUAAGAUGUAAAGAGUCUGACCCCAUAAAUCAAAAUGGACAUAGUCAAGAGUACCUUUUGUUUUGUGUAGUGCUGAAUCGAAACUUACUCGCGUUUGCUUCCCACAAGUGUAAUGUUCGCAAAACCUAACUUACCAAAUCCAGUGUCUUCUAAAAGACCUUGUUUGCACAUUGUUGUCAUAUAUUUCUCGCUCAUAUGAUCGAGUUGCAUGUUCUAGAGUUUAGUUGAAUUGAAAUCUGUAGAGAAAGAAUCACGUUGCAUCGUUGUGACUUUAGGUUGGUUCUCAUCGUGGCAUGGAGACAAUUUUGGCUCAUUUUCAGUAAUUGCAACUGCACUAGUAACUUUUGACCCUUGCAAAAUGAAUAGGCUGCCAUUUUUAUGUCCUCUCAUUACAACGGGAGCUCCACAAGAAACUUUUAAGCCAUUUGACUCAAUGACUAUUCUGUAACCGUUAAAAUCCAAAAUUCCCAACGAUAUGAUAUUUUUCUUUAAGUCGGUUACAUACAUGACAUCUGGCAAUGUUCGAAUAAUUCCGUCGUGCAUCUUGAUUUGUACGGCUCCUAUUUCGGUUAUCUUACAUGGAUAAUUAUUCCCUAUUAACACAACUCUACAUUCAACAGAACUGUAGUGGAAAACAAGUCCCUGUUGGGACAUAUGUAAUAGGAGUACCCUAAAUAUAGGAUCUAUUCGGAAGUAAGCUUGGAGCUUUCACUCAUCGACACUUACAAAAAAUCAUCACCUCUAUCUUCAGCUAUACUAGCAUUAGUAACUUCGGCUUUCUACUUAUCUUUAUCGUCAUUUUCGACAUCCCUUUUAAUUUUUUUUAAAGUUUGUAACAUUCCGACUUGAUGUGCCCCUUAUUCUUGUAGUAGUCACAUUCUUUGUCUCGGUUUCUAGAUUUAGAUCCCAUGCUAGACUUGUUUCGAUCUGGCUUUCUAGAUUGUUGUCUACCCCUUGCGGCUAGAACUGAGGUUUGCCCGUUUGACCUUUUGUUUGGGCCUAACUCGUUAUCAAGUUUAUCCUUACUUAGUAGUUCCCAUUUACGUCCUCCCCAUAACUAAGAGUUUUUCUGAAAGUUUUAUAAAAAGAGGCAAAGAACAUAACAAUAACAUAGUUUGAUCCUCAUCUCUAAUUUCUUCUUCGAGAUUCUUUAGGUCAUUUAGAAGGUAACAAACUCACUAAUAUAAGCUCUAAUAGACUCAUCUUCAGCCAUUCAGAACAUGUAGAUAUGUUGUUUUAACACUGACCUGUUGGCCAAGGAUUUCGUCAUGUAUAAGGCUUCUAGUUUCUUCCAUAAUGUAAAAGUUGUUUUUUCUUCAAAACCUAUUGUAAUACAUUAUUUGUUAAACAUAAUUAAAUUAUGGAUAGAGCUUUUUUAUCUAACCUAUCCCAUUUUGACUAUUCCAUGUUUGUGUGCUUCUUCUCUGUAAGGAUCCUCUCAAGAUCACUCUGAAUCAAUAUGGCUGACAUACGAAUUUGCCACAGAUUGAAAUUUGUGAUGUCGCCGAAAUUAUCAAUAUCAAAUCUUGAUGCUGCAAUAUCUGAAUGGGUUGAAUGCGAAAAUCGAACAAGCUUUGAUACCAAUUUGUAAGGAAAUAACCCGUGUAUGCAACGAACAAGUAAAUAAAGUAAAAUCGACAAGAUCAAAUACUCGAAUUUUACGUGGAAAAACUCCUCAUAAGAGGAUAAAAAACCACGGAAAAAAAGAGAUUUUACUAUAAUAAAAGGAGAGUACAAAAGAUAGAGAGACUCAAAGGAAAACUUGAAACCUCGAAAAAAACCCUUUAAAACAAAGAACAAAAUUCUCUCAAUCUCAAUAUUUUUGUCAUAUGAAACUUAGAGUAACUAAGGCCUAUUUAUAGGUUGAAAUUCGUAACAUAUGACUAAAAUAACCCUAGGUUAAUUAGAGUUUAAGUGGCAAACUAAAACAAAGUUUAACUGAGAGAAUAAAAUUGAGAAAACUUGAAAAACAUGUCGCCAUAUCGUGACGUGGCAUUCGCGUCGUCAGGAGGAAGGGGAUGUCACAUCGUCAGGAUGAAAACUCUUUUCUUGUCGUGAUGUCGGCUAUUCCUCAAAACAAAUAACACUUCCUUAUUGUGACAUCACACACUAUUUAGUUUGAAAAUGCAAGGCAUAACUUCACACCUAUAAUUCAAAACUCUAGCUACUUCACACAUAGUGCAAGUCUCAACCAUAGAAACCUUAAAAAAGUAAUCAUAAUCAAAUUGGUUGCCAAUCCCAUACAACUUGAAGAUUGCAGCUUCAAAGGAGAACAAUAGCUUAGAAGCUCAAAGAUGGAGACGCUAAUAAACUCAAGGAUCAACUUUAAGGUCUCUAGUGCAUUUGUUGAACACAAUGUAGCAAGUUUUGGAUAACCAAGUCAGAUGAUAUCCAAAGGAGGAGAAAAAAGAUGGUCCAAACCAAGAAAAGGAAACUAAAAUAAAAAAAAGACUUUGGACAAAGACUCGGGGGAAGACGAGACAAGAGCUCGUGGAUAAAACUUCUUCUUGUUUUGUAAAUAAUAUUUGAAAACCUAAUUUUCUUGCACGACAUAACAUUUAUUUGGAUUUUGUGGGUAAAAAAAUAGUACAUUUAAAUUUUAAUACUAGACUAGAUAAAAUGUCAAUAUCAUGCUAUUUUAUAUUUAUUACAUAACUUAAAAAAAAUAUAUGUAUACCAUUGAAAAUUAAUUUCCAAACUUUGUUGCUCCUCUUUUUUAUCAUUUCCCUCUAAUUAUCUAAUAUAUUAAGUUAUUAAUUGAGAUGGUGUUAUAAGUUAAUCAAACAUUAAUUUAGUUGGAUAAUGAUUAAAAUAUCAUUGUUUUACAAAUUAAAUUAUAUUAUUUUAAAGGUACUUUUAUUUUUUUAUAUCUUAUAUGUAAAAAAAUAGAAUGAAAUUUAAGCAUCAAAAGCUAUAGCUUUUAACAUCUUUGCUUAACUAUUUCAACUUUUUUAUAUCAACAUGUUUAAUUGGGGGAAGGCUAUUCAAUUCCCCCACUUAUUACAUUUUAACCCCUACAAUCCUCUACUAUCAAUCUUUUUAUUGUUAAUUUUCAUAUAACCCAACAUCUACCGAAUUUUAAAAAGAAUGAAAAUGAAAUAGAUAAAAAAAAAAAAGGGAAAAGCUUUUGUUUGUUAUUGUUAAUCAUUUUUAACAUGGUUAAACACAGAGACAUAUCAAAUCAAAUAAGGAAAAUUUGAACCAAAAGUUUUGGAAAAAAAUAAAAUUUUUACAUCUUUUGGAUUUAUAAAAAGCACUAUGGUGGUGGUGGUGGUGGCUGGAAUUUGGUUAUUGAGGUGAUUUCUCCACUUAUUUGCAUUUUGAUGAACUACAAUGCUAAAAUUUGGGGAGGGGAGAGAAAUUAGAUAAGAGAAACAUUUUAGCAACUUUACAUUUUUAAGCAUAAAAUAUGAAUUAUAUAUAGUAUAUUUAAUUUCAAGUAUAAUUAUAUUAUUAGGUUGAAAUCAAGAUAUCCAUUCUCAGUAGCAAUGACUAAUUAAUUUGUUGUAGGUGUUCUUUGAAGAGAUAAUCGAUUGACUAUGAAAUGUGCUCUAUUUCCAUAGGCAAGAAUAAAACUACCCAUAGGUCAGGUUGAGGCUUAAUUCCAAAAAAAAAUUCACGUCCAAGCCCGCUUUUGAAUUGAGACACCCUGCCCAGAAAAACCUAUUUUAUUGUUCCAAUAAUAAUAAAAUAUUUAAAAAAAAUUUAAUUGAUAUUUUUAUUAUUUAAAUUGAACUUCAACUCAGCUUGAGAUACAAUUUUUUUUGUCCAAAAUCGGCCCAAGUCGAGCCGAAUGAGCUACACGAUACUUGGACAGAUUUAGGUGAUGAUAAUAUAUAAUAUUUGUAGAUCUUAAUUUUUCAUACAAUAUUUUUAUUAAUAUACAUUUAUUAUUGAAUACAAUUCAAAUUUAUUUAAUUACGAUAUAAUACUAUAAAUGUAUUAUGGAAAUAGGGAUAGUAAUCUCAAUUUAUAAUUAUUACUUACAUUUUAUUUAACCCAACAAUGCAAUACUAAUAUUAUUUUUUUUUUGCCAUUAGUAUAUUACUUACGGAAUAACCCAUCCCAUUCGUAUUUUGUUUCAGUUUAGUGAACCAAACAUAUUAUAAUUUUAUUUUAUUUAUUGAUGGGCAUAUAUAGAGUGGGCCUCUUUUAUUUUCUUUUCGGUUCUUAAAUUUGUUAAUUCGAUUGGGCCUUCAUUCAUUCUUUCCCGAACUCUGAUUACCUAAAGAGAAUUUUAAUGUUCAAUUAAUCAAAUAAGUCAAAUUUGGAUAAUUAUACACCAAUUAAGAGGAGAAUUCGCUUUGAAAUUAAUUUGGGUUUUUUUAAGAACAGUAUUUUCCUCAUUUUUUGUUGCCGCCGUUGUUAGCACUUGAAGCUCUCCCUUUUCUUUUCACAAAUUUUAUUUUGCUUUCAUCAGAAAUAUCUGCCCAUGGAGAACGGAGAAAUCCCAGAAAACGCCAAUGAACGUAUGUUUUCUCAGUCAAUUUUGUGGAUUACUUUUUUUUUUUUUUAUAGUUUAUUAAUUUUCUUCAUUCCUCUUCAGAUUGUCCGGGUCCUCAAUCGGAGUCAGCUGGUAAAUCCGAUGCAUGCCAAGGUUGCCCUAAUCAAGAAGUUUGUGCCACCGCCCCUAAGGGCCCUGACCCGGGUUUGCCCUUUCUUUCCAAUAUUUUCAUUAUAUUUUCUAAGUUUGGGUUUUAUUUUGUUUUUCAUUAAGUAUUAUUACUUUCAUGGUGAUCUGGUGACCUGUUUUUGGUAGCUAAAUUAGAAUUUAUGGUUUCUUUAGCAUAUGAAGCCUUAUUAUUUCUUUCUUUUUGUUCGAAGCAUAUGAAGCUUUACUAGAGAAAAUAGCAGCUGUUGUAGAUGUCACCAGUAUGGUUCUCUCAUAAUCGAUUGGAGCUAGAAUUUGUUAAUAGCCAUUAGUAGUGAUGGAGCUCUUAUGUUUUCAAUGAUAAGUUAUUGCUUCAAAAGUUCUAGUAUUGUAUAUGUUAAGGAAGCUUACUCAUGAAGUGGGGUUGAAUAGCUUAGCACUUUAAUUGGAAUUUCGGAUCUUGUAGGAGAUUGGAAUUAGUAUUAGAUGAUUUCGGAAAUUGACUCUUCGACAUUCAUAUGCUAUGGUGGUAGUUCAAUAGUUUUUUAGUAUUAAGUUGUGUUGCAUAUACUAGUGCAUUGGGUCUUAUCUAUACGAGGGCUUUGACUUUUGACACGGUUUAUCACCCUUUAACUGUUCCAUGUUUUGGUUGUCCUUGUAAUUUCAUUUAAUUAUUUUUACACUUCUUGAUUUAAACUUUGAUAAUGGUCUGUAAAAAUAUGCUCUCUUAUAAUUGCUUUAAUUGUCUAAAGCUUAAUAAAUUUGACCUCAUAUAUUAAUGAGGAGAACUGUUUGCAGUGAACAUAUAUGCCAUAAAUGAGAAGUGAUGAAUUCUUUUGGGCUAUGUAACUUGCUCUCUCCAUUUUAGUUUCCUUUUUCAUCUGUUCUAUUUUAUAUUUGGCAUAUUGUGGGUUUUGUAUGGAAGGAUUAUCAACUAUCUUUAUAUGGCUAUAUAAUUUAUGAAACAUAAAGUUCUUUGCUUCUUUCCUAGCUUGACCGUGUUAUCCAGAGUAUGAAUCUGUUAUUGGACGUACUAAUAUUUAUAAUGUUUUGCAUUUUGUAGACUUGGUUGCAAUUGCAGAGAGAAUGGCUACUGUUAAGCAUAAGAUACUGGUUUUAUCGGGGAAGGGAGGGGUUGGCAAAAGCACUUUCUCUGCCCAACUCUCAUUUGCACUAGCAGCUAAGGAUUUCCAGGUGGGUCUACUGGACAUUGAUAUUUGUGGUCCAAGCAUUCCGAAAAUGCUUGGCCUAGAAGGUCAAGACAUUCACCAAAGUAACCUUGGCUGGUCUCCUGUUUAUGUUGAGUCCAACCUUGGGGUAAUGUCAAUUGGGUUCAUGCUCCCCAACCCUGAUGAAGCUGUCAUUUGGAGAGGACCGCGUAAAAAUGGGCUCAUCAAACAAUUCCUUAAAGAUGUAUACUGGGGAGAGCUUGAUUUUCUGGUUGUUGAUGCCCCUCCUGGGACCUCUGAUGAGCACAUCUCAAUCGUUCAGUUCCUACAGGCUACUGGGAUAGAUGGAGCUAUCAUCGUCACUACGCCGCAGCAAGUCUCUUUGAUUGAUGUGCGUAAAGAAGUUAGUUUCUGCAAAAAAGUUGGAGUACCAGUUCUUGGAGUUGUUGAGAACAUGAGUGGCUUGUGUCAGCCAUUGAAAGAUUUCAGGUUUUUGAGGAUGACAGAGAAUGGUGAACAUACUGAUCUCACAGAGAAGGUUAUUGAGUAUAUGAAGGAGAAAGCACCUGAAAUGCUAGAUCUCAUUGCUGCCAGUGAAAUCUUUGAUAGCAGUGGUGGUGGUGCAGCAAAAAUGUGUACAGAAAUGGGAGUACCAUUUCUCGGAAAGGUUCCAUUGGAUCCACAGCUUUGCAAGGCAGCUGAAGAAGGCAAAUCUUGUUUUUCUGAACAGAAGUGCAGUAUUAGCGCUCCUGCAUUGAAGAGUAUUGUUGAGAAGCUGAUGGCGAAGUAUUGGUGUAAAGAAAUGUCUGUGGAACAGUAGCCCAGGGUGAACUAAUGUUCAGCUGUACUUGGAGAUCUUUGUGUAAUAGAAGUUUGUUUGCAUGUCAUGUAAUAUUCAUAUAAUUAUUCCUUAUUUUCUGGAAUUUUCUGUGAGUUAUAAUACUUGAGUUAUAGAAGUUCAGUACCCUACAGUCUGGACACCGAAACUUUACAAAUUAGUACUGUAAUUUUCUUUGGUAAUUCUGAACUUUGUUUUUGUAAUGUUCGCUUAAUGGGAUCACUCAGCCCUUAGAACAGAUCUCCUGGUGCUCACCAGGAUGCAUUCAUACACAGCUGCACUUUUAAGUUUAUAGAGAGUUGGGUCGGUGUCAAUACCCUUUGCAGGUGCUUUGUGGAUUCUUGUGUAAAAUGAUUUAAUGCUCUUACUUUGAUGUGAAAAGCUUCACCAUUUGGUUUAUAGCAGGUUACCGGUCAACAGCUAAACCAGAUCAGGCAUUAGAUCAUGGUGGUGACAUUCCGGUCAUUACUGUCACUAAGGUUUCUUCUUCCUCUCAUUUUUGAUUUUAUUCUUGGAACUUGAUCAAGGGUACUGUAGGUACAACUAACGAAGCAGUUGUCUUUGUCUAGGUGAUGAACUAAACAAGUGUUUAGUUAGAGGAUGAGGACAUCCUUUUAGGAAAUCAUGCUCUCCGUCUCGAUAAGGGUAUUUAAGGUACUUAACUUGAGCAUUUCAUAUAAUGAAAUUGCAAAAUUGUUCAUCAGAAGCUGUCGUACAAAUCCUUGUGUUUGUUGGCAGGGAAUGAAUUGUGCCUUCAAACUGAAGUUGAGUGCAAAACCAUUGGCACUGUGGUUGUACACAAAAGAUGAUCUCCAUGCCUUGACUUGACAGGGUUAAGAGAGACAAACACAGAUGCAUCACAUAUUAAAGCAAAUGAAAGUAACGCAUACCUCAAGCAUGGUUAAUCAAUUGAUUAGAUUUCUAACAUGAAAAUUUUAAUAAAAGAAAAGAAAAUGAAAGAAAAAAAAAUUAUAAUCACAGAAGCGAAUGUUGUUGAAGAAAUUCAAGAUAUAAUUAAUUAGGGAACUCAAAAAGAGAUUUAAGUAUUUGAAAAUGAAAACGAAAAUAAUUAAAGAUUUUGAUACAUUAUAUCAAUACGAUAAAAUAUAUAAUCAAAAUGAAAAAAUUGCCGACAACAUUUAUAUAUAUAAUAUUACCUAAAUCUAUCCUCUAAUAUAGACAUUUGAAUGAUUGGUCAAAAUAAAAAGCUCAAUUCAUAGAAUUAAAUCCACUUACAAAUUGUGAAAAUAUUGGAUAAAAGGUGUAAAAUCAGUAGGCCGAAUUGAUAGUUUUGUGAAAAUGAAAUGAAAAAAAUUGAAGUUUUAAAGUAUAAAACCCAAUUUUUAAUAUAAGGGUUUUUGCAAAAAUCAUGACAUUCAUUAUGAAAGAUAUAAUAUUCUUUUGUGGGGAUGCAAUCACUUUUAAAUAUCUUAUUAAUUUUGUAGUUUAUAUGUAUUUAAUAAAUGUUGUUACAAUCUACUUAUAUGGCUCUUUAGAUAGAGAAAUUAUAUGAAAAUUUUUGAAGGAUUUAGUAUCCCAUAAGGAUGCAACGUUUCCUAGAAAGAUUGUACAAUUAAACUCUUAUACAGAUUAAAACAAAUUAGGUUACAUUUGUUUCACUAAAAAUGACUUUCGGAAAAUGAUCUCUUUGCUUGUAUGUGAGGUUACUUUCAAAAGAGUGAUAUGUAACAAUUGGGGUCAUUGUUAGGGUUGUUGGAUCUGGUGCCCUGGGUGUAAUAUAUUCGUUUGUAAAUUUGUAAUUUUUUUACUAAUAGAUUAGUUAAUAAAACAAAUUUACAAAUUACAUUAAUAUAGUUUGUAUAAUUGUUGUAGAGCUCAAAUUUUAUCCGAGUCCAACAAGCAGAGCCUAAAACACCAAAUAAAUUAACAGUCCAAUUAACACCUCACUAAACUAACCACUAAACCAACCACUAACUCCAUCACCCUACUUGCCUACAAAAAGAAAGAGGCAAUCGGUUAGCAAACAAGUUGUAAAAUUUGGCUAUAAAAGCCAUUCAAAACUAUUGUAAUAGGGGUUCUUUUUUUUGGAGAAAAAAGGAGAGAGUCUCGAAUACAAGAAAAAGAGAGACUUUCGAUACAAGAAAUACACGAGAUUAAUCAAAAAUCAAACCAAAAGAGGUGCUUUUUUCGUCAAUUCUCGUUUUAAGUUCCUUGUUUAUUUUAUUUUAUCUUUCAAUUUUAUUUUGUUUUUUACAUAAGAAGUAAAAAUAAGGGGAAGAAGCUUAUCCAUUUUGAAAUUACCGAAAAAGGGUUUUUUUUUUAGGUUCGGCCGCCGUGUACGGUGGUGCCGAUGGCGGCGCGUGGAGGUCCGGUGACCAGAGCAAGGCCAGACCGAUGGCCAAAUUUAGAAGGGAAGGGAAGAGUGUUAUUUUUAAUAUUGUUAUUAUUAUUAUUAUUAUUAUUUUAUUACUUUUACUAUUAUUCUAUAUACUAUUACUGAUUUAUUAUCAUUAUUAAUAGUAACGUAAUAGUAUUUUUAUUAUUUUAUUAUUUUUUUUACCUUUUUAUUACUAUUAUUAUUAACUUACUAUUAUUAUUUUUAUCAAUAUAAUAUUAUUUUUUUUAUAUUAUUAUUGUUAUUAGCACGUAUAUUAUUAUUAUUAGUGUAUCAUUGUUAUUUUCUAUUUUAUUAUUACUUUUAUACUAUUGUUUCUAUUUUUAUUAUUUUCAUUUUUUUAUUUUAUUAUUACUUUUAUACUAUUGUUUCUAUUAUUAUUAUUUUCAUUACUUCCGUUAUUAUUAUCAUUAUUUUCUAUUAUCAUUAAUAUGUCGUUUGUUUAUUAUUAUUUUAUUAUUAUUAUUAACACUAUUAUCAUCAUUAUAUUUACUUUUUUUUAAUAUCAUUUCCAUUAUUUUUUUAAAUUAUUAUUACUAUUAUUUUUAUUAUCCGUCCUAUUUUUAAACUAUUUCAUUCAAUAUUUUGUUGUACGUGUGUUUAUUUGCCCCCUCCCGAAUUAAAUUAAAUUUUUAUUCGAAUUUUCUUUGUUAUUCUAUCUUUUAUCUCUAUAUUAUUUUAUUUAUUAUUAUUUUUGUCUAGAUUUUUCAAGUAAAGGCAAUAUUCAAUACUUGGAAAUUCGAGAAAUCGUGUCCUAAUGUACUAGGUUUCGGUUUUUCGUUUGAUCUAAGUAACCGAUUAUCCUUUUAAAAUAAAAUACAUGAGUUUUAAAUAACAUAAAGGCAAUAUUCCGUAUUUAAAAAUUCGAGUAGUCGUGCCCUAACAUACUGGGUUUCGAUUUUCCGUUUGAUCUAAAUAUCCGAAUAUCCUUUUUAAAAUUUAAAUACAUGUGUUUUAAAUGAAAUAGAAGGCAAGCUCAUAAUCGAGGGUCGAUGUGUUGUGUCCUAACGUACUGGAUAUAACAUUUUAUCUUAAGAUGAAACGGUCAUUGGCAUACGUUUUAAUUCAUCCAAAUACUUUAAAAAAACAUUAACACUAAGAGGAAUCAUAUUUUAAACUCUUGUCAAAUUUUUAAUUUUCAACAUUAAGACACUAAAUAAUCAAUUAGGUACUAAAUUUGGGCGUGACGAGAGUGAUAACCCUUCCUCGCACGUAAUCGACUCCCAAACCUGUUUUUCCAAUUUUCGCAGACCAAAAUUGUUGUUUUGAUAAAUCAAUAUGUUUAUUGAAAAACGACCACGUUUUGAGGUGACCCGAUCACACCCCAUCAAAAAGGAUCGGUGGCAACUUCAAAAUUUCGUUUUAAACAGUCGAUUCCCGUUUUUAAAAAAAUAAUUUCGACAGCUUGGGAACUCUAAACUUUCAUUUUAAAAAGUCAAUUCCUAUUUUUCAAAAACAGAUUAGUCCUAGAAGAUAUAAUCAGACGUGACUAACUUGACUGAUAGACUUAAGAAGAAAAGAUCAUUAAUUCAUUUAUGGAUUUAUUCAUUCUGCACUGUACUCUUUGAUUUUACGUUUUUACCCUUGCUUCUUCUUCUUCUCAUCAUCAUCCAAGUGACACGUGAGCUACGACCCCACUUUCCUCGUGAGAAUCUCCGUCAUUUGCCCUUUUCUAUCAUUCUGUCACCAGCACUUCCUCUCGUAUAUAAACAACCCUCCUUUUUACUCAUUUUUUCCUCUCAAUUCUCACUUCCUUUACUUCCGUUCUUUUGCCGUCGUAUUUUUUUCAGAGAUUUGUUUUUUUUCGCUUCUUUCGAUAUGGGGAAGAUCAAGAUCGGAAUCAACGGUACUAUUAUUAUUAUUAUUAUUAUUAUUGAUUUUGUUUUUAAAUUAUGGAUCUGAUUUUCUUUUUCUGUUUGGUGAAGGAUUUGGAAGGAUCGGGCGUUUGGUUGCCAGAGUUGCUCUCCAAAGUGAAGAUGUUGAGCUCGUUGCUGUUAACGAUCCUUUCAUCACCACCGAUUACAUGGUUCGUACACUGUAUUUUCCUUCCUAUUUCUCACUUAUUUACUAGGUUUUGGCAUUAGUCUCCGUGCAUGUUUGUAUUAUAUUGGUUUUAGUUUUAAGAAAGCUGAUCUGAUCUUCUCUGCUCUGAGAUGAGUGAUGAUUUGAAUUUUUUUCUUUCUUUCUUUCUUGUGAUAUGAUUCUUGAACUUUUAGUGUUACCUAACAGAGCAUGAUGAAAUAGUUUAAAUUUCAACUGGUAAACUGAUGUAUUUCUUGUUCGAUCUUUAAGAGAUUUAUUAUAAACUUACUGGUUCUGCUUAGGUUUUUUUUAGUGAGCGAAUCUUGUGUCUAAUUUGAAAAGAAAGGAUGAAAAAUGAAGAACCGUUUUAAUCAGUUUUUUUAACGAUUUAAUUAUUGAUGUGAUUUGAUAAUUGUAUUUGUACAGACCUACAUGUUUAAGUAUGACAGUGUUCACGGUCAAUGGAAGCACCAUGAGCUUAAGGUGAAGGACUCAAAAACCCUUCUCUUUGGUGAAAAGCCUGUCACUGUUUUCGGCAUCAGGUGAUAUCAUGUGUUUCUUUUUCAAAAUGGGUUGUUGUAAUUGACUUGAGGAACAUGGUGAGUUUUCCAUUUAGGAGCUAUUUUUUUGAUUGGCUUUUGAUUUAUGCCAGAAACCCUGAAGAAAUCCCUUGGGGUGAGACUGGAGCUGAUUAUGUCGUUGAGUCUACUGGUGUUUUCACUGACAAGGACAAAGCUGCUGCCCAUUUGAAGGUUUGUGAUAAUAAUUUGAUCCUAUGCUUUUUUGGAGUUAAGGCCCCCAAAAGUUGUGUGUUUGGAACUUGAUUUUCUUCUUCUUAUCUUCGUGUAUGGUAUUCUCAUCUGAUCUAUGCUUUUUCACUUUUUAGGGUGGUGCAAAGAAGGUAAUCAUCUCUGCUCCCAGUAAGGAUGCUCCCAUGUUUGUUGUGGGUGUCAAUGAGAAGGAAUACAAGCCUGACCUUCACAUUGUAUCCAAUGCUAGCUGCACUACCAACUGCCUUGCUCCAUUGGCUAAGGUAAUAGUGGUUUCCCUUUUAUUUGUUUUGGAGCUUCUGACAAAUAGUUUUAUCUUCAUGGUAAUAAUGGUCUUGUAAACAUGGUGGCAGGUCAUCCAUGACAAAUUUGGCAUUGUUGAGGGUCUUAUGACCACUGUCCAUUCGAUUACUGGUAAGUAUAUAUGGUGUUUUAUUGCUUUCUGUUGCUAUCCGUAUGUAUUGUUUAUUGAUUAGUCUCUUCACUUCAGCUACUCAAAAGACCGUUGAUGGUCCAUCAAUGAAGGACUGGAGAGGUGGUAGAGCUGCUUCGUUCAAUAUCAUUCCUAGCAGCACUGGAGCUGCCAAGGUAUAUAAUCAUCUUUAGAUUUUCAAAUACUAAUAACUGUAUUCACCUUUGAAUAAAUGUAUUAUGAUCAACAAUGACUGUCUUUAUUAUUGUUAAAUAGUCGUUGGAUUCGAAGUUUGACAGUUUAUAUUGUAAUUGUAUAGGCUGUUGGCAAAGUGUUGCCAUCAUUGAAUGGCAAGCUGACUGGAAUGGCAUUCCGUGUUCCCACAGUUGAUGUCUCUGUAGUUGACCUCACGGUUAGGCUUGAGAAGAAGGCUUCUUAUGAAGAUAUCAAGGCCACUAUCAAGUAAGGAUUAGAAUAUUUUUAUAUUGUAAUGAUAUUUUUAAUAUUUCAGAAUAUAAUAUUAUCUAUAUAAUGUACCUAAAUAAUAUAUAUUUUUAUGUAGGGCGGAAUCUGAAACUAAUUUAAAAGGAAUUCUUGGCUACGUAGAUGAAGACUUGGUAUCAACUGACUUUGUUGGGGACAGCAGGUGUGAAGCUUCAUUCUUAAUGCCUGUCAUAAUGUUGAUUUGCAUGCUUGAGAGAGUUCUUUGUUGAUCAGUCAAUUCUGACCCAAGUCCGUAGAAGUCAACAAUCAAACUCGAUAAUGAUUUGAACAAGAAAUUACCUGAAUUUGAAAUAACCUGAACAACUAACUUAAAUUGAUCAAAACUUGAGUUUCAAAAAUAUGAAAUUUCUCCAACUUGGAAUGACCUAACCUAAAAACCCUGAUUGUCGAACCUGAAUGAGUUGAACUCAAAACUGCCCAAACUUGAAUAGACCUAAACCUGAAGCAGCUUGAACUCGAAAUUGACUUGAAUACAAAAUGUCUUGAAAAUUUUGACACUUAGAUUGAUCUUCUCUAGAUUUACCUGAUCUGAACCCAAUCCAUUCUGUCCUAUUGUGAUUAAGGUGAUACAAAUAUAUAAAUGGAACUUACCUUCUGUUGUAUUCUGACAGGUCAAGCAUCUUUGAUGCCAAGGCUGGCAUUGCAUUAAAUGACAAUUUUGUUAAGCUUGUCGCGUGGUACGAUAACGAAUGGGGUUACAGGUAAACUAACAUUUCGUUAUUAGCUUGAGAUAUAUGUACAUAUAUAUAUGCUUGUUCUCCGCUGCUUUUUUGACGGUGUCAUGAUUUUCUGUCACAGUUCUCGUGUGAUCGACUUGAUCCGGCACAUGGCUUCUGCCUAAGUGAGUGAUUUUGGUGAACCAAACUCAUUUCAUAAUGGACUUUUUAAUAAUAGCCUCGUUCUUCAGCUUUAGCAAAAUAUAGAAGAGAUGCUAUGGGAAUAAUAAUAGAAAUUGCUCGGGAUUCUGGGAGUUUCUAAUUUUACAUUGUAAUUGUGUUCUGUCUGAAACACUUGUAAUAUAUAUAAUUACAAGGAACCAAACAAACAAGGCAAGGCUAAGGUAAACUUGGGAACAAGAGCUAAACAUUCUAUUUAGCAUCAAAACUUAAAGAAUUUAAUUUACUUGUUUAAAUCUAAAACCGGCGUACUUAAAAUGGUUAGACCUGUUUUUUUAUUAUAUACACAUCAUUACAGACGUACUAAUUCAAAGAAAAAGGUUGAAACGUUAAAAGGCAUAAAUGUCGAUUUUAAAACUUAAUUGAGUGAUUAGGCCGAUUUUUGUACGCGUUUUUCUCUCUCUUUGGUUGGAUUUUGGUAUUAGGGUUUUUUUGGUUUGGGUUAGGGUUUUGGUUAAGGUAGUAGUUGGAUUAGAGUUUUUAAGGGUUUAGGGAGGUUGAUUUAUUCGUGUUUGUAUUUUAGGUAGAUAUUGUGAAAAUUCAAAGGUAUAUUUCAAUUGUGGGUGAUGUGAUAGCGCUAGGAGAUUUAUAUAUUUUAUCUGUCGUGUCGAGAUGAAACUGUUGUCUUAGAAGUCGAUAUUGAUAUUGAAGCUUGAGAUAAUAAUUGUAGGGAAAAGUCAAGGGCUUUCCUGUAUAACCAUAUUAUUAUUUUUCUCCAUCUCCAAAAUGAGGAUCGAUAACCUACUUAUUGUUCGACACAGUGAAAGUGACCUAUUAGUUAGGUAGGAGAGGUCAAGAAGUAAUAUUGUUUAGUAAAUAAUUAAUCAUCAUUAAAAUCCGAAUUUUCCUGUAACCAUUAAAGCAAUUUAAUCUUCUGCUUGUUAAUCGGAUAUAGGCUAAAACUCUCAUUAUUGACACUAGGAAUAGAAAAUUCUAUUAGAUUAAUUUAGGGUAAUUAAUUUAAUUAGUUUAAUUAGUUUUUCAAUUUGGAUUCGCACUACUAACUUGUAAAUUGAUUAAAUUAGUAAUUGUUCUUUGUAAUUAAUUUAAUAAUAAAAAUUUUCAAUCUACAAUUUCUUAGG
rnacentral:lncRNA from 1 species